GCUCCAUGAUGGCCAGACCGCCGCUACAUUUUUCAAAAUACUUCAGGUCCAGGCUACUAAACACACAACUGUUUCCACAGAUCCCCCAUUUAUACUUCCCAUCCAAUUAAAUCAACCUCAGCUACUAGAAAUGGGAAGCAAGAAAUACAUUAUCAGGACUCCACCCAAAAGUUCCUAAAAACCCAUCAAAACUGGGAACAUCAAACUAAAAUAAACGCCUCAAGUACCAAGGUCUGUACAAAUUCUCUCAAUUGCAUCAUUUAUACACCAUAAAAUACAGACUUUCUGCAUUUACAGGGUUCAAGUCAUCCAUUAUCCUUCUUGCAGCUAAACUAUAUCAACGUUGGCUAAACCCAUCAAGCAAAUUCAGUUGUCUAGGGAGGUUAGUAUUUAUUGCAACUCUUACCACGAAGAAAUAUCUUUAUAUUCUCCUGUUGAGACACCUACUUUUCUUUUCUUUGUCACAGAAACAACGGGUAGACUGCUGUCAACAGCAGUAGUAGACUCAACCUGCGAAUUCCUUGCUUUCAAGUACUUCCUACACCACACCCAAACCUUGACUCCCUGAAGUUCCAGUCCCUGGAUUGUUGUACCAUAAGCCAACCUUAUCCUGAAAUGCAAAGAAAUAAAUAAGCCAUUUAAAUAGUAGAAGUGAGGGAAAAAAACAGACGCAAGACGAACAGUAUCAGAUCCAGGACUAACAUUUUCUUCAUCUUCAGCAUUGUUCUCAUUUGCUUUCAAGUACUUCCCUACACCACACCCAAACCUUGACUCCCUGAAGUUCCAGUCCCUGGAUUGUUGUACCAUAAGCCAACCUUAUCCUGAAAUGCAAAGAAAUAAAUAAGCCAUUUAAAUAGUAGAAGUGAGGGAAAAAAUACAGACGCAAGACGAACAGUAUCAGAUCCAGGACUAACAUUUUCUUCAUCUUCAGCAUUGUUCUCAUUAGUACUCUUCUUCUCGUCCUCUUCAUCAGAUUUUCACUUAAUAACCAAACACGGGAAAAUUACGGGGAAGGAAGUGAUUUUUCAGGAAAAUGACUUCGAUGGGAAAUAUUUUCAGUCCAACCAAACGGACCCUAAAGGUACGUUUGCUAAAACUGAAAUCUAAAAGUCUAAAAUCUAAAAGUUAUCAAUUGUUAAAUAUUAAAAUUUUAAUAUUUGAACGUAUUUAAUAUUAAGUCAUGAGUGACCAGUUUAUCAUUUUUUUAGAACAAAUUUUACUUAAACAAUUCAGACCAGUUAACUAAUUAAUAUAUUCUAUUUUUUGUUACAAAAUACGUCUCAACAUAUUAAGGCCGAAAUAUAUUAAAUUUAGUUUAAAUAAAAUAUUAAAUUGAAUUAUUAAAUCAGGCUAAUCCUUUUUAUUGGGGUUAUUAUUGAAUUUAACAAGAUUAAUGAUUCCCUCCCAAAAUCUGGAAUCCCUUUUCAUUGACUGUCAUAACUAACUACCCAUUGGCACCAAAGUCUUCAGAACUCUCCAGACUCCAUCUUGUUCACCACACUCUAACAAUAGAUCCCUUAAUAUUUAUCCAGUCCUAGAACUCUCUAGACCUCCCCAACUCAAUUAAACUCCUAGUAUUUAAAUUCUGAAAGAUCCAAAACCCUUUGUCUGAGGAAAGUAUAUCAGCCUUCAGUUGUCUCUUGCAUUUUCUUGCUACCUAGUACUCUGGUAAUUUGAAAUCUUCUACCACAUUUUUACAAGAAAUGGAUGAUGAUUUUGAUUUUCCAUCAGCUAGCAAUGCUGCUGAUGAGAUGGGGAUGGAUGAGGAAUUGGACUUGCCUGAGACCAACCCAGUAAUUAAAGUUGGGGAAGAGAAGGAAAUUGGGAAAAUGGGUUGAAAAAGAAGCUGAUUAAUGAAGGUGAAGGCUGGGAGAAUCCCAGUUCUGGGGAUGAAGUUGAAGGUAAGGUUAUCAGCUGUUUUGGCUCAUUAAAUCCUAUUGUAGUUGAAAUUAGUCAUAUUCAUCUGCCCAUUAAUCAAUUUUUUAUCUAGAUUGUUAAUGGGUUGACUUUCAUUUUGGCUUGAUUAUGCUGCAUGAUUCUCAAAGUUGGGAUCUUUAUGGUGUAUAAGACCCCAAUUGGGGUUAUUUGGACCGUUUCUGGAAAAGGGUUCUUCUUAAAGUUUGAAUGAAUUGAAGAGUUUGUCAUGUAAACUGCUUAGAAAUUAAGAUAAUUUUAUUAAGUGUGAGGAACCUCAAUCAACAGUUUGGUAUUGCUUUUGACGAAAUGGGCAUUACUUCUUGUUCUCAGUUAGGUGUUGGCUAUUUGAUGAAUGAAAUGAUUUUUUGAUUUGAGGGAGUUUCAUCCACUGUAUCAUGCUGAUAAUGUUUUUUUUUUUUUUUAUGGUUUAAUGUUGAUUGUGCAGUGCAUUAUGUGGGCACUCUGCUUGAUGGAACUCAAUUUGAUUCGAGCCGUGACAGGGGAACUCCAUUCAAGUUCAAGCUUGGCCAAGGUAAUGACUAGCUAAGUUCGGUUGAAGUUCAAGGAUCAGUAGUAAUUUGAAGUUUAAUAUGACAGUUGUUUAGUCUUUUCAUCCCUGCUGACAAUGCAAUUUGCCCUGUUUUAAUCAGGUCUUAGUUUGUCCAGUUUGGAUUAUUGGACAGUACAAGAAGAUAAAAGAACACUCUUACAUUUUAGGCAAUUACCAGCCUGCCAGCAAAUAUGUUGUUAACAAACAUCUGGAGUAGGUCUAUAAUUGAAAAGGCUUCUAUUUGAUUGUGGCAUUUUGAUUUUUACCUAAUGCAGGACAAGUUAUCAAAGGUUGGGAUGAGGGUAUUAAGACAAUGAAAAAGGGUGAGAAGGCCCUCUUCACCAUCCCUCCUGAGUUGGCCUAUGGGGAGUCUGGAUCACCUCCAACAAUACCUCCUAAUGCCACUCUGCAGUUUGAAGUUGAGUUGCUUUCUUGGACUAGUGUGAAAGAUAUAUGCAAAGAUGGUGGAAUAUUCAAGAAAGUACUUGUUGAAGGAGAGGGUUGGCAGAAUCCUAAAGAUCUUGAUGAAGUUUUUGGUGCGUCAAUCAUCUAUCAUUUCUUUAUAAUUGUUUUCAUGGCUUUCAUUGGAUGACCUUGGGUUAUUAAAUUUGCUAAAUGUUCUCCUUCUCUUGCAGUCAAAUAUGAGGCACUGCUUGAGGAUGGAACUCUUAUUUCCAAAUCGGAUGGAGUUGAGUUCACUGUGAAAGAUGGUAAUAUGUUGUCCUCAUUAACCUUGUUCUUUCUCCAGUUUUCCGGGGACGCUUGUAAAAGUUUGAUCUGCUUGCAGGUUUCUUCUGUCCUGCUUUAGCAAAAGCUGUUAAAACAAUGAAGAAGGGUGAAAAAGCUCUCUUAACUGUCAAUUCACAAUGUAAGUUAGCUUUCUGCGUCCUGGAUUGGCUUGCAAUUUGUCCUUUGGGUUGCUGACUGUUGGUUAUUGCAGAUGUGUUUGGAGAGAAGGGAAGGCCUCAAGUUGGUGAUGAAAUUAGUGUUCCACCGAAUGCUUCACUUCAAAUUAAUCUUGAAUUGGUUUCAUGGAAAACUGUGUCCGAUGUUACCAAUGACAAAAAAGUGUUGAAGAAGAUCCUGAGGAGGGAGAAGGAUAUGAGCGCCCAAAUGAUGGCACAGUUGUGAAAGGUAAACUGCAGAGCAAAAAUGUAAACUCUUUGCAGUGAUCCACCAUUGGAAUUUUCAUUCUAAAUUAUCUUUUAGUGUUUGGCAGUGAAAUUGACCGGAAAGCUGCAGGACGGAACUGUUUUUGUAAAAAAGGGACAUGAUGGAGAAGAAUUUGAGUUCAAGGUAGAUGAAGGUAAUUGGUCAUUCACCUAAUGCAACCUACAACUUAUAAGGCUCUAGCUGCCUUUAAUAUUUCAUACGGUACUAUUUUACUAUUUUUCCUCUAUCAGCAAACAAUAUGUGGCAUGUAUUGUAUCCUUUCUACUUGUUCAGUUGUGUUGAACUUACCUUUUGCUGUCUUCUGCAGAACAAGUCACUUGAAGGACUUGAUAGAGCUGUAAAAACAAUGAAAAAGGUGAAAUGGCUCUUGUAAUUGUUCAACCCGAAUAUGCUUUUGGUCCAUCUGAGUCACAACAAGAGCUGGCUGUUGUUCCUGCAGAUUCAACCCUAUACUAUGAGAUUGAGAUGGUCUCCUUUGUCAAGUGAGUGAGCACUUUUCUCUGCACACAAAGAUGUUUGCCUUUCAAGCAUCUGGAUGAGGUUUUGACUAUUGUUACAUUUACUGCUUACCAUAGGAGAAGGAAUCUUGGGACAUGAAUGCCCAAGAGAAAAUUGAGGCUGCUGGGAAGAAAAAGGAGGAAGGGAACGUAUGGUUCAAGGCAGGAAAAUAUGCGAGAGCCUCUAAGAGAUAUGAGAAGGUGCUGCACACUUCUGCAAAAAAAUUUAAAUCUCCUGUCCAUGAUUUUUAUUUCAAAUGUCCAUAAAAGGCUUCUUUUAUUGUGCUCAGGGUGUGGGCUUCGUAGAAUAUGAUUCAUCUUUCAGCGAUGAGGAGAAGCAACAGGCUAAAUUGCUCAAGAUCAGUUGCAAUUUGAACAAUGCAGCUUGUAAACUGAAACUAAAAGACUAUAAAGAGGCAGUGAAAUUGUGCACAAAGGUCUUGGAUAUUGAUAGCAGGAACGUCAAAGCACUUUAUAGAAGGGCCCAAGCAUACAUCCAACUUGUUGAACUAGAAUUGGCAGAACAGGACAUAAAGAAAGCUCUUGAAAUUGAUCCAGAUAAUAGGUAUGAGUUCCACAGAUCUGUCGUAACGUAUUAAAAUGAACAUUUUUGUAAAAAAUUCAUUUUCUUCGAUCUAAAUAUGAUUUAUAUACUAUAUGUCAAACUUGAACCAGUAUGUUAUUCUUUCAUGGCAUAUAUAUCUGAGAUUAGCCUAAAAUAUCGGUAGAUACAGAAGGAAGCAAAAUGGCAAGAAAAUACAUGUAGUUAUGAUCAGCUUAAAAACAUGUUUUUUGUUCUGUGUUUUACUAUUUGUUUCUAAUGCCUUGCAUGAUUGGGAACGUGGAUGGCCAGGGAUGUAAAAAUGGAGUACAAAAUCCUGAAGGACAAAGUGAAGGAAUACAACCGGAAGGAUGCACAGUUCUAUGGUAGUAUAUUUGCCAAGAUGAGUAAACUGGAGCAACAAAAUUCUAGUGUAGUCAUUGAGUUACUGAUAAGGUUUUCUUUUAAUUCGUCGAAUGUAAUCUUAUAGUGGUAAAAUAAUCAUGUUCUAACUACUUGUUGCUAAUCUAAUGAAUGCGUUGUUGAAAUGCAGAGUGCAGAAAAAAAGAGGCAAUGCCAAUGGCCAUUGAUAGUAAGGCCUAAAAGUUCAUCUCUAGUAAUAUCUUCUCUUUUGUUCUCUUCUCUAAAAUGUGCAAGCAUCGAGUCUGUACUUAGAUAUAGCAUACCUUGUGUCAUCAUAGAGAGUAAUAAAAAGAGUUGUCUGUCUCUGAGGUGUCGAGUGAGUCCCUUGUACUAGAAAAUUGGUAUAUCAUUCGUGUCGAAGCAUGUUUGAUAUGCUUAAUCAAGUGACCAUGGCAAAUCUCUCUCUCUCUCUCUCUCUCUCUCUCCAGCAUAUUCUAUCUUCACAGCACCUCUGAAACUUACCACUUUUGUUUAGUUCACUGAAAACUAUAAUGACUAUGAAGCAGCAAGAUAAAAAGCACCUAUAACGAUGGUGCUUCAACAUAUGUCAUAUAUUGUAUCCUUCUGUAUAUUGAAAUGCAUGUGUAAAAUGUAUUUGAUUGCCAAUUUCUUCAAUGCCUAUAUUGACUUAAGAUAAAACUUUGUUCCAUAAAGGGGCAGUACAUUUAAGGGCAGUAUCCAGCGUCAGCGCAAAAACAAGGGAUUGCUGGUCUGCUAUGAUAACUGCAGUAAAGGCAGGCCUUAGGAGCAUUUCUACCCGGCUAAAUGCCCCUGUCAAGAGCAAAACAUCAUAACAAGGAGCAUAAUCUCAGGUUUAGCUGAAAUAUCUAGUAAUGCUUGUUUGUAAGGUCAUACAAUUGAAUGCUUUCUGUAAGGCCAUAAGGUUACUGUUGUAAGCUUGAAAACAAUUUCUGUAAAAUAUCAGAUGAAUCUGAAAGGACGAUGUGUAACAAAAUGGGACACUAUGCCUCCCUGCUAAACAGGGAGCAGAAUGACAAGCUCAGACUUGUAGAACUAUGCUUUUAACUGUAAUAAAUACAACCAGUUUUACAAACAUUAUAGAUGUACUAUUUGGUGCUCAGAGCAAAAAAGUACUUGUACUAUAAGAUUCUAAUCUGUUAAAUCUUCUCUUAUCAGAUAGAUUGCCUCAAUACAACACUAACACAAGAAACUCUGACAGAACAACUGAAGCCUCAAACUGCUAUAGUUUAUCCUAGAACUUUAAGCAGGCAUUGUCUCCAGAAAGUUGUCAUCACCAAACUUCCACAAAAUCCCAAUGCAUAUCCCAAUCCUGUUAAAAAGAAGAGCCAAAAUUUUUCAUGCAUUUUUUCGUUCUUGUCAUCAUCAAUCUGUCCUUUCCAUUGCUGUUUUGGCCAGUGAGGAUCUGGCAUUUUGUAGGCAAUGGUUCCCCACAAAGUCCAGGAUUACCACCAUAAAUAGAGGGAUCUUGAAAUGUAAGGAACUGGUUGGUUGAUGGAAUUGGUCCAGAUAAGUUGUUAUGAGACAAAUUCAAAAAGUUUAAUGAGGUCAUGUGAGACAUGGCAGGAGGAAUACUACCAGAGAGAGAGUUCCAUGAGAGGUCAAAGUUUCCAACAGGCCUAAACUGCCAAUCUUUUUCGGUAUCUUCCCUGUGAACUGGUUUCUAGAUAAAUUUAAGGUUCCCAGAGCUAAGAGAUUGCUUACCUCUUCUGGAAUGUCUCCUUGCAAAUGAUUGCUUGAAAGAUCAAUAAUGUUCACAAGCUUAAGUGUUUUUGUGUACGCCAUUUCUCUCCCUUUCACAACCAAUUCUACUUGAGGUAUAAAUGCAUAAGGUACAUCUGGUGGUACUUUGUGGUACAACAUCACAUCAUGGAAGCCACUCAAAUUGCCCAAACAGAUAGGAAGAUGUCCUGAUAGAUCAUUGUCUGCAAAGUCCAAGACAUGUAGCAUCUGAAGACUGCACAACUCCUGAGGUAUGCUGCCUAUGAACUUAUUGUUUCGCAACCUUAGCACUGUGAGUGAGGUUAGCCUUUCUCCAAUCCAUCUUGGUAUUUUCCCGGAAAAUCUAUUGUCUCCAAGAUCAAGCAGACUCAAGUAUGUAGAGUUUAUUGUUGUUCCGAAUGGGAGUUCUCCGGAAAGAUUGUUCCCAUUCAAUUUCAACCAGAGAAUGUAAGUUGGUAAAAACAUUGAACUAGGAAGAUUGCCUGAAAGGUUAUUCAUUGACAGAUCAAUAAUUAAGAGAGCUUGUGAGUUCCCCCAGUUAUCAUGGAUUUCUCCAGAAAAUUUGUUGUUUGACAAAUACAGCUCAGUCAAAUACUUCAUCUUCCCCAUGGAGAAGGGUAUCUCACCAUUCAUAAAGUUACCUGACAGAUUAAGGUAAGUCAUGUAUGGCAUUUGUUCACCAAUGUUCUCCGGGAUCGAUCCUGAUAUCGAAUUGUUGGCCAAACUCAGAUAUGACACAUUGCUCCAUAAAGGAAGAGGGCCUUCGAACCGAUUUGAGCUGAAGUCCACCCAUGCACCCUUGGAAAUUCCAGUGAUUUCGGGAGCACUCCAGCUAUCCGGUUAUCAGAGAUAUCUAACCUGAUUAAUUUGAGGGGUUAAUUCCCAAAACCAAUUCGUACAGUUUCUGAGAGGCCUACCCCUUGAAGAUAGAGUGUGGACAGUUGCUUUUGAGUCUUCAGCCAAGUUGGGAAUCUAUCACCAAUUUGGUAAUUGGUGAUUCUCAUGAAUUUUAGAUUGAAAGGAGGAAUCCAGUCGUUGCUCACAUUUAAGAAAAGCUGUUUGCUUGAAGAUGAUAGAGCCAGAGUUUCCAAAUUAUUUAGCCUGUGAAAAUGUUUCUGGAUAGAGAACCUUCUCUGGAAUCCUGAAAGAGAUACAAGUGCUUUAAUCCUGUUAACUCUCCAAUGCUUUCUGAAAUCGAACCAUUUAUCGGAUUGUAACUGAGGUCUAAUACCUCCAAGCUCCUCAAACGAAUAGGGUGAUAAAUAAAGGAGAAGGGGAUUGCAUCAAACUCGAUAGGUAAGAGAAUAGAUUAUGGUAUGACUAAAUGAGGCAUAAGUAACAGAAACUUUGGUGAUGUGGCAAAAAAAUUGUGAAAAGGAAGAUUACUAGUACAGUAAUUGUUGUGGUUAGACAUCAUGUUUGAUAGUUGGUACGCACAAUAGGUCAGAAAUGACAGUAAUACAACUGGUCUCUAAAAUUACAUGAAGAUACUGUAAAAUUGGCUGCUUCCUAUUUCUACUGCAUUGGUAUUGUACAAUAGCAUAAUAAAUAGAAGAAGAAGUUGAUCCGAAGUAGAAGUUGAUAGGUAGGACAACAGAUUAUGUAGAUUUGUGGUAGUUGAAAUAAAUAACAAACUGUGAAGAAUGACUUACUCAGUGUGGGAAAAAUUGUUACAAGUUGUAUUACAGCUAGUGUAACUAAUAUUUGAUGCUCAUAUAUUAUGCUUAGCAGUACUUCAUCAUAUAUUAUGCCUGUGGCUGGAAAUGAAAUUUUGGAACUGAAGUACAAUUUAUUUGUAAAAAACAUUAGUUUACAUGGCAAGAACGCGAAUAGGAAACAGACUUCAGGAAGGAAACAGAGAAGAACUCGCUGAAACAAAUGGUGCUACAGAACACGGGAUACCGCCCAAUUCAUUGAAUAGGUAAGUGGCCAGUACUUAUGUAUAGUCGUGGCAGAUUAGAUUUGUCAUCAUUAUAAUGUAUUACAAUGUUGAUUAUGCAGGGGCCGGAUAGGAAGGAAAAGAACCAAUAAAAGAAAUGAUCGUUUAGAUGGAGAGGAAGAAAUGCAGGCAGCGAAAACAAGCGAGGUUGCAGAACCAGUCCCACCAUUGAAUCCAUGGAUGAAGUUCAGGUAAAAGCAUUGAAUUUGAGGAAAAAAUAAUGCUGUUAAAUAACACAAAUAACUUUGGAAUUUUGAAUGUGGACAGGAAAGAGUAUCAACGCACGGUUUCGGCAAAAGGUGUUAAGUUGACAGAGGUAUGCUGUCCUAACAAAAUAAACACUACAAUCAUUGAACUGAUGGGUUGCCUAAGAAAAAAAUAGUGAAGCGAGCAAUUGUUUUAUGUUUUAGUUUAACGUGUCUUUUGAUUUUGAUUAUUCAAUACAGUACAAUGACAUUGUCCGGGCAGCAUAUAAUAAGUUGAGUGAGGAAGAAUUGAGCAAACAAAAGGAGGAGUAUUUGAAAGAGAAAGAAAAGUACGAGAAAGAAAUGGAACGUCUUGGAAAGCCAAUAGUGCGAAAGGCACGGGUUCAAAUUAAGGUAAAUACACGUCACGAUUCGUCAAACACUUAAUCAAACUUUUCGAUUUUUCUAACGCAUAUAUCUAAAAAAUGGUGUAGAAUCGGAAGUACAUUAUCCGUUGCUCGCCAAAGCAGAUGUCAAGCUUAGUUUCACGAAUCGAUGAAACAAAGAAGCAACAGAUUAAAGACAUAGGGUUUGAAGGGCUGCUAGACAUACAGUGUCACUGGAUUCCUAGUGGCAUAGCUACCUGGUUCGUCGAUAACUUUAAUCCGACAUUGAGCAGUUUGAAUGUACAUGGAGAUGGUGUACUGCCUUUAAUAUCAAAGGAUAUUAGUUUAAUCUUGGGGAUCCCAAACGAAGGUCACGUUCCAGUUGAAGACACUGAUACAACCGAGGUUGGGGGAACCGAACCAAGUCGUAGGACAUACAAAUGGAAAGAACUGCCAAAUGAGUUGGUAGCCAUGAAUGCAGAGGAUGAAUUCAUACGACUAUUGUUGCAUUUGCUUGUGGAUGUCUACUGGUUCCAAGUACUAGAGUCGAGCACAAAAUAAAGCUUUGGAUGUGUACGCAUUUGGUUGAUAGGGUGGCUACAUUGAAUUGGGUUAAGUAUGUCAGGAUCGUACUGUGCAAUAAGGUGCUAGAGGUGCAAAAGAAAAGUGAAAAGCAGCACCAAUACGUUGGCGGUUGCAUCUUCGUUCUGCUGGUAAGAUUAGGUAGUUGUAGUCAUGAUUGAAACAUGCUUUAAUGGUUAGAUAAUGCACCAGAGAUUAAUCACUUUUGAGUGUAUGUAAACUAUUGUAUGCAUUUUCAUGUUCUGUUGAAUUUAGUGCGACGGAUUGAUUAGAUUAUGUUCAAAUGAAUGUGUGUACAACGAUGCUCAUAUGCGGUAAAAUUUAUCUGUAGUUGAAUUAAUUGCUCUAUUGUAUUGCAGAUUCAUUAUCUUGACCGAGUGCAAAUACUGAAGCAUAAAGUGCCAAGGACUACGCCACGAGCAACAGCAUGGACAGAUGCUCUAAUCUUUGAAAGGGAUGCAUUGGAAAUUAGAAAUCUUGGGGCUUAUGGGAAAGAAAAACUGGUAACAUGUUAUUUAUUGUUUACCUCAUUUCAUAUAAAAAGUAUUGGUGUAUGUAUUACGUGACUUUGGUAUUGAAAUUGUUAGUUUAAUUUGAUGUUAAAGAUUGGACGAAAUGAUCCGGAAGAGAAUGAAUAUGGUGUGUGGAGUACUGAACUACACCCUGAUUUGGUAGGGAUGAUGAUGAACAGCGGGCAUGCCGAUAUCGGUGUAAGUGGACCUGUUUCAUGAUUAGCGAAAUUUAUUGUUUGAUUUGACGUAAUUACUGCAUAUUAUUGUCAACAUUAUGGAUCAUUAAUAGGCCUAUGAGCUUGUAACUACAUACAGUUACAUGUUAAUAUAUGAAACCAAUCCCAAUAUUAUAUUGAACAAAUAAGUUAUCUUGAAUUAAGUCACAUGCGUGUAAAUAAAUAAAUAUAGUGAUCUUUUGGAUAAUCAUGUUAUAAAUAAAUGAACAUUCAAUCUUCACGGUGACCAUUUUAUUUAUUGCCAUAGAACUUACAGUUAUAGAACGUAUGCCAGCAGUACAAAUGUUAAAUUUAUAACUUUCACUUAGAUGUACUAUUGUAUAUGUCUGUAUUGUAUUCCAUUCUUGAUUGCAUGUGAUUCAUUUAUGGAUUGGUAAUGUCGUCAUGUAACUGCAGGCUGAACUGAAUGAGCUGUAUAACAAUGCUGUUAGUAGCCAACAAAGGAUAUUGAAGAUUGCAGAAAUACUCUUUUCUCAGCCGAGAGCAAAAGCUUCCACUUCUGGGUCUGAAACAUUGGACAAAGGAAAAAAACCUGUACAGGAGGACUAUACAAUGCACCAGAGUCCUGAUACCGAAGAAAAGUUGGAAUUUCAAUCUGCCGAAGAAGGGGGUAAUGAUGAGGAUGAUGAUGCUAAUGAAAUUGAUGCGGAAGGGUCUGAAGAAGACGAGCAUAAUGCAGCGCAGAAUGAAGAAGACGAUGCUAAUACGAGGACAAAUAUUGAAACCAUCCCAAACCCAGAGCUAAAUGAAGAUAUAAUGGACAUGGAGAAUCCAAUUCUUACCUCAUCAGUCGGGCCCAAAAACAUCAGUCAGGGAUUGCAACAAAGGGCCACCAUGACAACAACUAAGCAUGGAAGCAUUAUACACCUUCAAGAGCAAGAGCAGGAGCAAUAUAGGUCAAAUGUCACAGAACCUGCCGAAGAAGGUCAAUCUACGGGGCAACUACAUUUGAACGCUAGUGCAUCGACGCCACAUCUGUAUGAGCCAGAAACACCACGUAGGUUGUUAUCAUAUGGACGAAAGCGGAAAGGUUGGUACAGUUGUAUUAUUUAUAAGAUUCUAAUUCAAGUAACAUGAUGAACAGCUAUACACACAUACGGUAAGCGUAUUUAUACCAUAAUGAUACUACCUAUAUGGGUUUGAAAUGUCGCUGUAAAAUUGGUUGCCCCGUAUUUUUACUGCAUUGGAAAUUACAGUGUGUUUGAAAAACUGUUAGUUAUACUUUGUUUGAAAACUGUUACAAAACUGUUAUUGGAAAGUCACAGUGUUUUUCAAGAUUGUUACCAAAAAAUUUAUUUGGAAAGUUACAGAUUGAAAAUUAAUACAAAACUCCAUAUUUGAAGACUGUUUACAGUGUGUUUGUAGGUUGUUACAAAAUAUUUAUUGAGAAUUAUGCUGUAUAUUCGAAAACUGUUACAAAAUAUUUAUUUGAGAAGUUACAGUUUCAAAAUUAAUACAAAACUCCAUAUUUGAAAACUGUUAGUUACGAAGUGUUAGUAGGUUGUUACAAAAUAGUUUUUGAAAAGUUACAGUGUAUUCGAAAACUGUUACAAAAUAGUUGUUUGGGAAGUUACAGUUUAAAAAUUAAUACAAAACUCCAUAUUUGAAAACUGUUAGUUACGACGUGUUUAAAGGUUGUUACAAACUAGUUAUUGAAAAGUUACAGUUUGUUCGAAGACUAAUACAAAAUAGUUGUUUGAAAAGUUAUAGUUUGAAAAUUAAUACAAAACUCCAUAUUUAAAAACUGUUGGUUACGAAAUGUUUUAAUGUUGUUACAAACUAGUUAUUGAAAAGUUAUAGUGUGUUCGAAAGUUGUUACAAAAUAGUUAUUUGAAAAGUUACAGUUUAAAAAUUAAUACAAAAUUACAUAUUUGAAUACUGUUAGUUACGACGUGUUUGAAGGUUGUUACAAAUUAGUUAUUGAAAAGUUACAAUGUGUUCGAAAACUAUUACAAAAUAGUGAUUUGGAAAGUUACAGUUUGAAAAUUAAUACAAAACUCCAUAUUUGAAAACUGUUAGUUACGAAAUGUUUUAAGGUUGUUACAAACUAGUUAUUGGAAAGGUACAGUGUGUUCAAAAACUGUUACAAAAUAGUUAUUUGGGAAGUUACAGUGCAAAAUUAAUACACAAUUCCAUAUUUGAAGACUGUUAGUUACGACGUGUUUGAAGUCUCCUCACAAAAUAGUUAUUGGGAAGUUACAGCGUGUUUGAAAACUGUUAUACAAUAGUUAUUUUAGCAGUUAUAGUGAGGUUUAAGACUGGUACAAAAUAGUUCUUGGGAAAUUAUAGUGUGUUUAAAAAUUAAUACAGAACUGUUUGAAGAGUGUUACAAAAUGAUUUACAAUGUGUUAUACAACUACAAAAAAAUUGCAUUUGAAAUGCAUGUUCUUUACUUUUUAGGAGGUCUUGACAUUGAGAUAAAGCACAAGUCUACACGUGCAACAAAGAAGAGCAUCGUUCUGCGAUCAGCGGAGUACAUUCUAACAGCACGUGUGACAGUAAGUAUGUAUGAAAAAAAUGUAGCUGCAUAUGCAUGGGACCCUGACAAAAAUUUCAAGUAAGAUUCUUGACAAAACUAUUAAUUCGACCUUGUUGUCCAUUCACUUCAAUAACUACGUAUGUGGUUCAUUGUAAGAUGGCACAGGAAAACUGUAUGAAAAUGGAUGAGCAUUGACUUCAUAUACAUUACAUAUCUGUUUGUUGGAAUACGAAUAUUAAUUAUUAGUAAAUCGUUAAAUUGUGUCCCGGAUCUGAUAGGGACAUACUUAUUCAAAUGUUUCAAUUCUCGCUGACGCGGCUUCACUUGAAGACACUUGAAAAUGGCAUGCAUGUGUCGAAUCGGGUCAGUAGUUUAUUACGUUUAUUCAAAAAGUUUGAUUAUGAAUUUAUUGAUCCGAUUAGUGAUAUGUAAAUGCAAUUGUAACAAUCAAUUACAUCUUUUGGACACCCUUGGAUAUUGAUUAGCCCGUCUCAUGAAUUGGGGUGGAAGAACUGCCAAAAGUAGGAAGUUUGAACGCUACAUCGUUGAACCUCUCACUAUUGUGAGUUUGAAAUUUGGACUGCAUCCUAUUAUGUGUUACAAUUUUUUCUGCAUCAUAUCUAAAUUGGUAUUACGAGCCAACGCAUUAUUACUGAUGUCAUCUACACUGCUCCUACUCGCCCAUAUUAUUGGUUGCAGGAAGGAAUUUUAAAAAUGGAAAAAUUUGACAAGCUGUCUAAUGCCAGCUUAUCUGCUAAACUGAAAAACUAUUCAAAGUUCGUAAUAACAAUACGGGGGUUGAUCCCGCGAAUUGUAAUUGGGUAUGCAAUUACCACCUUUAACCGAAAGCUUUUUUUUAUUAGAUGUUGAAUAUGCAAAAAUGUAGAAUCAAGUUACAUACCUUUUGUGUGUUACCUUUUUUAUACCUCAUUCAUUUCAGAUACUUGUGCCAGUAUGCACAGAGGGGUAUUGGUUUGUCUACAGCUUUGAUGUCUCACAGAGAGAAGUGCACCUGCUAGACCCUAAUAGCGAUCAAGCAAAGAGCAAAGAUAUUAGUGUACUGAAUCGACUGGUAUGUUGGACUGUCACCUAAAUGCAUUACAAGAGAAGAGGAUGACACAUUAGUGCUUCUAAUCUGUUUUACAUAAUCUUUGGUGCUACAGAAACGUGCGACAAAGUUUGGCAAGGAAAUUGACUUCUCCAGUUUCUCGGAGGCACUUGCCGAUGUACCUCAUCACUCACCAAAUAAAAUGUAAAUAGUUUCACUUCUCACACCAUUAUUGUUAGAGAUCCAAAUAUUUUAUUACAACACAUACACUCUAACUGACUAAUGAGAAGAUAACAUGAACAGAUGUGAUAGUGGUGUCUUUAUUAUGAUAUUCUUAGAGCAUUGGAACGGAAGGUUGGCUGUUCGGCUUACAGAGGUAUUACAAUGACACAACCUUUUUUUCUAGUUUACAUUUGAAAUUGUGGUUUAUAGUUGUUGCCUUUGCUUUCGAAAAUAUUUAUUACGUUUAAAUUGGAUAGGAAAAUGUUGGCAAGUAUCGAGUGCUGUACACAGCUCGAUUGUGUACCUCAGCGGAGAACUCUAAGUUUCCGGAUAGCUUUGCAAACCUACAAGUACCAAAACGGGCGCAGUGACUCUGUUGGUAUUGCCUGAACUUCAAUUAGUCAGAUGUGACUGUAGUUGAACAAAAUUGGAUGUUCUUCCAUUUGUACAUUGUUAUGUGUCUAAUAUAGCUUUUGAAUUGGUGUAGACUACGUUUUGGGGUAUAUUGACAAGGACUAUAUUAACCUUAUUGUAGAUUAAUAGAACUUUUAAUUUGACAGUCAUCAUAUGUACAUAAGUGUACCUGUUGUUAAAUUUCGAUGAUGAACACAUUGCAGUAUGGGGUCCAUAGAUGUCUCCCCAUAAAUUAGGGACCGAAGAAUAGUUUUCGUAGUUCAAUAUUUGUUACAAAGAGUACAUAUAAAGUUACAACAUAGCACAUAUAAAGUACGGAGUCCAUACAACAUCCUUCAUAUAAACUUGGACCCAGUAUGGGGUCCAUACAGGUCACGUUUGGACCCAAGAAUAGUUUUCGUAGUUCAAAAUUUGUUACAUUGAGCACAUAUGAAGUUAGUGCACGUGCAUUGUUAUACAACAUCGACCCGAACAUGUCGACUAACAAACAGGUUUUAUAAAAUUUGUUUGCAUUAUUAUCAUAGUUAUUGGGAACAAAACAUAUGUGGCCUUAGUUACACUGCCUUUUCUGUAUCUUUAACAACAAAAUCGACUAGGAUUCCAUGACUAAUCUUUUAAUGCAAACUGAGUAAUUAUAGAUGUUAUUUGUUUGUAAGUUGACCUUUUACCAUGACCACUUAACCUCAAAUGAUGGCACGACUAAUUAAGUUGAAGGAUUGGUAAAUGUUACAAUUACAUAGUAACUUUGUCCAAAAUUUAAGUUCAGAUUUUAGGAGACCUACCCUUUUAAUGCAUAGGAGUCUUUACAUAAUAUUUGGUUCUAAAUUUUACUUUUAUCACGAACGCAUACCCUUUUGUUUGUUGAAGCAAGCAGGACUAAACCUUAUCCUCUAAUCUAAUUUUACAGAUUUCAAGAGUAAUUACUUACACAAACAAAUUGAACGUGGGCACGAUUACAUUAUUCGUAACUAGUUGACCAACAAAUAUUAAAUACUAAAGCACAUUCGUAACACUACAGUAACUCAUCGUAACACUGUUCGAAUGUCUUGUAAUGCCGCUUUCACGGUUUGUACGUAAAGACUUGCAGCAAACUUGACUCCAUGGUUGCUAGUUUAUAAUCUCUGGAGCUACAUAUUAACUGCCACCCGUGUGAUACUCACCCGGUGAACCCACAACCAUUACUUUAUCCUCUCAUACCCAUAUUCUCUCAUACCCAUUACGUUGGCCCCUGAUAUUUUAGGACAUUGGGAGGGUCCUGCGGACUAUAAAAGAGCGUGGUUGCAGUUUUAUAUCCCACAACAACAAAAGUUUGGUUGUAACACAUUCUGUACGCUUCGUUAUGAAUACUUGUUGUAUUAUAAAACUUAGUUUUAACUGUUGGAAAUUAGCCUAUCCCUUGUACUAUUACCUUCCCAUUAUUGGCCUGAAAGUUUAUUUUAUCAUAAUUCAAUUUGAAAGAUUCUUGUAAAACCUAUCGAAGUGCCUGUAGUACAUCAUUACAAAUGGUGCGAACCGUUCGUUCUGAAAAUCUGACCCGUAUGUAGUGCCAAAAGUAAUUUUUUUGGUGACUAAAUGGCACAUAAUAAUUCAGCAACGCAUACUUAUCCAAAAUAAUAAUAAUUUGUAAAGGCCGAUUGCUAUAUGAUACAUCUAACCAUUCUAAGUGCCAUCAACGAGCAAUAAAGAUGUUAUUUACGGUUGUAACUGAAUGCUGGACAAUGGUAUAUAUAUCACAACAGUCAUUUGUUAUGGUAUUCAAUGAAAAAAUACCAUAAACAUAGCGAAGCACGUUCAAUCGUAUUGAAAAUUGUUACUCUAAUUUUCAGUAAACUUUAUAAAUUCUUAAUAACUUUACACAACACAUUACAGAAUACUUGAUGACUAUUAACACUGGACAUUAUUAUAAACUUUCUAUCCACUUGUCUAAAUUUGAACACAGUGAAAUAUUGAAGGUGCCUGUACAAGCACAUGAAUAACUUGUAACACCUUAUUAACUGCUUGUAACGUAGAUAUGCAGCAUUCCCAACCAGGACGAUAUGGAGGUCCAAUCACAACUGAGCUUCCAAAAACGCCGCAAAUCUCAUUCAAGACAUGCACUAAUUCAUUUCCAAAUUGUCUAUUAAAAGAAACUCACAAUAGCGAAGCGAUUGAAACUGAACAAUAUCUUCAACAGAGAAGUACUAACACCAAAAAAUGAGGUCAACUUGAUGAAUGGAUAAUUAGAACUCAAUAGUUUGGUCAACCAAUUAAUGUGUCGUUAAAAAAUUAGAGGUACACAUCAUUCAUCAACCUGCAUCUGAGGGGUGGCGACGUCAACAGUUAGUCGCAAUCCCUGGGUGUUAUUUCUUUCCUGAAAUAUGUAACGAUGGCAAAUCAGCUAAUACACCUAAUGGUACAUACGGUUAAUAAUAUACGAUAUCCAAGUCGCCAAAUAUCCAAUUAACAGUACUACAUAAAGAUGUGAUAUAAUGAUAAAUGUUUGUCACCUGUGGUGAUGGUGAAAAUACAUUAUAUCCAUCAAUAUCACAGUGUGUUGAAAUUGCCGCACGCUCCUCCUAUAUGAUAUAAAAUAAAUAUUCAACUGUUAACAAAUCAUUACCAGUGCCUAUAUUUCUCGGUUCAAAAGUUAAAUUGGAGUAGACAUUAUAACAAGAAACGAUAUAUCAAACCGUUAAUAUAUCUCUGACGGAGUUAUGCUUGAAAAAAAUAGAAAAUUUGAGGUGCAUUCAUUCUGUAGGGACUGUUGCAGGAGGCCCCUGAUUAGCCAAACGGUGAACUUUCGGAUAAUACAAAACAUUUUGUUAUAGAAACAAGCAUACGUUAACUGAAUAAUAUACAUGCUUUCAAACGUCCGGGUGUCGACCAUGACAAAACGCCUAAAGGAGUUAUACGAUACGAAUAACAAAGUUUUUAUUUUUCCUACUAAAUGUAUGCAUACCAUUUCACUUUCUUCGAUUUCGGGAGCAACAGCAUUUGGAGGGCCAUUCACUGACUGGCUCCUUGAAUGCGCCUACGAGUUUUGAAGAACCAAAUAAUUGUAUAAAACAGACAAAAUAAAUAUAUCAGGGAGGAUGACAGGCGUAACAAAAUUAUCACAUAAUGUAAUAUCCAUAUAACGAAUUAUGCUGUUAGAAACAUUUAAAUAAAAGCUAAAGCUUUGAUCAUUUUAUACUAAUCGAAACUGAGUCAGUAGAUGAGCGACAUCCCAUAAAUAUGUGUUCAUCAAAUUCAAUCGAUGUCGGCUUCGAUUCUGAGACCUGUAUAUUUGACACGACAUUAAUGUUAUUUCAUACUGAAUGGUACCUAAACUUUACUUAACGGUUAUAUAAUAAGAAUUUUUUCCCAUAAAUAUUUACCAUCACAAAAAUUGGAUCCAUACCGUAGUCUCUGUAGUUCUUGACAAUUUAGAUUUUCUUUUUACUCUAUCAAAUUUAUCGACCCAACUUCGCAUCACUCUACUUCUCUUCUCACAGCCUCGUUUCUUAAUGCCUCUUGCGACUAUUGCCUCUCCCAUUUCAUUUACAAUUUCAAUUUUAUCUCGUUCCUCCACAUUCAGAUUUUUAUGAUUUUGUGAAGGUUGCUCUUCACUUUCUGAGAGGAGGAGCUCAACUCUCUUUGCCAAAUUGGAUAUGACGGUGAUUACUACUUUGCUGGUGUCCUCCGACAUUGCUGCUCGAGUUGCGACCUUAAUCAUGGUUGGAGCGAGUUCCCGAUAACGAGUUGAAAUGAUUACUUUUGGAUCAACCACAAUUUCCCGUCCUCGCCGAUCAAAACAGUCCCCAGCUCGAGGUCUUUUUGUCCAUCGCCUCUUAACGUAUUCCGGAGGAAUUGUCUUUAUGCCCACGGUAUCAAACACCUUCAACGCAUGCCCACAUAAAAUUUCUUCAUUCUCGUAUUUUUUGCAACUACUGCGUACACUUAGAUCAGUCCGAUUGAAUACCACUAUUCUUUCAGGUCCUCCAUCAUACCUCAUUACCGCAAACUCCACAAACAUCCUUGGAUCUUGUUGUCUCAAUAUAACCAUAGAUGUUGACUCACCAUAUUCAUUUUGGAAUGCAACAAAUACGGUUGGUGAAUACGUCUCUGCUGCAUGCACAAGCAUAAGUGUUUGCCUCAACCCUACCAUGGGAAGCUUUUGCCUCAUUUCAUAUUCUGCAAUGAGUUCAUUAUGUCUCUUAUCAUCAACCACCAGAUUGAAAUGUCUAAAGAACUGCACAAGGUCGUGAUCCAGUUUCAAAUAAUUUUUUAUUGCUGCAUUUAGACUUUCACUAAGUUGGGUGCUUCGCAUUCCCGCAGUCCAUCUUUCUUUCAUCAUGCACCUUGCCCAUUUAUCACGAAUUCGAUACAGCCCGGAAAGCCAUUCAUUAUUUUCAAGAUUGUGCUUCUUCACCAUCGCCUCCCACAACUUGUUGAAUUGUUUCACUUCUUCAAUGUCAUACAUGCAGGCACCAAACAUGUAUGGAAGGUCACUAUUUUCCUUGUAGUGAUUGUCAAGAUGUUUCAUAAAAUUACAUCUUAUGUGAAACGUACAUAGAUCGUGAAAUGUUUCAGGCAUGACAACUGAAAGAACGGCUGCCAUGGCGUGAUCUUGGUCGGUUAGUAUGGUACUUGGACGCUUUUCGUACAUUACUUCUAGAAAUGUACCAAACACCCAUUUGAAAGAAUCUAUAGUCUCAUCAUACAUAAGGGCAGCACCGAAUAUCACAAAUUGCCUAUGUUGGUUAAAACCCACAAACACUCCAAAAGGCCGGUAUUCUUUAUUUGUUUUGUAGGUUGUGUCGAAUGUGACUAUAUCUCCAAAAAAAGUUGUAGUCAAUUAAUAUUCCUGCAUCAGCCCAAAAAAUAUUCGUUAUCUGCUCUUCACAAUCCAGCUGUACGGCAUGAAAAAAAGAUGGAUUCUUGAGUGUUUGCUCUUGAAAAUAAUUCAGCAUGCUACCUGCUUCUCCGUAUUUCAAACUCCUUUCCCGUCGAGUACGAAGAUAUCGUUUUAGAUCUUCCCGAGUAUAUCCCACAUUUCCCAAGCCACCUGCCUCCUUUCCCAUAAGCUCAUGGCUCUGUUUCAAUGAAAGCCCAGCAUCCUCGCUUAUUUCAGCUUGGAAUCCUUAAGCCUCACUCACUUUUCUUUGUGAUGGUAUCAUGUGCGAACAUUGAGUAAUGUGCAACUCAUGGUUAUGUUCUAAAACAAGGUCAUGCACACGGUAUUUCAUUGUCCCUCUAAGUAACACGAUAAUCAUUUUAGCUCCACACCCCGUUUUCGUCGGUGAUCGUGUCCUCUUUGGCAUCACAUCACCUUCGUACUUGCGUUUUACACCUUCCUUGUAGCAACUAUAUCUCCUAAACAUGGUCACACCAUCUUUAUCUUUAUUUAGAUAGUACACUAAAUCCCAUUUUAAAGGCAUAUUUGUUGUAAAAUGUGUACGCAUCCUCUUCAUUGUUGAAUUCCAUUCCUAACUUAGGGGUCCGAUCUUCUGCCAAUUUACUGCAAUCCAUUACUUCUGCUCCUGCUAAUUAUGCAUCAAACACCCUAAUUUGCAACACUUCAUGAAUAGUAUGUACAUAAAUGGCAACAUAAAUGUAUAUUACCAUUCAUAAUGUGUUAUAAAUCACACAUUACUCGUAUACCAAAUUCUAUUAUUACGCUUAUCAAUAUGAUUAAUGAUUCACAUCACCUUACUUUUACUCUAAGACAACGGCAUUAUCUAUGUACAAAUACAACUCCAUGUACACCAAGUUAUACAGACUGUAAUGUAUUGGUCACAUGAUGUAAGUUUAUUUUAACUGAAUGUACAUCCACGCUGGUGAUUAUAUUUUAAUUCUAGGUUCUUUAGCACACUGGACCUUAUGUCAUUCAUUACUGUCAACCGCAUAAGCCAACUCCGCAUUUUCUAUUAUUUCUACAUUUUGAGAGCCAAACAAGCACUUUCUACUCAUUAUAAUAUAUUUCUUACAUCAUGUAAUUUACUUACAACACAAGGUUCACCCAUUUAUUAUUCAUAUAUAUGUCUUUUCCUCUACUUCACCUCAUUCAACUCUACGCCUCCAUUUUAUACACACUGCAUGGUCACGAGAGGGGCAAACUAAUAUUGCCCCAUGAUCAUGAACCAACUACUACAUGCACAAUGAUUCAUAUCAAUUGUAAUACGGUAGCUAUAACAUGUAACUAAUUUACAACAGGAUGUACAUUAAUUCACUUGUUAAAUGUGACUUUGUUUCUCUCAUCUUUCCCUAAUUCCGUUCGACAGUUUACUUGAAAGGUCUUCCAAUAACUACUAUCCCAAUAUAGUCCAUCACUGAAAAGUUGAAUGCUCACACACACACACAGAUACGAUACGAUACACACACACAAAUAUAGUACAAUUUCACUAUUUUUCUAUCAUCUUCAUAUUAUGUCUUCAAUGACUCUAAUUUCAUCAUUCAUUUAACAGAUGUGCAUUUGGGUGACAAAUUAUUGGCCACAGUUACUAGCAUGGUUCACUCACAUUACCUUGGUCUGCUAAUACGCUUUACGUUUCACCGAAGUCGGAGAGCGUAGCUGCUUCUGCUAUUAAGUUGAAGGACAAAAUCUGGCUUCAUGAAAUGCUCAAUUUUCUCUGUUUGCUUUUACCUUACCGCCUGCCUUGGUUGCAUUCAAAAUGGAUACAACACUCUCAUACCCAGUUGAAGACCAUAGCUACUUCUGCUAUUCAGUUUUACGAACAAACUCUGAUUUCGUCUCUGUUUUAUUCUCCCUUGCCGCCUGCCUCUCCACCCACUUUUCUGUCAAUUACUACUUUCAUCAGAGUAGACUUCACCCACUUCACCUAGAAACACCCAGUAGGUUGAAGCCCAGCCGAACUUCAGCUUUCUACCUUUAGUGAGCGGUCGGUCAGAGUAGAGUACCUUCACAAGCACGCCAAGACUCUCCGCUGAAGUUUUGUUUUCUGCGGCUAGUUCAAAAUUUCAACUUGAAUUUCAAAAUCACGAAUCUUCCGUUUGCUCCGUCUGCUCCCGUUUGGAAGUCAAUAUUUUUUUAUUUGAAACGGCGUCGUUCCUUGCCCUGCUGAAGACUUGCUGACUUGGCUCAUUUGUCUCCUCACAUUUUUGAUUGUGAGGAGACCGUUCAGGAGCGGUCGGCCUGACGACCGCUCCUGCCCCGUAUCCCAUGUACUGUGGCCUGAUAAAAGCUUUUCAAUUCAGUCUAUCGUCAGUAAUGCACGGCUCUGUCGGUCAUGUUCAACGAAGUGAUUAAUUGUGGCAUACCCAAUUGGGAUUAGAGAGUUAAUUACGGUGUUCUGUUCCGUUGUACUUUUUUUUUUUUUUUUGUCGACGGAGUGGGUGUCCGGAUCAAGUCCGUAAAGGCGGCCCGACUAAUCCCACUUCAACCCGGCCCAGCGCCCCAACCAGACCUAGCACGUUAGAUGCACGGAGAAGCCGAUGUUGCUGCGGAGGUUCGACCCCAGGACCUGACGGUCCCGAGGAAGAGGCGCCAACCACCAGCCCAUUCACGUGGGGGCCUGUUCCGUUGUACUUGUAUGGGCAGCUUUUCUUGCUGUUGGGGACCACUCCUUACUUACAUAUUGAAAAUUUUUUUAGACACAAUAAAAUCUAUUUUGGACGUACUCCUACUCUAUAUUAGGUUAGGACGAGAGCGGAGCUAAAGAGAUUUAAGGAAAACUCGAAAGGAACUAAAUUAUCACUAGCCCAAAUGAGUGCCUACGCACUUGCCAGUAAACUUUUCCAGGAAAGCCUGGAUUUUUUAUAAUGCGGGCCAAGAGAUUUGAAGCUAUAUCUUUGACCCACAUCCAAGUAGAGAUUCAAAACUUUUUUAGUAACAAACUUUUUCACGUUUUACCAUUUCUUGCUUAUACAUUGUUUAAAUUGGAAUUUUUUGCAGAAAAAUUUUAUGUUUUUAAUGAACAUAUUUUUCAGUCGCCUUUUUAUCACACAAAUAUUAUUGCUAUAGUAUUUUUUCUACAAAAAUUCCAAAAAAAAUAGCAAUCCAAACGAGAAAUUGGGAUUAGAGAGGAAAUAUGACUAAAUUAGAGAGUGACGAGUAUGAUCUUAAGUUUAGAAUAGUAAAUUAUCAAAAAUAACGAAUGGUUUAAAGCAAAAAAGGGUAAAUGGUGAAUGAAAAUUGAUAAGUAACUGUUAUUAGAAGGUUUUUCAGAGCAAUAUAACAAUCGACUUUUUUAUGAAAACCUGCAUGGAUUCCUCCAAAUUUUUAAACCAGUACUCCUAAUGUUAAACUAUUAGAAUUAAUAGUUUCAAAACUAAAGUGCAAAUCGAUAGUAGUUUGCAGUGCAUGUUGCAAUUAAUCCAAAACUUGAUCGCGCCGUGUGAUUUCUCUUUGUUAUACAUGUGAAUAUACAAAUACCUAAUUGUUUACGCAAUAAUUUAGAACAUCAACGUGUUUCACCUUCUUGGGUAAUUACUGUUGGAAAAAUGGCUAUAUCCAUUGUAGAGUGAAUGAGAAAAUUGUUCUCAUAAUGACACUCUUAAAAGAAUCCAAGGAUAAUUAUCUAUCAUUCAUGUACAUAAGAUUCAUGUAUAUUAAUUAUUGAUACAUGAUUUUGGAUAGGAUUCAUGUACUUAAUACAUGAUUUUGGAGUUAUCUUAUUGAGAUACAUGUAUGUACAUGAAUGUGGUACUUUGAUAAACGUGAAGAAGUUCGCUGUGGUGAAGAAAGUUUGGUACUGACAUAUUCACCUUUAAUCCGUUGUAUCCUGGGAGACAGACGCCUACUUAACCUCGAGCACUCUACCUGGAGGGGGCGAAUCUAUUUUAAGGAAAUUGUGCUCACAAGUCUCGGAUUGUUAUUAUUGUUAUUUUCGAUUAUUUCUUUCUUUCUAGGUUGUAUUUACUCUUCUCUAUAGUGUAUCAGCCUAUUUUUUAUUAUUUCACUAACAAUUACUAAUUAGUGUAACACUUUUCUUCCAAAGGAAAACGACAAUAGAUGCGACACAACAUCAAUGAAAUACUAAAAAAGAUAAGGAGAGGACCUGGCCAAGAAAGUCCUUUGCUGCGGGAGAUGUCAAUUUCUACCCGCAUUUUGCAUUCUAGCAUUUACAUUUGCUUUCCAAUUAAGGUAGUGUAAUUUAGGGGUGGCAAUUCGGGUCCAAAUCAGGUUGGCAGGUCGGAUUCGGGUCAACCCGCCAGAAAAUCUGUUGACCCGAACCCGACCCGCCAACCCGUGACGGGUCAGGUAUGCUGACCCGAACCCGAAAAUUUCAGGUUGACGGGUUGGCGGGUCGACCCGAAAUGACCCGAAACUUAAUUUUAAUUUAUUAAUUUAUCACUGUAAUUUCUAAUAAAAUCAAUUUCUCACAAAACUAAUUACAUAAUCAAGUAAUAAAAUUUUAAAUAAGUAAUUCCAAACCAAAUCUAAAAUAAAUUAAACACCGUAAAAGUGUUUUAUCCCAAACAAAAUAUAAAAUAAAUUAAAACAGUAUAAAAGUAAAAAAUAAUAUAAUAUAUUAUUUAUCCAAAUAUAAUAAUUUCAACUUCACACAAAUUAAAUAAAUUCAUUUAUGAUUAAGUAAUUAAUGCCUUUGAAAAAAAGAAUAACUUAGGUUAGUUAGAUAAAAUUAUUUUUAUAUUUAUUAAAUUAUUUUUAAUUCGUAAACGGGUCAUAUCGGGUCAUAUCAGGUCACCACGGGUUGACCCGAAAUCGACCUGUUUUCUUUUCGGGUGCAUCGGGUCCAACCCGAUUCUGACCCGAAUUCCCAAAACCUCAACCCAAACCCAUUAAUUUCGUGUUAGAUUCGUGUCGUGUUUUCAGGUCGUGUCGAAAAUUGCCACCCCUGGUGUAAUUAGGCCAAGAACAGUGAAUUAGUUCAGGAUUUUUCCGUUUAAAAACACCUUCUGAUUAGUCGGCCUGUCCUUCAUUUUAUAAGAGGUAUGAUGUAGGAGCUAACCUUCCAUAACAUUAAAGGUGUCAAAAUGGGUGGCUCAAAUGGGUUUGAACCGGUAAUAAUUUGGUAAUGAGUAUAAUUAGGUUAACCCAUUUGUAUUGAUUAAAUAAAUGAGUAUGGGUAUAUCCAACAACCUAUUUAUGAGUCAAUUAAAAUUUUAAUUUUUUUAUUUUUUGCAUAUUGCUUAAUAAGAAAUAACUAUAUUUUAUUAUUGUUAGAUUGAUAAAAAAAAAUUCAAAUUUAUUUGCUUAAUGCUCACUAAGAGUGCGGAUUUGGACAGGUUAUUAGUGCACAGAUUUGGACAAGGUCAACAUAAUUGGAUUGUAACUGAGCAUUGGUUUACAUGCCUAAAUUCCACUUAAUUUAUUAUGUAUAUACACAUAUUAAUAAUUAUUAUUCUCUCUUAUAUUUAUACACUUUCUAUAAUUGGUUUUAUCUUUCCCAAAAUCUAACAUUUGAUAUAUGUCUUAACAAGUCUCCAAUGACCACCCAUUAAACAGACCUUACUAUGUUAGUGUGCCUCUUGUCAUUGUGAAGCAAGUCAAGCAUGAUUAUUGAAAGUCCAUUUUCUUGUCACUUUCUUUUUUUCUCAUUCAUACACUCAAAUGUAUAAUUUUGAUUGACAACUGACAACUAAUUGAAAUAAUCUUUUUUAGUUUACACUAAUAAUAAACUGCCUCUUACACUUUUAACUUAUGUAGAUUUAUGCUUAAUUACAUUUCUUUUUUUUUUUUUUAUCUUUUUGCAUAUUUUGCAUAAUUACCUACCCAUAUCUUAUUUUUAUUCCAAUAUCUAAGUAAGCAGUACUCGAAAAUAUACAAAAAGAUAAAAAUAAAAAAUUUUGAUUAAAAUCAACGUAAGUCAAAAGUAUAAAAAAAAAGGUCUAUUAUUAGUCUGAAAUUAGCGUCUUCUUAAGAUGAUGUUUAAUUUUUGUCCAUCUUGUUUGUUUUAAGAGUUUGCAAAAGGAUUAAAAAAAAAAAAGAACAUAAGAAUUUGAAGAGAAGAAAAAAAGAGAAACAAGGAGCAACAUGUGGAAAAUGUUUUUUUGAAAAAAAGGAAGCUAUGGGAAAUAAUGGAAUGCUAGAGCGUGCGCUAGGAAGUGGAGUGAAGGAAUUAAUGUGAUAGCCAACAACUCCAACCCCCUUUCCAAGAAGUGUAUAUUAAAACUCCAAAUUUUGAAAUUGAUGUUCUACAUUAGUUUAGUUCUUAAAUUAUAAUCUUAUACCUCAAGGACUAUACAAAAAACCUAUCAAGAUAGAACCCACAAAGUUACUUUCUAGAAAAGUUUAGUCUAGUAUUAAUGUAUUAUUCACCAUAAAAAGGUUCACUAAUACUGUAGAAGAACAAACGCCAUCAAAAUUAUAUCAUCCAACACUAAAUCAAUUAAAAUCAAUAUUAAGUAGUUGAAAAGUACAGUAUAAAGUUGUGAGCUAAUAUGUUUAUCCUCUAAUGACACCAGCUGCAACCUCGUUCACAAAAGCCUUGACAUUAAGGCUGGAGGAUCCUCCAUCUUUGGCAGCUUCUACAGCCAACUCCCUCCAUUUUUUAGCAGUCUUUCUCAUCUCUUCACCUCUCACCCCACCAUCCAUAACAAUUUCUAAGCUUCUUCUGAUCUCAUCAGCCUCAACAGUUCCUUCUUCAUUGGCCGUAGGCCUUAUCCCAGUCUUCCAAACAUCUUGAAUAAAUUUUGCAUUGGUAGUUUGAUCUGUCCAGAGAGGUAUUGCCACAACUGGCACCCCAGAAGCUAAACUCUCUAGAGAAGAAUUCCAUCCACAAUGACUCACAAAGCAUCCCACAGAAGGGUGUGACAAAACCUCCACUUGUGAACACCAAGAAACUAUCAGUCCUUGCUUUUCCAAUUCAUCUUUACAGCUUAACUUUUCCUCCAGUUUCUCACCCUUGGGAGACUUCCUAAGCACCCACAAAAAUGGCUUCUUGCUUUGCAGCAACCCUUGAGCAAUUUCCUCUAGCUGUUUUAAUGGUACAUCUGCGAAACUCCCAAAUGCUACAUAAACAACAGAUGCAUCAUUCUUGGAAUUCAGCCACUCGACACAAUCUUUCGUUUCCUGAAGCAAGUCACCACCAAACGAAGAAUCCGAAGAAUCCCUUCCAUCUAAGAAAGCUGAAGGAAUCAAAGGUCCAACAGCUACCAGCUUCAACUUCACAGCAGCCUUGAGAGUCUCAGAUUCCAAAGCAUCAAAUGUAUUUACGAGAACUUUUGGCUUUUCUUCCUCUUGGAGUAGUUCAAAAUGUUUAUUGAUCGUGGGCAAAGCAAAACUGUAGACAUCAGGAUUUGAAGCCAGAAAAAAUGUGGGGAGAUCUCGGCUAGCUAGUGUUGGUAAUCCGGGUAAUUUAAUUGUUUUACUGCUAGAAAUAUCUCCAGUAACUUCCCCACAGCCAUUGAAGAAACAAUAGUAGAGUUGGAAAAGAGCUGCCGGCUGUAUCCAAAGAAGAGUUGAUGGAAUCUGAAGUUGACGAGCAACUUGACCAACCCAAGGCAUAAGUAUGGCGUAGACCACAUGAGUGAUUGGACGGCCCUCAUUGCUCUGAGCCAUGAUGAGCUCUUUCAGGGUUUGUGAGCCACGAGUAACCAGAGAAGUCAUAUAUUCUUGAACAUCAUCGUCAGUAGUCCAGCCUUGGUCAUAACCAUCAGAAAAAGCAACAAUGCUUAAUUUUUCUGGUAACGAAUCCGAGGCUCUGCUCAUGCGGUUGAUUGCACCAAGACUGGUUGAAAAUGUCGUUCUAACGCCUAGUUUUGCUAGGCGUUUCGCGAAUUGGAGGGUAGGGUUGAUAUGGCCUUGGCCUGGAAAUGUCACAACUAGAAAAUGGCAAUUCUCCAUUGGAGUGAGGAAGCUUGUAAGGUUUGUAUUGAAAGAGAAAGAUUGUUUGAAUGUUUAAUGUGGAUUAUUUGCCUAUAGACUACAGAGUUAUGAGCAUGUUUAUUUAUAUAGGGCCAAGGCAUUGAAAGGUGAUGUUUGUCAUGACGAAGGGUUGUCUUGCAUACUUCAGUACUUACUUCAGCACAAAUAUUGCUUUGACCAAGUUUCACAACUUCUUUACUUCUCCACCAACUUUUCAAUCUUGACAGCGGACACUAUAAACCUUUACGAUUUGAUUAUUAUCCGUUGCUAACAAGGGCUAAUCUAUAUAUCUAUAUAAUAAUAAAAUAUCAUAUAUUAUUAUUAUUAUUAUCUAUAAAAGUGCCUUGAAUAGUUUAUAGUUGGAUGUUCCUUACUUUUUUUAUUUGCCUGAUAUGCCCUUAAGAUAAUUUGUCAACAUAUAGGUGUUUACAAUUUGACUACAAUUUGAACUUUAUUCAAUGAUGUUCUAUUCAAAUACAAACACUAAUCAUGCAAAUUACAAAUCCUCGGGCUUCUUCCAAUUACUUGAAAAGGUGGAAAUAACCAACUGCAGAAAAAGCAUCUCUAGCUUGAAAAAAUGAUUAAUUUGACGGGUUGGAAAAGUCAUAUAUGGUUCUCUCAAGCAUUGACAGCUACUUUUGUUCGUGCCAGAAUAACGCACCUCAUUAGUUUGAUGUCUCAAGCAUUGACAGCUACUUUUGUGAACAGUGAGUGCAGGAAACCUUUAGAGUUGGAAUUGUAAAGACUCUUUUUUUUGGUUGGUUACAUAGUUACUAAUCUUGGUGUGGUAACACCCAUACAAUCAAGACCUUGAGAGAAUUCUCCCUUGUUUAACCUCUGAAUUUCUAGCAAUGUAAAUAUUAUGCGGGUAAAUGAAUUCUGUUCUUACCUAGUUUUAUUUAAUGAGUUUGUCAAUUCUUUCAUCGUUUACUUCGUUGAUUAAAAUUUAGCUAGCACCUUUGAAGCCCCAAAAAAAAAAAAAAAGACGGAGUUCUUCUAAGUAUGCAAACGUGAAUUAAUUUACUUUUUCAUACCAGUUAGCAAAUUCUAAUUACUCAUCUGUUGGUACAGUAUCUGAUAUGACUGGGUCAAUCUUCUCGUGGCAUAGAUUAAUUACACGCUUUUGCAAGUAGAAUCUUCAACCAAGAAAAUAUAAUUUGAGAAGAACAUGAAGCUUGUACGCAACUUAAGAGCUUAGGUCUGAGUGUCAACAUGCUAAAUUAAGUUCAACAUAGAGAUGGAUUAUCUCACUUUAUCUCUUGAAUAUUCCUUUAAUUUAAGGACUAAAGAGGAAACAUGAUUGGCAUUAGACACUGAUAAGUAUGAAAUUAUGCUUAGGACCAUAAGAUGUCAAAAAUAAAGAAUGGGGGAAACCAAGUAAAUGGUGUAUGAAAAUUGAAGAGUACUUCAACUUGUCACUAGAAGGCAUUUCAGAGCGGGUUUAUGGCAAGUACGGUUUAACUUCCGAAAUGAUUGGCAUUAUUAUUUUAUUUCUUUCAAAUAUUGAUAUAUAUAUAUAUAUAUAUAUACACACACACACACAUAUGUGGACAUGAUUCUAUUCGUAUAUGGAAUUGAUGUACGUGAAUUGUGCUGUUUUCUCUUAUUUUGUUUUUAGAUCUGAAUUUAUUAGCAGAUCUGGUGAAUACAACAUGCGCGGAAAGUAGCUACAACGAUUUAUUUUUUGGAAAAUAAUUUUGAAAUUUCUUACAUUUUUCAGAUCUGUUCAUAAUUUUUUAGAUUUAUUGAAUCUGUUAACUUACAUAUGUGUAAUUUCUAAUGCAUGUUUUGUAAUUCAAAUAAUACUGAACGAUUUUCAACAAUCCAUUAGUGAAAUUUACUUUUAAUCCAAAAAAUAAUAUAUAUUAAUAAAAGGGAUAAUUUCAUAAACCUCACGUCCCCUGAGGUUUCUGAUAGUCUCACUACGCUCUCUUAAGGUUUCUAAAAUAUUAGAUACCUCCCUUAAAACUAAGUAGGUGACAGUAAAAUCAGUCCAAUUCAAAAAUACAAAUGAUAUAAAAGUAAUUAGUAUCAGGGGAGAGAAUAUAAAAGGAUUUCACAGCUGCCCUCAAGUGUUGCAUUAGUGAGUUAAUUUGAUAUGAAUAGUACAUAGCUAUUUGAACAAGAAAUAAAGUUCAAGGGGUGUAACUUAUGGCAAAGGCAAGGUUUCAACUUAAGUUUGGAACUGGAAACUAACGGCUCUUUCUGCAACCAUUUCUAACUAAGGGUAGCAAUGGGGCGGGGGACCCCUCCCCCACGUCCCGCCCGUUGCCUAUUAAUUUCCCCCGCCCCCGCCUCGUCCCCCGCCCCCAACUUCCCUUGGGGGCACUCGUGGGGUUAAAAAAUUUUUUUUAUAUAAUUUUAUUAUAAUUAAAUUUUAGUAAAUAAUCAAGUACUAAAAUAUCAACAUAUUAUCAAAUUAUUAUUUAUUGUAACUUCACAAUUAAAACUCAUAAAAAUAAUUAAAUAAAAGUUAUUUGAAUAUAAUCUAAUAUGACAAAGCAAAUAUAACUAAAAUAAUCAAGUUUUCACUUUGAUACAAAUACAACACUAAAUUAUUAUUGUGUUUUUUUGAGAAAAAAAGUGUUAUUGUAUUAAGUGUAGUUAGGAAUUUAAUAUAAAUGUAUUAAUAAAUUUAGUAUAAAUAAUUAAUAAUUUUUAAGAGACAUGUAUAAUUAGUAGUAUAAUUGAUAUUAUCAAUUAUAUUACAUAUACUAAUAUACAUUAAAUGAUACAUAUAACUAAUAAUAUCAUUAUUAUAAAUUUAUAACUAAUUAAAUUAAAUAUUAUAUAUAAUUAUGUACAUAUAUAUAUCUUUAUUUUUUUAAACAGGUGGUGCAGUAUACCCCCGCCCCCGCCCCGUUUCUAAAUGGGGGAAAAAAAUUCCCGUCGCCCCUACCCCAAUAAUCCCCCGGGGGCGGGUACCCGCAGGCCCCGCCCCCAUUGCCAUCCUUAUUUCUAACAUCUAUUUGAGACAGCAAUUGCAUGAGACUCUGUAUAACAACAAAAUCAACCAGCAAGAGAGGACAAUUUAACGGUUUGGUGUUAGAUGAGCUAAAGCGACACAUUUCUAUGAAUGAAAUAAGCAGCAGCAACAGAUAGAAACACAUAGAGAUGGCUCGUUCAAGCAAUGGAGGAAAAAGUUGGAAUUCACCAACGUUAUUUGCAAUUAGAAACAGAUAUUGCAACUAUAAUCCCAAGGAGACAAUCAAAAUUUCUAAGAGUGAAAAGAAUCCACAUAAACUGUACUUUUGCUGUUCAAAUUGCAAAUACUUUCAAUGGUAUGAAUGUCUUACAGAUGAAGAGGUAAGCAGGCAAAGAGAAGAAAGGCAUUCAACAUUGCAAAGGAAAAUUAAUUAAACUAAGUCCAUUGGCACCCUUUCUAUGAUGGCAUAUUAGAAAUUAAUUUAAUGUCCAAAUGGUAGUUAACUUAGAUAAGCAUACUUAUUAAUGAUUUAAUUAAUUCUGUCAACAUAAUUAAGUCAUUUCUUUAUGUAAAGUGUAAGAAUUGGGCUCCAACAACCUGACAGAGGAAGUGUCUAAAUUUUGGAAACCUUAAUUAAGGGCAAUGAAAUUGUUAGAAACCUUAGGGAGGUUUCUGAAAUUAUCCAUAAAUAAAAUGGAUAAUAACAGCACAACCACACAGAAACCUCAACCGUUGCUAGCUAUCCCAAAUCCUUUCAAAGCAAUAUGACAUAUUAUGAACCUUUGGACUCCUCCAAUUCUAGAACGGGUCACUAAUAAAUCAGGUACUCCUAGUAUUCUAUAUUGGACCCGAAUUGCAGUCUAAGACGGAUAGGUCAAACAUUUGGACGUAGCCCAAUACAUAAAAUAAGCUUAAUUGAUCCGAAACUUAUUAGUUUCCAAGUUUGUUUCUAUAGUAUAAUAAGUUUCAAUUAUGUUUUAAUUCAAUAUAUUUAUUUUCAUUAUUAAACUGAUCUCUCAUGAAGUUCUAGUAGUUUGGAUUUUUACAUAAUAAAUUUUCAAAAAUUUAUGCUAACAGAACCAAAUUCGAGUUGACUUCGAAAAUUUAAUAAAUGAUAAAUGAUGUUCAUGUUUGGUUUAAUUAGACUGGUGAGUCAAAUUCAAAUGAGGUUUUACCUUUUCAAACUUGAUCUUGAGUAGUGAGUAAUAACUCAGUCCUUAAUUCAACUCUAGAUGGGGAAAUACAGGGAAAGGGACACAAUGCAUAGAGAGAAGUUGAGUCCUAACAAAUGCUAUAUGGUGAGACAAUUUUUUUUUUUUUUUUGCCUGAGCACCAAGGUUUUGACAUCUAGCUAUGAGGUGGAAAAAUUACCGAGUCAAGAGUCAGUGGUCAAGCCAUUGGACUAAUCGUUAUUGAGCCAUAAUUGAUUUGUAAUGUCAUAAAUAUAUAAAAAAUAAUUAAUAUAUAAUUACUAAUAAUCUAAUCUAAUAUUAUAUAAUGUACUAACCGGAAAUGUAACUCCAUUAAAAAAAGGGUUUAUCUCUAACUAACGGCACUCAUUGAGUACUCAUGAAGCAGAUAUAUUUCGGUGACAUAAUUUUAGAAAUGUAAAAUUAAUUAGAGAAAGUAAAUAAAUACAAGGAGGGUAGGAAACAUUUAAUAGAAAAAGUAUAUAAAUGCAAUGGAGAGUAAUAGUUAUUAGUAUGUGUGUGUAUAUAUAUAUAUAUAUAUAUAUAUAUAUAUAUAUAUAUAUAUAUAUAUAUAUAUAUACGGUAAGUUAGGUGAAUUUUAUGUGUAUUAACGAAUGACUAUCGAACACCCGUAAGGAAAACUCAAAAAAAAAUAGGGAAAUCACAAACAUAAAUUUAACAAAACCAUUGAUUCUAUCACAAGUAACAACAAAUCCAAAUAAUAAAGUUAAACCACUAACAUAAAUCAUAGGCAACCUAAUAGCAAUCUCAACUGGAUUAAUAAUUAAAAACAAACUUUCUAAUCCAACUCAUUACUGCCAAAGUCAAAACCACUCGUGCUACUAUUUCCAUCACCAUAAAAAGCGUUAGAAUCUCAAAAAAGGCCUAGCUCAUUUGUAGUAGUAAAAUUUUUUUUAAACAAAAUUUGUAAUAUAUGCUAUCUCUUGAAUUUUCCUUCAAAUUCCAAAAGGUCUAGAGAAUAACGACUAAAAAGCAACCACGUUUUAGCAUGAAAAUAAGGUUGAAAAAAAAAGAUAAAGAAAGAUGAAUACUCGCCUGUGAAAUGUAAGUUUUUUAGUUGCCAAAUUUCUCAAAGUAUAAUCACCGCAAAAAUUAAAGCAAAUAAAAAGUUACAUGAUAAAUUUUACUUGAAUAAUUUAGUAAGAUGCAAAGUGAAAAAAAAAAGGACAAAAAAAUUGAAGAGAUUUUUUGGUAAAGGGAAAAAUUAAACCUUCGGACAGAGUUUCAGGUAUGGGAUUAGAUUGAUGUUGGAGGAAAUUGUGAGAUGAUGAAAGGGGGAGAAUUGGUAUGAAGAAAUUAGGUUGGGAAUUGAACUUGAAAGAACAGAGAUAGCAGCAGCCGCAAGUGAGCCUUUGAAGAAUUAGGUCCCGAACUCACGGUUUCGUUCUUCAAUUAUUUUCAAUUUUGAGUUAAAAUCUAAAUUUUGAUGAAUGGCAAGAAUCGGAUCAGUUUAAUGAAAAUCGUUUUGGUUCAACAAUCCAAUGAUCAAAUCGACCAAGUUAGCUAGUUUUCACAAAAGAGGGCGAUUUUAGAUUUCUCUGAGUUAUGAGGAAUAAUUUGGCUCACCUAACAACUCGAUUGACGAUUCAACUAGUCUGAUCGGACGGUCCGGUCCACUCUGAGUUUCAAAACCUUGCUGAGUACUAUGCAAAUACGCAGGUCUAUUUUGUUGUAGACUACAACAUUGCGUUACUGAUGAGAUCAAUACUUCCUUGAAUACCGUAACUAUUUGUACAAUAACAUAAUAGCUACUUAUCAUCAUGGACCAUCAAUACUUAGAAUGCAUUGGGAUAUACUCUGUCACGCCUACUAUCCCACAUUAAACAGAAAAGAAUUUGUCUAACAGAUGUUUUAUGGGCACUCAUUAAUACGUCUAGAUUUCACGUAACUCAUUAUAUAUGUACAUAUAUUAAUAAUUAUUAUCUUUCUUUUUAUUUAUAUGUUUUCUCUAAUUAAUUUUAUAUUUUUAAUAAAUUAACGUCUGAAAUACAUCUUAAUGAGUGUGCAAUAAGUAUAUGUUAGAUAGAUCUAAAAAAUAUAGAAGUUUAUAUUGAUGAAUACUACGAAUAAGUUGACAGACUACCAAUAAGUUGAUUAAACAUUUUAAACCCGUUGUGCUAAGGACCCUCUCACAACUUUGCAGAUCAAUGAUCAAGUUGAGUCCUGCAAACGAUCUUCCCAUUUGAUUCUAGUCUUAGCAGAUUUUUCUCUAUUUUUUUUAUAUGUGUUAUUGCAGAUUUUUUUUUUUUUGAAGAAUUUUCUCCCUACUACAUAUAGAGUUCUCUCAAGCUAUAUCUGACGGAAAUGUUCGUCUUCCCCUCAGUUAAUUAUCUUGCCGGACUCAAGUAUGCUUCAAAGAUCCUUGAAGCAAUUUUCAAAUAGGGUGUAUGCUACACAAGUUUAGAUAAAUGUUCAUAUGAGAAGCAAGGGAAAACAAGGGAUCAUUAACAUGUUUUGCAAUCGCUUUUUUAUUUUCUCAACCAUUUUUUUAUCUCAAACACGUUAUAUUAUAUUACAAAAAUAUUGCAAUAUAUUUUCAAAAAAUUAUUUCAAAGAAUCCCCUGUUCAAAUUCUUUUUUCCUUUUCUGCGCAAACAUUUGCUUUUAUGGAUCAACAAAGAAAGCUCAUGCAAGGCUAUGAGACCGUGACAAAUGAAAAGCCAAAACCAUCAACUAAAAACAUUUGUGAGAUUGUUUCCGGAAACUUUUCGUUUAUUGGAUUGAAUUUCUUGGGUUGGAUAAUGAGUUUGGAUCAUGGGUUGCCUCAUUUGAUGUUUUUGCCCUUUUAAAAACUAUCACGUGGUGGCCCUGUUACAAUUUCAUGUGAAAAUUUGUUCAGAAUUGGAAUUUGGUCCAUAUGAAUACAUUUUAAUAUGUGACCAUAUUGUGAAUUAUUUUAAAUGUAAAGGUUGAAAAAAUCAACAAGCGAGAUGUGAGGGACGUUUGCCUUUUUUUUUUUUCCCUUCAAACAAAUUGUAAUGCAUUUUUCUAUUUCUUUUAUAUUUUAAUAGCCACUUGACUUACACAUGACUUAUUCUAUUAGCAAUUUACAGAAAUUUGUCAAUUAUCUACUUCUAUCAACUUUAGGAACUAUAAUUGUUUUGGUUGAAACUCUAAAUCCUUCCUAAAGACCGAAAUUGCAAAUUUUCAUUUAUUACAUUAUCAUCUCAUUUAUAGGUUAUUUCUUAAGCACUUAUUUAAUUUGCCACAUCCAUUUAUCACUUGAUGUCUUUAUUACUUUUAUUUUGUCUCCAACUCAAGCAUGUAUAUUUUGUUUAGCAUAUAUGAUCGACCUUCGUUUGUGCUAUCAAUUCAAGUGAAGCAUUAAGCAAUGUUUGAUUGCUUUGUAACGCAUUUCAUAGUCUAUAACCAAUAAUAUUAUUAAGCAUUUUGCACUAGACAAAAAUAAUUUGGUUCCAAUUUCACUUUCAUAACCAAGUAUAUGAAGCAAGUAAGCCUCUUAAGAUAUCUAAUUAGACUGUAGCUGAAUUUGUAAACAAUCCAACAGAAAAUAAGCUGCAUGCAUGUAUACUCUUUGGUUUUUUUUUUUAAUGUUUGAAUUCUUAUUCUUAUUAACAAAAUUCAAUAUGCUAUUUGACACUGUUCAGUUUGGUACUAUUUUGUCCCUAGUGCUCUCUAACUUGUAAUAUGUGCGUUGAAUAUAUAUACGAUGAUUCAAUUUGUUUUGAAGCUAAGCUUUACAAUACAUUUUAGGGAGAACUGCUGUUUUAAUCCCCAAUUUAUCACACAUGCACGAAACUAGCCCCCAAUCUAUUUCAAAAAGCAAAUGUAGUCUCCAAUCCAUCCAGUUUUGUGCAAAAGUGGGCACUUGACAGAUUUAGUUCAAUUUCCUAAUAGAAUUAUGACACAUGUAGUCAUGUGCUGGGACUUAAAAGCUUUUUUUUUUUUUUUUUGUAAUUAAAAUUCUCUUUAAAAACUUGACGAUUGUAUUCCCUUUUUGUCUUUUCUUAAUUAAUCAGGCUAAAAUAUACGAAUACCUAUUGAAAUAACAAAAGAAGAGGAGGAAAAACCAAGAUUAGUUGAUAAACCCAAUAAAAAGAGAAUAAAACCCCAUUGCAUCCAACUCUCCCUCAAUCUAGCUUCUCACCAUAUCUCAGGAAAAAAACCCAACGAUUGAUCUAGGGACAGAGAUACCCUAAAAUCAAGAAAGUCUUCAACAAAGAUUGGGUUCCUUGUUCAUGGUUUUGUUUUGUAGGAGAUUUUUCUAUUUCUUAAUUAGGGCAAAAACCUGUAUCCCUUGAAGCAAGAAUUAAACUCAUGGUGCCAGAAAAUUUUGCAAUUGUGAUCAACUUACAACAAUGAUUACCUUGUGGACGAGCUACAACCCUAGGAGAAGUUGCUUCUCUUGUGCCAUAAAGGUAUGGAUUUUUUUCUCUAUUAUUGUGGUUAUGAAAUAUAAUUUUGUAUUUAUUCUCCCUUCAAUUUUCUCUAUUUUGUUGAUUGAGAAGGACAACAGAGGUGGUAAAGGUUAUAAUUAUUUUGAGUGGCAUGAUCCAAUUAUGUGUAAAAAAUCUACUACAUUGCUAAGAAGCAUGAACAAUAAGGAUAUAACCUUUGAAAGGUUAAGGUCAAGGGAACAGAAAUCAACAAACGAGAUGUGAGGGAUAUUGCUAUUUUUUUCCCUCCCUCCAAACAUAUUGUAAUGUGCUUUUCUAUUUCUUUUAGGCACCGUUUGGAUUGAAGGACAGGAAGGAAAAGGAAAAGAAAGGACAGCGAUGGAAAAGAAAGGAAAAGAUAUUAGAGAAAAGUGGUUUCCAUCCAUUUUAUUUGGAUUAAGUACAAAAAAAAUACACUGAAUUUUUGUUUGGAUUAAAAAGGAAAAGACAAAAAAAAAAAGGAAAAGAUCAAGUGUUAAUAGCCACAUAACUUGCACGUGACUUAUGCUACUAGCAAUUUAUGAAAUUUGUCAAUUGUCUACUCCUAUCAAAAUUCAGAAUUUUAGGAACUAUAAUUGUUUUGGUUGAAACUCUAAAUCCUUCCUAAAGACCAAAUUUGUAAAUUUUCUUUUAUUACAUUACAUCUCAUUUAUAGGUUAUUUCUUAAGCACUUGUUUAAUUUUUCACAUCCAUUUAACACUUGAUGUCUUUAUUACCAUUAUUUUGUCCCCAACUCAAGCAUGUAUAUUUUGUUAUCAUAUAUGAUCGACCUUCGUUUAUGCUAUCAAUUCAAGUGAAGCAUAAGCAGCUUUUGAUUGCUUAGUAACACCUUACUUAGUCUAUAUCCAAUAAUAUAAUUAAGCAUUUUGGGCUAGACAAAAAUAAUUUGGUUCCAACACUACGUCGCUGAAAGUCUCAUGACUUUCGUAACCAAGUACAUGAAGCAAGCAAGCUCCUUAAGGUCUCUAAUAGCUGAAUUUCUGAACCAUCCAACAAAAAAUGAGCUGCCGACUUAGCAUGCAUGUAUAUUCUUUGUGUUUUUUUUCUUUUUUUUUUUUAUGUAUGAAUUCUUAUUCUUAUUAACAAAAUUCAAUAUGCUAUUUGACAUUGUUCAGUUUUUUGCUAUUUUGUCCCUAAUGCUCUCUAACUUGCAAUAUGCGUGUUGAAUAUACAAUGAUUCAAUUUGUUUUGCAGCUACGCCUUAGAAUACGAUUUAAUAUACUUGAAAGGCCAAAAGCAUGAAGGAAAUAAAUCUUUCCGUACUAUUUCAUGUGGCCCUGCGUCAAAACCUUUGCAAAGAGUUACUUAUUAAUAAUUAAGUACUUCAUAUGAGAAUAUUUUAACAAAAAGAUUUGGGAUAUGCAUAUUUAAAAUUUUCUUGUUAGUAGAUUUAAGAGAUGCAUGGAUAUACACUUAUACACAUGUCUGAUUAUCUUAAAAAUUUCCACUACGUAAGCAUUUGCUAUAAACUUAAUUUCCUCAUUCAUAAACCUUUUCUUUCUUCUUUCCAAGUAUCUACCUAUAUAGUGCAAUAUUUACGCAAGAUCUGUGUACUAUCUAAUAUUAACCUUUACUUAAGGAAAUGCACCUGUUUUAUCCCUUCAAAAAAAUUAAGUAAUUUUUCUAUUUUAGAAUAUCCGUGCAUAAUGAGAAAGUCUUUUACUACUACUUAAAACAUAUUGGAGCCUUUCUAAUGAAUCCCUCUCUCAAAUAAUACUAAGUUCUCAAUAAUGUCUAACAUUCUUAAUAAUUAGCAUCAUAAGACAAGACUGCCUAGAUUUAUUUGGCAAUACCUAAAACCCUACCAUUUCCCAAUUUCACCACCCAUCCUUCCUUGCAAACCUUCCAUUUUGUACACCAAGCAAAACUUCUAUAAUCCUUAGGGCACACUAGAGAAAAAACAUAUAUAUAUCAGGACUAUAAAUGUCUAUGUCCAAGUAUCAAAUAUCUAUUUCUCAUACACUCUAAGAAAUUGACUUCAAAGAGCUGAAAUCCGUGAAAACAGUAGGAUGGCAUCCUGUUUUGGCCUUUUUGGUCGAGGCCCUGAAAGAGCUCAAAGGCAGCCUAAUGAUCGCAACAUUCCUGCUUCUGGCCUUGUACCUCAACCAACUAUCAAGAGGCCUAGAACUGAAUUUUCAAGGAAACCCAAUAGAAAAUACGUUGCUUCAAGUUCGCAGGAUCAAUCUAGUCAUUCGGGAUCUUCUAAGGGGAAUGAAAUUGCUGAAGCCCCUUGUCUGUGCUCUCAACUGCUAUCAGAAUUUGAAGUUCCUGGGCCUAUCCCUGAUGUUGAUUAUACUCUAUGGGAUGUAAGUCCUGAAGAAAUUUUUUUCAAAGGUGGCCCCAGUAUUGAGGAGUGGUGUAGGUCAUGCAAGAAAAAAAAAAAAGAAGUACCAGUGCUAGAGGCACACUUAUUUGCGUGCAGUUUACAAAUAUAUUAAAUUUGAUAUGGAAAAUUUUCUUUAUUGAAUUCAUUGCUUUCUUCAUAGAUAUGUCUGGGAGCAACCAUGUUGGCAACAUGUUCUUAAGUAGUGAUGGUAAAAAUUAUGUUGGUUAUAUUGUGAAAACAAAAAUAAAAGUUUAUAAAGUUGCAAAAUAUGUUUAUAUGAUGCCCUUCCUCUCACUUUAUAUGUAGUAUAGAUACUUUUUUUAUUUCCUGAUUUGCUUUAGUUGCAAUACGAUUUUUUUUUUUUUGCAUCCAUUAAUGUUGUUAUCAAUUUAAUUUAUAACAGGUUAAUGAUAUUAUGAUUCUAUUCGAUUUGACUGUGAAUAAGGUAUGACCAUCCGUACUAAGUCUUGUACUAUACUAAACUUUAAUAGGGAUGAAGCCGAUCGUUAUUGGAUUAGUAUUUCUUUACUUUUGGGAGGAUAAAAACAAAUGUGGGUGGAUUAUCGAUGGGUAAUAUGUUAGGGUUUGAUAUUGAUGAGGAGUAAUUGACGAAUAAUUUGACAUAAUUUGAUAAGAAAACCCUAAAAAAUUGAAACCCAAAACUCCACACACACACAUAUAUGUAUAUGUAUGCAUAUGUAUGUGUGUGUAUAUAUAUAUGUAUGUAUGUGUGUGUAUAUGUAUAUUAUGGAAUCAUAUGUUAUGACUUAAUUUGAUCAUCCAAUAAUGGCAACACAAUCAUAUGAUUCUUUAAAACCAUAAAAUGUCUAACUUGGAGAAUAUCUUUUAUUUUUCUAAAGGAUAACUAAUGGGCACUCAUUAACAUAUAUAAAUCACAUUUAAAUCAUUAUCUAAAUAUACACUUACAUUUAUUAUACCCUCUUGAACUGUGACACUUUUCCGAAUUAACUACAUUUUUAAAAAAAUUAAUAUCUAAAUUCCAACUACUACAAAAGUGUCCUUUUAUGACAUUCAAAAGCGUCAUUAUAGAUCUAUGUCAUAACGUUUAGGCUAUUAUGAUGCUCUACUAAAAGCGUCAUCCAUUCUAGCAUCACGAUAGGUUUAUGGCAGUUUUAAGUGUCUCAAUUUAUCAUUAUUAUGACAUUAUUAAAUGUCAUUAUCUAUGUCUAUUAUGACACUUUCAAAUGACAAGAAAUGCUAGGGUACAGUAACAUAUCACGACGCUUUUUUAGUAUAAUUAGAUAGAAAUAUUAUGACACUUUUGAAGAGUAACUAGAUCAGACUUUUAUGACAUUUUCUACUUGUCAGUAUAACAUCCAAAUUAAAGUGUUCCAACUUCCUAUUGCAUAUCAUCUAACGUCAGAAACCACAUUUCAUCCUGCUGCACAAGCAUCUCAGAUCCUAAAUUUUGAAGGAUUGUAAUGUAGCUAGUACAAUAAUUUAAAAGAAGCAAUACAAUCAUCCAAACUUGAGCAAAAGUACAUCAUUCAAACACUCCACACCAAAAGUGUCUAUAAAUUACAUACUAAUUUAGAUGGUUUUAAAUCAGUUGUGUACAUAUAAAGGACGCACAGGACAACAACUCAACUACAAAGCAAGGAAGAUGCCUUCAAAAAACUGCCACUUGACCCAAUGUUGCUUUAGUUUUCUGCAAUACUCACCUACAAGUGUCAUAAAACAAACAAGACAAAUUACAAUUCACACAGGUCUUGUUUUACACUUUUAACAUUAGAAAACAAAUAAUAACUGACAGGUGUCGAGCCUGUACAAUAAUAAAUACUUACUCGAGAAAAAUGUAAAUUUUACAUAUAGCGGUGAGUAGGGUCGAAUCCACAGGGAUUGGCGAUAACUUAUUUCUUUUAGAGUUCGAAGUAUGGGGGGUUUUCAAUGGGAGGCAAAUAAAAAUGAAAUAAAACAAACAAAAUUCAAAACUAACUCACAAAACACAAUUUACUAAAAAUAGCAAUUAAUAAAAGUUCUACCCAAAGGAUCAACUGCUCAGGUAUGGUCCAAUUAAAUGCUCAUCGAUGCAAAGAUUUUUCAUCUAUUUAUCACUAAGUUGGUUAUAGUUAUCAACAAGUUCUGACAACCAAUUCUUCCUUACUUUUUCGACAGUCAAAGUACGACCAUUGACUGCUUCUCUAAUCAGAUAACAACUUUAGGUACGACCGUAGAAAUUUAAUUACCCAAUUGCAUUAAAACUAGAAGAACCCAACCCUAACUAAUAAACACACUAAGAGGGUUUAUUUAAGUUAGAUCUUACGUUUCCCCAACAUAAAGCCAAUUAUGGUGGUUGUCACUAGGUAUCAACUAAACGAACAAUUACGGAUUCAAUUUAGUUAUUGUGACAGUAGGCUAUUAAAUUAAAUCAAAUAUCCGGCCGUUGAUAUUCAAUUAAUAAAAUACCCAUGAACAAUUAAUUCAGGAAACGCACGAAUAGCAACAAAUUGAAAGAAAUAAUGAAGAUUCGAUUAGAUCUCACAGAUAUUAUGGACCGCGCCUUCGCGUCAACCUUUGGGUAGAGGAGAAAAUUAGCCGCUCCUCAUCAUGUCAAACUCGCGUGAUUUGAUUAAUAUCAUCCACACAAUUGUUCAGAAAUUAAUUGUCGAGAAAUUAGGGAAGGUGAAUUAAUCGAAAUAAUAAUAAAGAGAAACCUGAUUUCGUUUUCGUAUUGGAGCCGCAAUUACAAAGCAAAAGGCUAUUCUAAUUGCUGCCGAAGAGAAAAAGGGAAAAAGCGUCCGACGGUGAAAAGAAACAAAAGCUAGCCUAAUUGAUUGCUACCUAAAAGAGAAGCAAACGUCUGACAGAUCUGGGAAAAGAAAACUAAAGCUGAUGGCCCUAUUAGACGUGAAUCUGGCCUUUUUAUAUCUUCAGUAGCCGCCGCAGGAGAAGUCCACCCAAAAGUCCUCUUCAAAGCUUUUCUCUUUUGGGGUUUAAUCCUAUGUGUCUGGUCCACGUGGACCACUUUUGGUUUCCUGAUAUUUCACUUGUUUUGCCAAUCCCGCGGGUCCGGCUUUUAGGUGUAACUCUUCAGUUUCUGGCGUGGGCACGCCAUGAAAUAGAGAAUCUUCUGAAAAUUUGCCUCGUGAAAGAAUUUUUUACACCAAUCACCUACAAUUUAUACAAUUAUGAAAUAUGAACAACAUCUCAAUACUUAGCACGGUAGGUAGCCAAAAUUAGGACAAAAUAACAGUGUAAAAUGUGCCAAAUAAUUGCUCUAUCAAAUCCCCCCACACCUAGACAAUGCUUGUCCUCAAGCAUUUUGAAACUCAGAGAUACAACCAAGAAAGCAAAGGUUAUAUAGAAAUUUACACUAGCACCAGCAUUUCAGAUCCCUGACAAUGUUGCCAAAAUUGGAACACACCAGACGGGUGGUUAUCCAAAGAAUAUGAACAGUAAUACACGUCACCUUCAAGAAAAUGUAUAAACACAAGGAACGCUCAAAUCAACAUCACGGAAUGACAUUACCAUAGGCUUGCACAUUUAUCACAUCUCCACCACUCAAGAGUGAAUUAAAUACACAAAUUAAAGGGAUUUUAAUAGGUUGUAACGGGGCUUAGGUGAAAGGCGAGAUAAGAAUGUAAAAAUAGGGUGUAAUGUGUCAAGAGAAUAUCCAAUAUUCACUACAUAACCACAACGCUUUACCGGAAAAUUUCACAACAAAGCAUUUUUCAUUUGCUAUUUCUGCUGUACACGUGUCUAAACUUGUCCCCUUCUUCUUCUUUUCUCUUUUUGUCUUUUUUUCCUGAAAGGGGCGUCUUGCAAGGCGUGGGCACGCCCUGGAAGACAGAGUCUUCUGCUCACCAGCUUUUUUGCCGAUUUCUCCCCAUUUUUUUUCUUCUCUUUCUUUCUUUUUUUCUCUUUUCUUUUUUUUUCUUUUCUUUCGAUCUUAGAUGUACAUAAACAGCACCAUACAGCAUCUACUCUAACAACACUUGCAACUACAGAUUUAUUUGCCUUGCGUAAGUAAUGAAUUUUAGAUAUCUCUUAAUAACAUAAGAUUGAACAAGAAAGUCUAAAAAGGUCAUGGGUUAUCAAACACGGCUAACAAACAAAAGCGAAAGAUAAAAACUCAAAUUGGUUCACUAUUGGGAGACAAGAUGAAUGCAUGAUUUUUAGAAAGUGAAAGGAAGUUAAAUCCUAAAUGCCCUUAUCAUUUCAAAUACAUCCAAUUCAACAAAAUAUGGUCUCGACAUGUAUAAAAUAGCAAAUUCUAGAAUGGUAAUACCAUAUGUGAUACCCACUCAAUCAAACAAAAAUAGAGCAAACAAGAAUAAUGUGCUCAUGCAUGACUCAAAAACUCCCAAAAGUUACAAGAAUGGAUCAAGUCUAACAUGUUCAAUAUUCAACGACAUUGCCAAGGGAAGCAAAAUGCACAACUAGCAUAUAUGACCACAUACCUGUGCACCAUGAUUGUGCAAUCCAUCAUAGCAAUAUGCUCUAGCAACUAACAAACGUAGAAAUAAACAGAAAGUCGACUAACUACAUUUUUUUCAUUUUCCUCUUCUUUUUUUUAUUUUUUGUUUUGUUUUUUUUUUUAACAAAGCAAAAAGAAAUAAUGGAAGCCACAUCCCCCCCCCACACUUAAAACCUACAUUGUCCUCAAUGUAGUAAAGACAAAUAAAGCGUAAGGAUGAAAGGGGUGAAACUUUCCUGACUACCGAGAGGAUGUAGUGAGACACUAAAACGGAUGAGGGUGGAGUGGUUGAAAUCGAAUAUGAGCAAAGAAAACUGUCUGAUGAGAGAAAUAGCGACGGUGGAGCGGGCAUCGGCGUGCGAUGGGUGGCACGAGGAGGAGAGAGAGAGAAAGUUUCUAGUGACGGUGGACAAGAGGGAAACCUUGGGAAAUUCAGACAAAACAAAGGAAAUUGAAAAGUAGAAGCUGAGACAAUGGAAAUUGAUAAGACCAUACAAGAUAAGAAAAGAGAAAAGUAGAAAGUGGGAUUAGAGAGGGUUCUGGUCAAUCUUUGACUUUUGUUGGCACAAAGGCUGGAAGGCGUGGGUACGACUUGGAAGCUAUAGUCUUCUGACCGUCAAUUCCAAAUCUUUAUUCCUUAGGCGUGACCAACUAAAGUGGGCAUGUCUAACUGCUAGCUUCCUGCCACAAAAUAACAACUCACUAAAUGACACUAAUACUCAACAAAAAUUUCAAAAAUAUAAGAAAACUAAAACAAAAGAAACCUUGGGUUGCCUCCCAAGCAGCGCCUUUUUUUAAUGUCUUUGGCUAGACAUCGUCAUGUUUAUUCACAAAGGAUAAAAUCAUGUAAUUCGUUUCAAUGCUUCAUCUUCUAUGUAUCAUUGAUAUCCCUCGUAAAUAGAGUAAUCCUUGAGCACACGAGGUAUGGUCUUCCAUGGAUUAGAAGAUGCCCCUAAACAAGUCGAUAAGAAUCUUAAUUCUUCACUUACUCCUCCGUUACGAACACUUAAUGGUUCGAGAUAUUUUUCCAUUGCAACUCUUAACUUAUUCCUGUCAUGAAACUCAAAAUCGUCUGGCACAAUAAAAUCUAUUUCACUAACAGGAUUUAAAGAAUAAGAGUUAGGAAAAUAUUGACUAAGGAAUGGAGGAGAUAUCACCGCAUUUGGGGGUUGUUCACCGAAUUCAUUCACUUGAACAAUUUGAUAUUGAGAUCCUAUUUCUUCCACUUCAAUUCUCUUCUCAACUGCAUCUUUAGUUUCUUUUUCUUGAGACUCUUGCAGCUCCAUGUCAUUUGUCGGGAUAAUUACACUCUCAUCGUCAUCAUGAUUGAUAAUCGUUUGUGCGAGUAAUUCUUUACUCAUUCGAGAAGUCAAUUGCGUUAUUCUAAAUGUCAAUUGAUUCACUUGAUCUGCUAGGUUACGCAUGCUCGCUUGUGUCUCCUGAUAAAAAUCCAUUGUCUCCUGUUGAAGUUGACGUGUCUCCUGUUGAAUUUGAUAUGUGUUAGUAACUAUUAAUACAACUAUUUCUUUAAGAGACAUACCUGACAUGGAUGAUGGCUCUUGAGACUCUAGCUGUUGAAUAUCUAUUGGCCUUUGUUCAUAAUUAAAAUUGAAAUCAUCCCACCAUCCUUGGUCAUACCCAUUUGAAUAAGAGUCAUACCAUGUUGGAUAUUGAGAUGAAAAAUCUCCAAAAGUAUCGAUUGGAGCACAUAGGCUAUCUUGAAAUGCGGGACAUAUGUCAGUUGAAUGAUCUAAGGCAAAAUAAGUUUCACAAUUCGCAAUAGCCCAUUGGUCAUUAGCAAGAACAUGAGUCUCAUAACUCCUUCUGAAAAUAAAAUUCAAUUUAUCACCAAAAUACGGACUAUUAACAGCCAUAAACUAUAUAUAAAAAAAUAAGAGAAAAAAUUUUAAAAAGAAACCAAGAUGAAUUAAAAAAGAAACAAAUUAAUCAAGCACCAGUCCCCGGCAACGGCGCCAAAAAUUGACAGGUGUCGAGCCUGUACAAUAAUAAAUACCUACUCGAGAAAAAUGUAAAUUUUACAUAUAGCGGUGAGUAGGGUCGAAUCCAUAGGAAUUAGGGAUAACUUAUUUUUUUUAGAGUUCGAAAUAUGGGGGGUUUUCAAUGGGAGGCAAAUAAAAAUGAAAUAAAACAAACAAAAUUCAAAACUAACUCACAAAGCACAAUUUACUAAAAAUAGCAAUUAAUAAAAGUUCUACCCAAAGGAUCAACUGCUCAGGUACGGUCCAAUAAAAUGCUCAUCUAUGCAAAAAUAUUUCAUCCAUUUAUCACUAGAUUUGUUAUAGUUAUCAACAAACUCUGACAACCAGUUCUUCCUUACUUUUUCGACAGUCAAAGUACGACCAUUGACUGCUUCUCUAACCAGAUAACAACUCUAGGUACGACCGUAGGAAUUUAAUUAUCCAAUUGCAUUAAAACUAGAAGAAUCCAACCCUAACUAAUAAAUACGCUAAGAGGGUUUAUUUAAAUUAGAUCUUACGUUUUCCCAACAUAAAGUCAAUUAUGGUGGUUGUCAAUAGGUAUCAACUAAACGAACAAUUACGGAUUCAAUUUAGUUAAUGUGACAGUAGGCUAUUAAAUUAAAUCAAAUACCCGGCCGUUGAUAUUCAAUUAAUAAAAUACUCAUGCACAAUUAAUUCAGGAAACGCACAAAUAGCAACAAAUUGAAAGAAAUAAUGAAGAUUCGAUUAGAUCUCACAGAUAUUAUGGACCGCGCCUUCGCGUCAACCUUUGGGUAGAGGAGAAAAUUAGCCGCUCCUCAUCAUGUCAAACUCGCGUGAUUUGAUUAAUAUCAUCCACACAAUUGCCCAAAAAUUAAUUGUCGAGGAAUUGGGGAAGGUGAAUUAAUUGAAGUAACAAUAAAGAGAAACCUGAUUUCGUCUUCGUAUUGGAGCCGCAAUUACAAAGCAAAAGGCUAUUCUAAUUGCUGCCGAAGAGAAAAAGGGAAAAAGCGUCCGACGGAAAAGAAACAAAAGCUAGCCUAAUUGAUUGCUACCUAAAAGAGAAGCAAACGUCUGACAGAUUUGGGAAAAGAAAACUAAAGCUGAUGGCCCUAUUAGACGUGAAUCUGGCCUUUUUAUAUCUUCAGUAGCCGCCGCAGGAGAAGUCCACCCAAAAGUCCUCUUCAAAGCUUUUCUCUUUUGGGGUUUUAAUCCCAUGUGUCUGGUCCACGUGGACCACUUUUGGUUUCCUGAUAUUUCACUUGUUUUGCCAAUCCCGCGGGUCCGGCUCUUAGGUGUAACUCUUCAGUUUCUGGCGUGGGCACGCCAUGAAAUAGAGAGUCUUCUGAAAAUUUGCCUCGUGAAAGAACUUUUUACACCAAUCACCUACAAUUCAUACAAAUAUGAAACAUGAGCAACAUCUCAAUACUUAGCACGGUAAGUAGCCAAAAUUAGGAUAAAAUAACAGUGUAAAAUGUGCCAAAUAAUUACUCUAUCAAUAACUAUAUUAGACAAAUGGUAAAGGUAUAACAAAAAAAGUAUCAGAUUUAUUGGCCAAACAAUAGCCACUCCAAUUGCAUCUCUAAUUUUUCGAAAAUUAUGGUAUGGCCUCAUCAACUCCUCAUUACUCUCCACAGGCACAUUCACAUGAACUUCAUACCAACGUGACUCCAAAGGUGUGUCACCAACUUUAGCCGUAGGAUCCAAAUUUCUAACCUCUCCAACAGCCAAAAUUUUGUUUGGAUCAAUCAUGCUCCUUAUUGUAACUUCAUCCCCAACCUUGAAAAUAUCAAUUUUAUAAAGUUUGUGAAAAUCAUAUACAAGAGAGCAACUCCUAAACAGAAAUUCAUUACAUAAUACUACAAACCAACCCAAAUUUCAGUGGUUUACACUCAUCAAUUAGGUACUCUUUUGCAAUCGAACCAUCAGUCCAACUUCUAUUUUGAACAUAAUUCUUCAAGGUGCAUAAGUACCUGAGAUAAUUACAAAAUAAUAUGUUAUAAUAAGACUAAUCACAUUAAGAAAAAAAAGAUGAAAAUUUAAAUUUAUAAUAAUUACCUUUUAAUUGGAUACAUCCAACGAUAGUAUGCUGGACCAAUUAUCCUUGCCUCAGUUGCUAAAUGAAUGGUCAAACGAACCAUUACAACAAAUAAAGAUGGUAGAAACGCACGCUCCAACUGGCAUAGCACAAUAGUAAUUUUACUUUCCAUUUGAACAAGUUCCCUAGGACAAAAUGUUUUAGAACACAAAUCUCUAAAGUAGUUGGACAACUUUAUCAAGGGAGACCGCACCGAUUUUGGAAGAAGUUUUCUGUAGCAUUAUGGUAACAGUUGUUGCAUUAAAAUGUGAUUGUCAUGGCUCUUAAGGCUGGAUAGUUUAGGAGGUUUCAAGUGCACAGACUUUGAAAUUGUGGUUGAAUAACCAUUAGGAACUUUAACUUUUUUCAGAAUUUUGCAGAAUAAUUCUUUCUCUUUCUUAAGUAUGUUACUGCACUUUAUUAGUCUCUUGAUGACUCUCUACCUUCCUAACCAAACCCCAAAAUCCAAUUACAAGGAAGAACGAAUAAACUAAAUUUCAAGAGCCAUCAAAUGAAGAAUGAACAAAGUUGAAAAUAAGAUGUUUAAACUUGACUAAUAAAGUUUCUUAAACUCUAUUUGGUUUCUUAUUACAAUCCGAAUCCGAAUCCAAGAACUUGGUAAUUACCAACCACUCAAGUAUCGUCCAAUGCUGCCUUGUUUAGGAGCACAUAAUUUAAGCAUCUUCAAGUUCAACCAGCAACAUUAAAACUAGUUAAACAACUAUUCAAAUAGGGCAGCUAUAUUUUGAAAGUUUCUUUCUAGCAAAACAGCAAAUACAUAGCAAAUAUUAUUAGACUUCAUGUUUUUUGCUGAAAAAGUAUAACACUAAAUGCUUGAAAUCAGUCAAACUCAUGAAAAAUAGAAUAACCCACUUAAUAUCAGGGUAUUAGCCUUACAAACUUAAAUUUCUAACCUAAUUUUGAAAGGAAAACUCAACAGAAAAUUGAAUCAAGAAAUGGAAAAAUUAGGCACAAAAAGCAAAUAAGUUUCAAAAAACCAAAUGCAGACUAACCAUUUGUCUGCCACCACAAUCUUACCUUCCUCUACCUUCAAAUGUCUUAAUUAUCACUAGGUUCAAAUGCCCUAAUUCCUUUUCGCAAUCAAACCACGGAUCCAAGAGUUACUUAGAGAGAUGAAAAACGGUGCGAUAAGACAAGGUGCAAGAGCAUGAGAAUGGAUGUUAUGUAUGAUGAUGCAUGAUUGGUUCUCUGGCUCAAUUGGGAUGAUUGAUUCUUUCCGGAGAGGAAAAAUUGGGGGAGGAAAGAGUAGAGCUUGAGGUUGGGUAGGUUUUGGAGAGGGGCUUACAAAUUUUCCUGAAAAGAAAGGCACCUUAGUGGAGCGCCAUUUUGUUUCAGCAUUUUUUGUUUUUUUUUUUCAAUCUGUUUCUAAUAUUACAAUGUCGUUAUGGUGUCUUCUCUUCCUUUUUAAUGACCAUUCCUAUUGCAUGUCAUAUUAAGAUUGUAUUAUGACAUUUUGCUAAAAGUGUCAUAAUAGGUGUGUCACUAAAGACUAUUUUUGUAGUUGUGUCCCUCUUAUAGAGUGCCCAAUCGACACUCAUUAGCCAAACCAUUCUUAAAAUAACAAGAAUGUAAUUAGGCAUAAAUGUGCAAAAACAGCCACUUGUAAAUGAGAUAUUUAAGAGACUAAGGCCCCAUUUAGGGUUGUGGUACUUUUAGUAAAAAAAAACACUUUUAGGUGCUAAAAGUACUUUUAAGAUAUUUGGUGAACAUUAUCCCAUAAAAUUAAUAAUAGAGUUUUUGGUGUUAAAAGCACAUUUAGCAAAAACUCAAAAUUGGUACUUUUAGAGUAGCUUUUGUGAUUUAAAAAAUAAAAUAUUAUAUUUAAUCAUUUUAUGUUAUAUUUUGAACUAAAUAAAGAGAUAAAUAUAUUUAAAAUUUUCAAAUUUAUGCAUUAUCCAAUACAAUAAGUAUUUAUUAAACUAAUUUCUCCAAGCAACAUACUUAAAAGCACUUAAGCACCUAAUAAGUACUUUUAUUAUAACAUCUAUUGGAAAAGUACUUUUCAAUAAGUUACUGCAACCCUAAACGUGCCCUAAAUGUCCCAUAUACAAGUUCCAAGGAUUUUCAAUUAUAUUAAUAAGAUUUUGUGCUACUCCACUCACUCAAUUAAUUUGGAAAUGGAUGCCUAAAUUCUUUAUCAUGAUAUCAAGAGUUGGGUCUUGGAUUUUUUAGUUACCCAUUUGUAAGCCCAAUUUCUUUAUUAGUAAUUAACCUUUUUCCAAAAAAAAAAAAAGUACUAUAUUGAUUUUAUCUUAUAUAAAUAAAGGUACAAAAUGGACUUCAUCGGCACAAAGAUAAAAUAAGGAGAUGGAGAGCCUAUAGGUUGAAUAAAAGCAAAUUAUCCAAGUAACCACUAAACUUUUCGAAUAAUUAAGUUUUGGCCACUUAAUUAUUAAUGGUAUGUUUUUAUCUAUUGAACUAUCAAAAGUGUAAAUUUUGGUCCAUUUCAUCUGAUUUCACUGUUAACUUUAUCAAAUUUAACUAUUAAUAGUAUGUCGUGUGAAUCGUAUGGACCCUAAAUUUAGUAGAGUUAACAGUGGAAUUAGACUGGAUAAUCCAAAAUUUACACAUUUGAUAAUUCAGUGGAUAAAAACAUACUAUUAAUAAUUGAGUGGCCAAAUAUUGACUAUUAAAAAAAAUGCAAUGACUACCACGUAAUUUGCUCGUUGAACAAAUAACUUUAUCAUGCCAUGUUUAAUUAGUUCAAGAUCUCUUGAUAUUAUCACAAUUAGCUUUCAAAUGACUAUUAGACUUAGUUAUAGUUUCAUUUCAUAAUUUGAAAUAGGAAAUUAUUAGAAGUACAAUAAUGAAAUAUACACCAUCAAAAGCACAACCACCCACGUAAGAGUGGACAACUAUCUCACAAUUGGUAGUAACUAUAGUAAAACAUGGAGCACAAUGAACCUUUUUCAGGACACAUGAGGACAUCAACCUUGGACCCUUUAGUUUAUUACUAGAAGUACAGUAGUAUUAUAGCUUUUCUUGUUAAAAGAAAAUGUGAUAUUUAAAAAGCAUAUCGUCCCAAUUAGCCUUCAAUAUCACUUACUUGAAGUGAUUGACUUUCCAAGCGAAAUUUGUCCUAUUAACUUCUAUAUUGUGACAGAGAAAUAGAUCCUACAGUUAUUGUGUGUUUGUGUCCUUUUCUAUGGAUUCGCUUCUGUACAAAUACUCGUCUUCAAAUGCAUCCAAUCAAGUACGAUUCGCUACUUAUUGUACAUGGUGAUCAGUAAUUCCUCAAUAGUCAAUUUUUGUUGCUACAAACGGAAAACUAGGCUUCUUGAUCUUACGAAUGAAUCUUGGAUAACCAAAGUUUUCCUUUCUUUUUUAUUUUUAGGUUUGGAUAAUAGAAAGGAGAUGGUACCAACAAUUGAAAAAUCUUGAAAACAUGAAAUUAAUUGGAAAAGAAACAUUUGGAAAUAAAAUCCCUUGAGCAUAAAUCUAGAAACUGACACCAUAAGUCCUCAAUAACCAAUUUAAUUAUUAGGGAUAUUAGCCAGGUGGUAGGGAGCUCUAUGAUUCAAUUAUCAAACCUUACCCUUUCUCUGGUAAGAUUUAAAGGCUUCCAUUGAAUAAAAACAAAAUAAUAAUAAUAAUAAUAAUCAUAACAAUAAAAGAAAAUCUGGAGAACUUUUCUAUAAUUUGCAACUAGGCCCUUAACAUAUCCAACAACUGCAAUUUGACAUCCAUAAACUAUCCAUCAAAACCGAUAAAAAUGUAGAAAAUCUAUUGAAUCACCUUUCAGCUUCAUAGAAAUGACUGUAUCAUAGCUUGAAUAGAUUUAAGAGAUAUAUAUUUAUACCUCUAAGUUCAUAACGUUCAUAAUUCAACCCCCAAACUCUUGGAUAAAGUCAAGCAAGGGCCAUAAAAUCCAAAAAUCUACUGAAAAGACACCCACAAGAUUAUGCAUUUUUGAGCCUAUUACUUCUCAAAGUUUGUGAGUGUGAUUCCACACUAAAACUUGAAAAAUUGAUACAAAAGUGAGAUUGCAAAUUGUCUAUCUAGACAUGGACCAUGAUAGAAAAGUGUACAAUUUUUUUUGUUUUUUUACAUUAACAAGUGUGGAUCAUGCCACAUCACAUGAAUUCAAAUUUGAAAUUCAAAUAAUACGCAUGUGUCAUGCAUUCAAAGCUAUUAGUAUAAAAAAAAUUCACUGUACUGUCAGUACAUAAAAAAUUAAUCCCUUGUAAUAUACUUAGAUUUAUAAGAAAUGAAAGGAGCGAUUCCCAUUCAUCAAACAUAUAAUCCAUUAAAAAUAUCAAAAUCACAUGAAAUGGAAUACUAAAGAGGACAAACUCAUGAAAAUUCUUCAGAUAGUAGUUUUAGUAACACCAUCUCCAAGCUCAUUCACGAAUGUCCUAAGAUUCAUGUUAGAUGGCCCUCCAUCUUUGGCAGCUUCUCUAGCCAUGCCCUGCCAUUUUUUAGCAUUGAUUCUCAUUUCUUCACCUAUCUGUCCACCAUCCAUGACAAGCUCUAUGCAUCUCUUAAUUUCAUAAGCCUCAAAAACUCCUCCAUCAUUUGCGAUAGCUCUUACACCAAUCUUCCAAACAUCUUGAAUAAACUUUGCAUUUGUAGCUUGAUCAUUCCAAAGUGGAACUGCCACAACGGGUACCCCAACAACCAUACUCUCCAAAGAUGAAUUCCAUCCACAAUGAGUCACAAAACAUCCCACACAAGGGUGUGAUAGAACCCUCAUUUGUGAACACCAUGGAACUAUCAUUCCUUGCUUUUCCAAUUCAUCUUUACAACUUAACUUCUCCUCCAAUCUCUCACCACUAUAUGAUGUUCUAAUCACCCACAAAAAUGUCUUCUGGCUUUCCAACAAACCAUGUGCAAUCUCCUCCAUCUAUUUCAUAGACAAUUCUGAGUAGCUCCCAAAUGCUACAUAAACCAAAGAUCCUUCAUGCUUCGAAUUCAUCCACUUGACAUAAUCUUUCAAUUUAGGCAGCAUAUCGCCUCCAAAAGAAACACCCAAAGGAUAUUUACCAUCCAAAAAUUCUGAAGGGACUAAAGGCCCUAUAGCCAUCAUUUUAAACUUCUUCAUAGCCCUUAAAGCCUCGUACUCUAGACCAUCAAAACUGUUAACAAGAAUUGUAGCAUUUUCUUCCUUUUCAAGCAGCUCUAGAUGGCCCUUCAGCUCUCUUGCAACAAUCCUAUUUACUUCAAGGGAGGGAUCCAGCAAGAAGGAGGGUAAAUCACAAUCACUGAGCAAUGGCAGCCAUGUUAAUUCAAUGAUAUCGCCUCUCAUAAGGUUUUCAAUUUUCUCCCUGUAUCCAUUGAAAUAAUAGAAGUAUAUAUCCAAAAUAGCAACAGGUUGAAUCCAGAAAAAUGUGGCUGAAAUUCCAUAUUCAUAACAAAUUUUAAGUACCCAAGACAUGAAUGGAGUGUAGACCACAUGAGUGAUCGGAUGACACUCAUUGGCUUUGGCCAUGAUAAGUUCCUUAAUGGCAUGAGAACCAUUAGAAAUCAGAGAAGAGAUAAAAUCUCCAAUAUCAUCAUAACCCCAGGCAAAGCCACUGUCAUAGCCAUCAGAGAAAGGAACAAUGCUUAAAUCUUCUGGCAAUGAACCGGUUAGUUUGACCAUGCUUAGAGUUACUGAAAUACUAGUUGAAAGGGUGACUUUCUUGACUCCCAUUUGAGUAGGGAUUUGGCUAAUUGAAGGGCUAGAUUGAUUUGUCCUUGCCCUGCAAAGGUUACCAGGAGAGUAUGGCAAUAGGCCAUGUUUUUGUUGGCCAGCUACAAGUUAUUGUAAUUGAAAUUUUGGGGGAUUCUUGUGAAAGGUUGAUUGUUCUAGUAGUCAGCUAUAUAGAAGCUAGGAUUUGUCUAAACUCGUCUAACAACUGCGGGCCCAAUGGCGGAUGGCCACUUGUUAAAAGGACUCUAGUGGCUAUCCUUAGGUAAAAAAAAAAUGAAUUCAAAUCAGAACAAGUGCUUGAAAUGAGGUACAAAAUGUGAGUAUUUACAUUUGAAUGAAAAUUUGUGUGUAAGUUAUCUUUGACUACUAAUUAGUGCCUAGUUAAUAGUGGUUGGAUCAAGUGGUAAGAAAUUUGAUACCUUUUAAAUAAAGUAAAACUAUCCCCGAAAAAAAUCAAGUGGCAAGAAACUUGAUACCCUUUAAAUAAAAUUAUUCUGAAAAAAAAUUUGACGGUAUUCAACUCCAGAUAAUUAGAUCACAAAACUGGACGACAUAACUCAUUUAUGGUAGGGUAUGAUUAGUAUUAGACCACAAAUGGCAGUAUCAUGUAAAGCAUUUGACUAUUUAAGUUUGUGGUUGAAUUGAAUAGAUCACUCUUUCAUACAUUGAAUCCGAAUUUUUCCUGUGAAGACAACUAGCAACUGAGUGCAGAAAGAAAAGUGAAUCCGACGUAGGAAAUAUUACAGCCAAAUUUUUCCACCGAUGGGAGAAAUUGAUGGUUCGAUGAAUUGAUCUCAAUUUUAAUUGUGUUGAUAAUCUCUGCAUUUAUUAGAUGAAUGACCCUUAUUAUGUCAUGAUCACUACUAAACUUGACUAACACUCAGAAGUGUCUAAAUGAUGGUGCAUUAGUUAUAAAUGCAUGUAUUCAUAUAGUAAAUUUAGUGUAAUUUAGGUGCACUAACGAUUAGUAAGUGUUCUAAGAAAUCCUAAUUCCUUUUACCUAUACAUGAACCAUGAAAGUUAAUUAAUCACCUACGAAAUUUUUGUUAGAUUUUGAAAACUUAAUUUUGUGUGUUUUGAAUUAGUUAAACAAUAAGAAUGUUAGUAAUCUAACUUUAUUACAAAUCUUCAAAUGGAUAAUGAUCUUUUACAUUAAUAAGAUAGCCAAGGGAAAGGAAUCAAAACUAAGCAGUUUUUAGUAUUAAAAUUGUCUAAUAAUUUCAUGUUUAAUUAUGUCAGUAGAUGCAGAGUCAUCGACAUUAGCUGGCAUGCCAAGGAUCACCUAUAAAGUACGUAAAUAGCGAUGAUGCUUCUCCAGAAGUGAGUGCUAGAUCAUGGUUUUGGUACACGGAAGAGGAACUAUGCUAACGAAGUCACACAUGUAGUUCGUUUUUUAUGUUGCUUAGAAUAAACGACUUUCAACGUCCUUUAAGGCUUUAACUUUCACUCAAUAUUCUAUUCAGUCCCUUGAUUUCAAAAAGGGCUAAGUUACUAAUUAAACUUGGACACUUUUUUCUUUUUGGUUAGAUAGUGUGUAUAUUAAGUCGUAAUAGUAUAUGAUGGAGAGAAUAUAAAAACUUACUUUAUAAUCUACAUGAAACACAUCACAAUGAAAUGAAGAAAGCAAAUGCGUUGCAAAAUUUGACUUGAAAUUUUGUCAUGUUCGCAUCAUUUAUUAAUAUUUCAACAGCUCUUUUCUCCUUUCAAACCUUUUUUUUAAGUAGUCUUCAUCUUCAUUGCUUGGCGAGAGGAUUCGAGAUUGUCUUCUUUGCCUCAAACAUGGAUAUUUUGUUUUAAGUGGUCCUUCUCCAUAUUUCUAAUCAAAUUCCUAUAAAAAAAACUAUAAUAUUAUAGAUAAAUAUAGGAGAUAAAUAGACAUCUUCUGUCUUUAAGGCUGAAUCUUAUACAAGUCCUAAUGGAGGGGAAGCGAGGAGAAAUCAAUUAGCCAUAUGAGAGGUAUAUAACUAAAUAUAAAUUAAAGAUCUCGAACUCAAAAAUUCAAAAACUCUCGCUUACACUAAAAAAAAUAAAACAGAAAAAGUUCCAGUCCGCCAACACUAUUUAUAAUAGGCCAAUGGAAAAGCGUGGCUAGGAAAUGUUCUGUUGCUUUUGUGACUCCAUCCACUGUAAAUGUACUUAGGUGCAGAACAUGUUGGCUGCUAGGAAGCUAAAGACACAAAAGUACUUGUGAUGCAUUUUUUGACAAGUCAACUACAUAUGAUGCUGAUGAAACUACUAGUUUGACGGCUGUCGGGAACAAGAUCGAUUAUGGGGCAGUAUACGAAUACUUCCAAGCAGUGUAGACUGAGAAGGGUUUAGGGUAGUAUAUUGAUUCCUAUCAGGAGUCUUGCCUUAGCUACGAAUCUUUGGUCCAUUAUUGCCUACGUCUGCAAACAAAAAAGAUAUAGAUACACCAGUGGGGUAUUCUUAUAAUGCAUUCGUCUUAAUUCAGAUGAAACUUUGAGGAGCUUGAAUGGGCAUUUUUUUAUUUUUUAAGAGAAUUUUCAUAGUUGAGAUCUACAACUAUCCAUGACUGAUAGUAAAUUAUGCAUAUGUGCGAGCAAGAAAUUGAUAGAGCCGAGCUAUCUAAGCUGAAAUUCUUGCCUGCUGAACACAAUGAGAUAGAAAAUAUCCCUUGAAAUAAUUUUGAUGCCUAAGUUGGUGAUCAAAGUAAUAAUAGAGCUGGGGAGUUAUGGGAGUGAGAAGCAGUUAGUUAGUUACCUUCAAGUAUGACUGUAUGAGAACGGACUGGCAUUUAUAGUCCAAGGGAUUAGUUCGAAUUAUGGGAAAUCGAGGAGCAUUUAUUGUUAUAAGAGAAAUCUUAAAUCAGCCCCUAAGUAAGUCCCAUUUGAAUUGUUAUAUUUAGGAAAUUUUGUAAAAAUAUAUAUAUUAUAACAAUUUGAUAUAUAGGAAAUAAAAUAAUAUUUAAAAAAAAUUUUCUAAAAAAAUCAUAAUUCAAAAUCACUGUCACAUUAGGUAGCAGAGCAUUACAUAUUUACAUCAGCCAGCCAUAGUCUGACAAGAGACACAUCUCAGCUAUGCCAAGUUACCAUGGGCAUCAAUUUGUCACAAUUUGUGACGGUUUUCACUGACCAAUUUUGAUGGAGUUUCUACUCACAUCGAAUCCCCUCUCCCUAUCUCCAAGAAUAGACUAGCUUAGGUUAUAGGAAAUUCUAUCGUAUCGACAAAAAAAAAAUUACCAUGGGCAACAGAUGAUAGCCUCGGAAAGUAAUGGUAGGUGAGACUAUGGUUUGGAUCCUACAUUGCAUGUUUACGAAAGUCGUAGAAGAGACAUGCAAAACGUUCAUAGAUACUAUUCUAAUGGUCUUUUUUUCUCUUGCUCCAUAAACAAAGACAAAUAUGUUAAACAUGCUUUGGAGCAUGUUUGGACAUGACGGAGGAAAAUUAAAAUUAAGCAAAGCAACAUUAUUAUGCUCUUUGGAGCCACCUCUCAUCGUUUGAUGCACUUGUGAAAAGACGUAGUUAGACAACUAUCUACUUGAAAGAGAAAAUAGUGCAACGAAAAGCUAAAAACACAAAAAGAAAAUUAAAUGUAGAAGCAUUUCAAUUUGGAUAGCACUGUGCACAACUUGUUUUACAAGAUUCAUACCAAUCAUUUCGAGUCAAACGUACACCCAAAAGAGGGAUUGAAAAGCUUUGUAAUUUUGUUUUUACCACAAAGUAACUGAGAUUUCAUUAUAGCAAACUUAAGAAUCUUUAUACAGUAAUUUUUUUUUACGGCAACGAUAAUAUUUCUAUAAUCUAAUCUACUCCUGAUUUAGAGGGAGGGGAGUCUAAAGAGACUAUAUAUAAAUGACUAGUAUGUAGUAAUGCUUGUACAAAAUUUGGAAGCUCCAACUCCCACUCUAUACUAGGGGUGAGCAACUAUGGUAAUUACCGAAUUACCGACCGAAAUCGAUUUGAAUUUGGUAAUUUGCAGUCGGAAAUUUAGGAAUUUGAUCCGUAAAUCGAUUAUCCUGAAUUAGUAAGAAUCGAAUUUGGGUCGAAAAUGGUUGUGGGGUUUCUGAAUUCGGAUUUACCGAAUUUGAAUUUAUUUUAAUAAAACGGUAAAUUAUACCGUUUUCAAAUUCAAAAUUCUGAAUAAAGUUUAAUAUGAAAUAAAUAUGUUCCAUACCUUAAAUUGAAGCAUUCGUUCUAUUUCUGCUUUCUCGUUCCUUUGCACUGCCACUACUUAGUCUAAGCCUAAGCCUCCUCAACUGAAGACACUACUUUCUCAUUCUAUUUUUGCUUUUUGUUUCUGGUUCCUCAACUGAAGACAGAAACCCUAAACCUCCUCCAGCCGGCAGCCACCACUUAGUCCAACUUCCUCACAAGUCACACCUCACUUAGUCUGGCCUAUCUAUCUUUCUCUAUUUCUGGUUCUCUUCAUACUCACUAGCUCACUCACCACACCUGUCUCUCUCUACACCACUGAUUACCAUUGCUGACAGAGCCUCCACCAUUACCAGGACCACGAUUCACUAAUGCUGAAGGUAAGUUUAGUGCUUUACUUUGUAGAUUAAUAAGUUGCCCUAAUUUCGAAAUUUAAUCGAUUUGAAGCAUGUGUAAUUUUGGGUGUAACUGAAAGAAUUUUAUUGCCAUUGACUCACGUACAAACACAAAAUUUUGUUGUCAUUGAUCCUACAUUGCAUGUUUAUGAAAGUCGUGGAAGAGAUAUGAAAAACGUUCAAAGAUACCGUUCUAAUGGACUUUUUUUCUCUUGCUCCAUAAAGAAAGACAAAUAUGUUAAACAUGCUUUGGAGCAUGUUUGGACAUGACGGAGGAGAAUUAAAGUUAAGCAAAGCAACAUUAUUAUGCUCUUUGGAGCCACCUCUCAUCAUUUGAUGCACUUGUGAAAAGACAUAGUUAGACAACUACCUACUUGAAAGAGAAAAUAGUGCAACGAAAAGCUAAAAACACAAAAAGAAAAUUAAAUGUAGAGGCAUUUCAAUUUGGAUAGCACUGUGCACAACUUGUUUUAUAUGGUUCAUACCUAUCAUUUCCAGUCAAACGUACACCCAAAAGAGGGAUUGAAAAACUUUGUAAUUUUGUUUUUACCACAAAGUAACUGAGAUUUCAUUAUAGCAAAUUUAAGAAUCUUUACACAGUAAUUUUUUUUACGGUAACGAUAAUAUUUCUAUAAUCUAAUCUACUCCUAAUUUAGAGGGAGGGGAGUCUAAAGAGACUAUAUAUAAAGGACUCGUAUGUAGUAAUGCUUGUACAAAAUUUGGAAGCUCCAACUCCCACUCUAUACUAGGGGUGAGCAACUAUGGUAAUUACCGAAUUACCGACAGAAAUCGAUUUGAAUUUGGUAAUUUGUAGUCGGUAAUUCGGGAAUUCGAUCAGUAAAUCGGUAAUCCCGAAUUAGUUAGAAUCGAAUUUGGGUCGAAAAUGGUUGUGAGGUUUCUGAAUUCGGAUUUACUGAAUUCGAAUUUCUUUCGGUAAAAUGGUAAAAUUAUACCGUUUUCAAAUUCAAAAUUCUGAAUAAAGUUUAAUAUGAAAUAAAUAUUUUCCAUACCUUAAAUUGAAGCAUUCGUUCUAUUUCUGCUUUCUCGUUCCUUUGCACUGCCACUACUUAGUCUAAGCCUAAGCCUCCUCAACUGAAGACACUACUUUCUCAUUCUAUUUUGCUCUUUUGUUUCUGGUUUCUCAACUGAAGACAGAAACCCUAAGUCUCCUCCAGCCGGCAGCCACCACAUAGUCCAACUUCCUCACAAGUCACACCUCACUUAGUCUGGCCUCUCUAUCUUUCUCUAUCUCUGGUUCUCUUCAUACUCACUAGCUCACUCACCACGCCUGUCUCUCUCUGCACCAUUGAUUACCAUUGCUGACAGAGCCUCUACCAUCACCAGGACCACGGUUCACUAAUGUUGAAGGUAAGUUUAGUGCUUUACUUUGUAGAUUAAUAAGUUACCCUAAUUUCGAAAUUUAAUCGAUUUGAAGCAUGUGUAAUUUUGGGUGUAACUGAAAGAAUUUUAUUGCCAUUGACUCACGUACAAACACAAAAUUUUGUUGUCAUUGAUCCUACAUUGCAUGUUUAUGAAAGUCGUGGAAGAGAUAUGAAAAACGUUCAAAGAUACCGUUCUAAUGGACUUUUUUUCUCUUGCUCCAUAAAGAAAGACAAAUAUGUUAAACAUGCUUUGGAGCAUGUUUGGACAUGACGGAGGAGAAUUAAAGUUAAGCAAAGCAACAUUAUUAUGCUCUUUGGAGCCACCUCUCAUCAUUUGAUGCACUUGUGAAAAGACAUAGUUAGACAACUACCUACUUGAAAGAGAAAAUAGUGCAACGAAAAGCUAAAAACACAAAAAGAAAAUUAAAUGUAGAGGCAUUUCAAUUUGGAUAGCACUGUGCACAACUUGUUUUAUAUGGUUCAUACCUAUCAUUUCGAGUCAAACGUACACCCAAAAGAGGGAUUGAAAAGCUUUAUAAUUUUGUUUUUACCACAAAGUAACUGAGAUUUCAUUAUAGCAAACUUGAGAAUCUUUACACAGUAAUUUUUUUUUACAGCAACGAUAAUAUUUCUAUAAUCUAAUCUACUCCUAAUUUAGAGGGAGGGGAGUCUAAAGAGACUAUAUAUAAAGGACUCGUAUGUAGUAAUGCUUGUACAAAAUUUGGAAGCUCCAACUCCCACUCUAUACUAGGGGUGAGCAACUAUGGUAAUUACCGAAUUACCGACCGAAAUCGAUUUGAAUUUGGUAAUUUGCAGUCGGUAAUUCGAGAAUUCGACCGGUAAAUCGGUAAUCCCGAAUUUGUAAGAAUCGAAUUUGGGUCGAAAAUGGUUGUGGGGUUUCUGAAUUCGGAUUUACCGAAUUUGAAUUUAUUUCGGUAAAACGGUAAAAUUAUAACGUUUUCAAAUUCAAAAUUCUGAAUAAAGUUUAAUAUGAAAUAAAUAUGUUCCAUACAUUAAAUUGAAGCAUUCGUUCUAUUUCUGCUUUCUCGUUCAUUUGCACUGCCACUACUUAGUCUAAGCCUAAGCCUCCUCAACUGAAGACACUACUUUCUCAUUCUGUUUUUGCUUUUUGUUUCUGGUUUCUCAACUGAAGACAGAAACCCUAAGCCUCCUCCAGCCGGCAGCCACCACUUAGUCCAGCUUCCUCACAAGUCACACCUCACUUAGUCUGGCCUCUCUAUCUUUUUCUAUCUCUAGUUCUCUUCAUACUCACUAACUCACUCACCACACCUGUCUCUCUCUACACCACUGAUUACCAUUGCUGACAGAGCCUCCACCAUCACCAGGACCACGGUUCACUAAUGCUGAAGGUAAGUUUAGUGCUUUACUUUAUAGAUUAAUCAGUUGCCCUAAUUUCGAAAUUUAAUUGAUUUGAAGCAUGUGUAAUUUUGGGUGAAACUGAAAGAAUUUUGAUGCUAUUGACUUACGCACAAACACAAAAUUUUGUUGCCAUUGAUCCUACAUUGCAUGUUUAUGAAAGUCGUGGAAGAGACAUGAAAAACGUUCAUAGAUACCGUUCUAAUGGUUCUUUUUCUCUUGCUCCAUGAAGAAAGACAAAUAUGUUAAACAUGCUUUGAAGCAUGUGUAAUUUUGGGUGAAACUGAAAGAAUUUUGUUGCCAUUGACUCACGCACAAACACAAAAAGUGUUUUUUUUUCUACUGCCGAUUGUCUGUCAGCAUAGUAAUUAGCAUUUCUACUGUCCAGUGAUGACAAUUCUAUAUUGCUUUAGUAUUGCUUUAGAAUGAAAGGAAAUGAUUCUUAAUAUAUUGACACACUGGAUUUUCUAGCGUGUGCAUAUGGACUUAAAUUGAUGGACUUAGUGAAUAUAAGUAGAAAAUAAGGUAAUGAUGGAUCUAGCGUCUUAUUGGCAAGAUGAUAAUUGACACUAAUCAGAUGCCACAUUAUUGUUCUCCAGCGUCAUUAGUACUAAAGAAGUGAUUUUUACUUCUGUGCAAACAAGCAAAAUGAUUUCCAAGUGCCAGGGGAUGAUUGCUGUCAUUAUUGUGUUGUCAAGUUUUUUUUUUCUAUUGUUGGUUGUCUAUCAGCAUAGUAAUUAGUAUUUCUACUGUCCAGUGAUGACAAAUCUAUAUUGAUUUAGUAUUGGUUUAGCAUAGUAUUGCUUUACUUGUUCCAUCCUGAGAUUAAAAGCACAAUUCUAUAUUUUCAUGAGAGCUAACAGAUUCUGCUCUUGACUAAGUUGAUUAGUUCUAUGCUCUUAUUUCAUUGUCUAAUUGAAUUUAUAUUUAUUGAUAAUUGAUUGUUGCACUAAAUUGUAUAAUUUUCUUGCUCAGAUUUACAAAAAAAAAAAACUGAAACUAUGUCUACCGAUGGUGAGAGUAAUCCAAGUCACGAGAAGCUGGAACAAGAAGGAUCAUCUGGAACUCUUCCUCCUAGUCCUACUACACGAAGCUGUGAAGAAUUUGGUUUUGUCAAUAAAAGAGGAGAGUACAAUAAGAGCUUCAAAACUUGGGAUCAUUUUCAUGUAAAGCAUGUGAAUAGAGUUCAUCAUGCAAUCUGCAAGUACUGUAAGAAGGACAUAGUUGCGGAUCCCAAAAGUAAUGGUACGACUCCCCUUAAUACUCAUGUAGCUAAAUGUCCUCUAAAUCCUAAAAAUAAGCAAACUGGUCAAGCUACAUUGUGUUUGGGUGAAACUAAAACCUUAGAGGGAGGGGUUAAAGGGGCACUUAUAAGUUGAAAAUUUGAUGCGGAAGUCAUUAGAAAAAGCAUAGCUUAUAUGGUAAUUGUUGAUGAGUUGCCAUUUAAACAUGUAAAGGGAAGAGGUUUUCAAUAUAUGAUGCAGACUGCCUGUCCAUCAUUUAGAAUUCCUUCGAGAUGGACUAUUUCUAGAGAUUGUUAUUAGCUGUAUUUAGAUGAAAAAUUUAAGUUGAAACAUCUCUUGAAGAAUAACAGUAGCAGAAUUUGUCUAACCACAGAUUCCUGGACAUCCAUUCAAAGGAUAAAUUAUAUGUGUCUCACUGCCCAUUUCAUAGAUAAUGAUUGGAAACUGAAAAAAAAAUCCUAAAUUUCUGUCCUAUUGCUAGUCACAAGGGAAAUGAAAUUGGUAAGGCCAUAGAAAAAUGUAUAUUAGAAUGGGGAGUUGAUGAUAUCCUAAUUGUUACAGUUGACAAUGCAAGUUACAAUGAUUUAGCUAUCCAGUAUUUACGAGGAAAACUUCAAAAUUGGGGAAAAGCUGUGUUAGGGGGGAAAUGGACUCAUGUGCAAUGUGUAACUCAUAUGGUGAAUCUAAUUGUUAAUGAUGGCAUCAAAAAACUUGGGAAUUCAGUUGAUUGUAUCAGGGCAGCAGUUAGAUAUGUUAGACAAUCACCUUCUAUAUUGAGAAAAAUUCAAGGAGUGUGUUGAAAUUGAAAAAAUUGAAUGCAAAAGAUUGCCCAUUUUAGAUGUCUCUACUAGGUGGAAUUCUACAUAUCUAAUGCUAGACACAGCUCAAAGGUUUGAGCAAGCUUUUGGGGGGUUUGAGGAGCAGGAUCCUUAUAUGCUUCAAGAGUUAGAAAAUCUACCAACAAAAUCUGAUUGGACAAAUGUUAGAUUCUUGGUAAUUUUUUUGAAAAACUUUUAUCAGCUAACUGUAAAGGUUUCCGGUUCCAAAUAUUUGAUUUCAAAUAAUUUUUUUCACUGAUAUUAGUCACAUUCAUGGCACUUUAAUUGAAAUGACAGCAAGUGAUAAUGAUGAGUUCAAAGGCAAUAUCAAUGAAGGAGAAAUAUGAUAAGUAUUGGGGAAGGAUCGAAAAGAUGAAUAUGCUGAUUUUUAUUCCUCCAUUCUUGAUCCUCGAACUAAACUUGAAUACCUUAAAUUUGUGGUUUGCCAAAUUUAUAGUGACUCCAAUGGUACAACACUAGCUGACCUUGCAAAAGAUGCAAUGUUUGAGUUGUUUAAUGAAUACAAGAUGCUCAACACACCUGUCUCACAUUCUGCCUCUCAUGCUUCUUCACUUUCAAGCGAUUCUCAAAGGAUGUAAUACUAUAUUUCAUGGAUAUGCCUUUAAAACAAUCACUAAUAGGUACAAGUUGGAGUUUAAGAAGAGAAAAGCGGAACUUGGAAGUAGGGAUGCAAAAUCUGAAUUAAAGAAAUAUUUGAAUGAGGAGUGUGACGAAGAUGAUGAGAGAUUUGAUAUCUUGUUAUGGUGGAUGGCCAAUAGCCUUAGAUUCCCAAUUCUCUCCAAAGUUGCUCGUGAUGUGUUGGCAGUCCCAAUUUCUACCGUGGCCUCUGAAUUUGUUUUUAGUACUGAAGGUCAUGUUCUUGAUACAUUUAGGAGUUCUUUGACUCCUAGAAUUGUACAAGGAUUAACAUGUGCUCAAGAUUGGUUUUGGUCCUCCAAGAUAGAAUUAAACAUAGAAAAAAAUCUGGAAGAGCUUAAAGCCUUCGAAUCUGGUAAGCUAUCAAAAUUUUUAUUGCAGAAUUUAAAGUAUUUCUUUAUUUCUAAUAAUUGCCUUUAUGAUACUUCAUGAAUUUUGUUUGUUCUUGCAAAGUUGCUGAAGUUUGCGUUUUGAGAGUUGAACCAACUCUUCUGGCAAGUUGCAGUUUCUAGACAAUUGGGUUUUAAUUCUGGAGUGUGGAUUGUAGUUUAUGAUUUCUAGACAAGUUAAUUUCGACUUUUAUUUCUAUUGAGUUAUGAUUUCUGGAUUGAUUUAUGAUUGUGGAUUGUUGUUUCAUGAAUUUUAUUUCUAGACAAGUUAAUUUCGACAAAUUUAUACUUUUAUGGAUUGUGGAGUGUGAAUUUUAGUUUCAUUAGUUUGUAGUUUGUAGAUCAGUGAUCCAACUAUUAUGUGUGUUAUAGAUUGCAGAAUAUCAGUACUCAUUACAAGUUCAUGUUUGUUUCAUUGUUUAUGGCUCAGUUAGUGUAAUAGUAUUGCUAUUUGCUGAUAAAAAAUGUUCCAAAGAAUUUCUUUUCUGAAAUUCGGUUAAAUCGAAAAAUGUCCGUUUUUUGAAUUGAAAUCAGAUUGGAUUUGAAUUCGAUAAUUCCUAUUUCGAAUGCGAAUUAGGUCAAAUUUUCCCAGAACCAUUUAUCAAAAAUUACCGAUUUCAAGCUACUGAAUUAUCGACUUCGAAUUCGAUGCUCACCUCUACUCUAUACAAUAAGAUACUAAUUGCACAUUACACCCCUAGCAAAGGACUAUUUGGUAGCUUCCCUAAUAGUCCAGUAAAUUUUCUUAAUUUGGACUUGUUGGAGGAACAAUUUGGCAUCAAAUUUCCUGAGUCAGAACCUCUCCCCAAUACUUUUUCCCCAAAUUUAAGAUUUUAAUAUUUAUCUAUCCAAUUUUUAGGUGGUAUUACAUCACAGUCCACCGUAAAUUUAUUCAGAAAAUUAUGUUGAGUCUCUUGUUGAUUUGCACUAGUAUCUGGCUAACAUCUUAUAUCUACAAUGACAACUCAACAUAAUAUAGAAAUCCUGAGUUAUAAUACAUGCAAGUUUUCCAAAAUCUUUUUCUUUUCUUGCUAUGCUUUUACUUGAAAGACAAACAAAAGAGGAAGAGAGGUAGAUGACGAAAGUAAAAAUCUGAAGUGUACGUUUGCGAGACGUAACGAGUGUAUUAUACUAGGACCUUCAUGCAGAGUCUGUGCUAGUUUGAUUAUUUCAAACCUAAUUUUUCUCUAUAAUUAGUUUGUGCAAACUUGGAACAAACUAGAACAAAUUCGUAGUACCCUAGUUCGAAGGAGUUAGGAUCUAGGCAACUUGAAAUCCUAAACUAGUUCGACUACAUUUUUGCAAGCAUCAUGAAUGUGUUUAAAACUAACCUUGUAAGACAUAUUAUGUAUAGUUUUACAAGCAUAUUUGCAACAAAAAGGUAAUUUUAUAGGAGUAAAUCUUAUAUAUAUAUAUAUAUAUUGACAGUUUAUAUACUAUCAACGUUGGAUUCAUGACAUAUGUGCAAAGGUUGAAUUUCAAAUUCAAACGUUACAUACUUGUUAUUCAUCUAAUACUGACAGUGUAUAGGAAAGAUUAAUCCAUUUUAUACAUAUAGAAAUUUAUUCACAACAAAAGUAUUGAAACUAAAUUAACAAAGAAUAGUUGAGAUCUAACUUGUUUUUGAAUAAUCGAUGCAUAUGUUUUUCAAAAAAAUAAAAAAGAAUAACCGAUGCAUGUAUAUAAAGCCAAUUAAGUACUUGCGAGUCGCUUUUUAUAAGCAAGAUGCUAGUGAAUAGGUUACCCACUAAAAACUAUCUUAUCAAACUACUAAAAUACAACUAAGUAGGGUUGUAAACUAAUAAAAUCCUUAAUGAAUAGUUUGAACUCGAUUUAUUAAAGGUUUGUUUGACUUCAAUUUUUAAUGAACUCGAGUUCGACUUCAAACCGAUAUUUUGAAAAUCUAGCCCGGAUCGCUCAAUCAAACCGUCGACCGGAUAGUUUUUUGGGCUAAGUUUAGGCUGAAACCAAUUAGUCAAAAAACUACUUUAUUUUGAAAGAACUAGCUGCACCGUCCAGUUGAAUCAGUGAACCAACAAAUCGGGACAAUUUUCACUAAAUCGUUUGGAUCUUGAUUUCAAUUAAAGAAGCAAGGCCCACUCUUGAUACACGUUGUGCAGCUCCUAGCUACUUUUCUUAUAUUUUUCAUCUAAUCCUUUUGUUUUGUUUAGAUUACAAAGCCACCCUAAAUUUUGGCAAUAUAUAUUAUUGUGGUAUUUCACCUUCUAAAAAUUAUAGUUUAGUUCUAAAUUAUUUAAAACUUCAAAAUUUUUUCCUAAAUUUUAUAUUUCUAUCUAAAAAAACAUUAUUGCAAUUCUACUAUAUAUAUUGUAGCUUAAUUUUUGUAUAAACUUUUCAAUUUUUAUUCAUAAAUUUGUAAGCUUUUUUAUUUUUAAUAUUAUAAAAUAUCAUGUUUUAUGAGAGUUAGUCCUUUUUUCGUUUGUAAUGAUCUAUAUAAUAAUAAAAAUAACAUAUUAAUCAUUUAUGACAUAUUUAUAACAUCAUGGGUCAAUAACGGGUCGAUUACAGUUGGCCUAACAGUUGAACCAAUAACCCUUGAUCCAAUAAGAUUUUUGGUUCACUAAACAGUCUAGGUUUCAAAACCUUGCUUCAAACAAGAGUUGAUAUUUGAUUAAAAUAUCAAUCAAAUAUGAAUUUGUAUAUAUUUAGUUUGUUAAGGCUGACAAGGUUUGACUAUAUUUUUAUAUUUUUGCUUAAUAUUUUUCAAUAAUUUAUACAUUUAUUAUUUUAUAGUGUAGAUAUUAUAUGUGCAUUAUUGAUAAAAUUAUACUAAAAAUUUGUAAAAUUAAAUAAAUUUUUGAGCUCUCGAAUCAGACUUGAGCCAUUCAAAUGUUAAAUCGAGGCAAACACCUAAGUUCAAAAAGUUAAUCAUUUUAAUUCAAUUCAUUUACAACAACCUACAACCAGUGUUUUUAGAAUCGAAUCAAACCAUCGAUUCAAUCAAUUGGACUGGCCGUGGUACCGGUCCGGUUCUAAGAGAAACCUAGAAAGUUAAAAAAACCAAUUAGAGACGGUCAAAACCGCUAAACCGAAAUGAAUCAGUUAAAAUUGGUCAAGUCUCGUUUUUGAAUUUUGACUUGGACUUUUUUGUGGGUUGCUCAAUUUUUGUAAGCUUUUGGGCUUUGUCAAAGCCAAACAACUAUAGCUAAUAGUCAUCUAGUACAACUAAGUUGAUUAGUUAACUUGAUGGGCCAAUAUUUCUCUCAAUAAAAAAAAAAAAAAAUCUUAGUUACCCAAUUUAAAAACAAAAUGACUAAUCCAACUAAAGUUGUAAACAAAUCGAAUUGAGUCAAAUUUUGAACUUAUAGAGUCUAAAUCAACUUGUUUAUGUGUGGGCUCAAGUUCGAACCUGAGUUCGACAAGUCAAGAAAUUGGAGUUCAAUCUGAACUCGACUAAGGAAAAGGCAGGUUCAAACUCGAGUCAACAAGACUUGCGAGUUGAAGCUCAAUUCGUGAGCAAUUCGAAUUGUCAACUCGUGUUGUGUUCGAUUUUCUAGAUCACAAGCAGGUCAAAGUCAACUCGAAAUUGUAUUUAGGAAAUCGGAAUUAUUGUAAAUUGUAAUUGAUAGAGAGGCAAUUAUGUAAUUUCAUAUGCACUCGAGCUAAUCAAACGGCUCGUCAAGCUAUCGAGCUUGCGAAAAUAUCAAUUUCGAACUUGACUCGCUUAUGAUAACGAUCCACUGAUGUUCGACUGGAGCUCGGUCUAGUUGUAUGCAGCCUUAAAUCCAACUAAAAACUUAAAAAACCUUAAUUCUUCCUCUUCCAAGAAUCUCAUCUCUGAGAGCCAUACUCCAAUCUCACUCAUCUCCCUUUUUUUUUUGGCCCCCUUCUAUUUUUUUCAUUUCUUUUACAUUAUUGGUGGUGAAGAUAAUGAUGAAGUUGAGUUCAAUAGAUAACUAGACACACUUGUUUUCCUUUUCCUCAUCCAUCAUUUCUUUUCAUAUUCAUGAUUUUUUCCAUUAAUUUUACAAAUCUAAUAUACAAAUAUGAUAUUACAAAUCCUAUUAGAUUUGUUAUUGAGUUAAGAAAAUUAAACUCUUCCUUGUUUAAUUUAAGAUAUUGGACAAAUUUGUUCAUAAUUUUGUUGAUUCCUUAAUUUUUUUAUGAAAUACUUUUUCUUUUAUUUGGUGGAUGAAUUAGAAGGUACUAGAUUAGUAAAUCUUCUCUAGAAGAUAUUACAAAAUUUAUGGUUUUUGUGUUGAUUCUACAUAUUUUCUACUUAUUUGUUAUUUCUUAUUUUUUAAAAUUAAAAAAAAUCAAUGAACUAGGAUUAAACCAGUUGAAUCUUGACCUGGACACUUUACCAAUUCACCCACCGGUCCAAGUUUCAAAACAUUGCCUAUUACUCCUACUAGUUGAAAUUGCAUCUCACUCACCAUGUAUUAAAACAAGAAAAAUAAUUAUAAUAGCCCGCCUUUUUUUUUUAAAUUUCUGCAUUACAUCUAAUAAAUCAUAUGCAUCUAUAUAUCAAAAAAAAAUCUUGCAAUCUUCACUUGCAUUUAUUUAAUAACAAAUCAUCAUACCAAUAAGCAUUUUAUUAUCAUUAUAUAUAUAUAUUUAACGGCCACCAAGAAAAUCUCCCGCCAAUAGCUUCAUCCACUACUAAACUUCCCGCCAAAUCCCAUCCCCAUCCCUGGCAUCUUCCCGCCAAACAAAAACCACUAUUCUUUCAGCCCUCUCCUCCCUCAGCUUCGAUCAAUCGUUCUUUCAGCAGCCAUGGAGAAAUCAUUGCAGAUUCGUCCCCGAAAACGGAAGCAAUACUACUCAUUGAAAACGUCUUCAAACCCCUUCAUGGGCAGAUUCACUCGCAGCAAAUCUCAAGUUCAUUUCCACCAAAACCGCUCCGGCCGGACCUGGACCGAUACUACCUCUGAUAAGUCAAUUUAUCACCAGAAAUUGCUGCAAAUUUCUCCUCUCAAGAAACCCAAAAGGGUCCACUACGAGAUAGUAGAAAAUGAAGCUGCAUUGGACUUGUCCAUUAAGGAUCUUCGGGCCCGGGCCCGAAGAGUGUUCUCACCCACUACUGCAGUUGUUGAAGGGGAGAACGGUACUUGUCGGGUGGGAUUUGAUUUUGGGGAAGAGAAUUGUAAUGGGUCCUCUAAAGUGUUGAAGAAUUUUGGAGAUCUUGAGUUGGGGGUAAAGGGUUUGGAUCCAGAUUUGGGCUCCUGGGCAGGCUUUGGUGUGGCUAACCAAAAGGAAGGGAGGAAUGAGAAUAAAGAAAGUGUUAAUCCGGGUUCAAGGGAUCCUGAACCGGGAACGGAAAGUCAUGGGCCUGACAGUAAGGAGGAUGAGGUGGAUUUGAGCAAGAUAACCUCACCUGUCAAGGAGAAAAAUGGGUUCAACAAAGUUUCUAACUCUGGAAUGGUAAUAAAUUUGUUUAGUUUUUCUAUAUUCUGUUUUUGUAUAAUUGUUUUAAUUGAUCUUUGUAAGGAAAAUGGUUUAUAUGAACACUCAAUGGGAGCUUAAAUUUUGCAAUUUUUGUGCCUUGGAAUUAGAUGGACUAAAUGGAAGAGAGAAUGAGAUUAUUUGUUAAUUUUUUACUGCAAUUCUAUUGCUUGGUUACUUAUCUCCAAUAGCCAUAGAUCCUUUAGUAGAUGAUGCCCAAUUACUAUUAGUCUUAAUUUUGGUAUUAUUUUGCUUUCUUUUUGUUGUCCUUUUUUGUGUUUUCUGGGCUAAUGGUAGAAUUUGAUGUGGAAUUUCUUGUAUAGAUACUCAAUUCCUUGUCUCGAAGGAAGGUUUUCAAGUCUCCAAGCUCUUUCAGCUAUAGAAGAUUGCUACCAUUUCUAAUGGACAUGGCGAAGGAUGAUUCUGGUUAAGUUCUUCCCCCUUUGAGCAGUCCUUACUUUUUUCUUUUAUGGACAAGUAGUUGCAAAUGUAUCAGAAGAGAGGUUUCUUUUUCUUGGUCAUGUAGUAGAUGAUAUGGAUCAAAAGUAGAAUUAGUGGAAAAAAAAAAGAAUUGAUAGACAUCAUUGUUAACAUUCUCUGUAUUUUGUUUAUAGGUACUUCAAGAAUUGAAAUUGUUGACAAAGAUUUUUCUUGCCAAGUUCAAAACCUGAGUAAUGUAGAUUAUACUGUGUCAUCAGCUCUGAUGGAUACUGAGAAUGCUAAAACCAAGGAUGUUGGUCAACAUAUUGAUGAUAAUAAAUUGUUGGAGAAAAGAGAUAUUGAGAAUGUCAAAAACAACCUUCAUGUAAGGGAGCAGGAUCCGAAUGAUCCCAACAAGAAGUUGCUUCAAACUGAAGAAAAUGUCAGCUCAUUUGUAGAGGGGAUUGCUAAUGAAAAUGGUUUAGCUAGAGGUGAUAAAUCGAUCGAAGAUUGUGUACAGACAACACCGCCUGAUGCCACCAUUUUGAGCGAGAUUCAUGAUCAUGAUGAUAGGGCAAAUGGAGAAAUUAACAAUUUGAAGACUGGGAAUCACAUCCUUGGGCAUCCAGCAAAUGGAAGUAUGUACAGCAAUCAAACAUUCUUGCAUGAGAAUUUGCAUAGGAGUCCUAGAAGAAAUAACACCAUGUCAAUGACUAAAAUGGUAAGCAGUUUCUCCAUUCUUGGUUCAUAUGCUUAAUGUAAUUGAAAGUCGAAGAUCAAUAUUUUAGCACCUUGCAAUGUUCCAGAAAUAUGAUCUGAGAUUCUCGAAGUGGUUGAAUUUGCUAAUUAAGAUGUCUUGACACUGCACAGAUUCUUAAUCCAUGUUCUCGGUCGAAAAUAUUCAAAACUUCAAGCUCCUUCAGCUACAGAAGAUUAUUGCCCUUUCUGAUGGAUGUUGCCAACAGUAAAUCAAUGAUAUCUCUUAUCUUUUCUCUUUUUCGGAGCAACUAAAUCUCAAAUCAGCAUGCAGAGGCUUUCACAAACUAAUCUUUAUUAUACCAAUUUCUUCUUGUAGGUUCUACCAACAUUGAUCAAUCUCCUAAUAUACGGAAGAUGGAGAAUGAUCAGCAUUCACCACUAUUGGCUUCUUCAAAUAAGGAUGCCUUCUUGAAUAAGAAUGAAGUUGACAUAUUCCAGGAGAAAGAAGCUAAAAAUGAUGAACCAUGUUGUCCAAUUGCUGUCAAGGUCCAUUCCAUUGAUGGUUCAUCUGAUGACGUCUGCCCAGAUUUGUCAACUCCCUUCUCCUGUUCCUGCAGUUCUAAUGGGAAGUCUAACCCUGCAUCUUCUGAGAAUAUCUCUCAAUGUGAUAUGCUGAAUUGUUUGCAGGUGGAAAGUUCUUCAACUUGUACACAUGGUCAAUUGAAUAAUCCCAGAGAUUUGGAAGUAGUACUCCCUACAGCUGAUUUCAGAGUUUGUGAUGGUGAAACUAACUGUUUAACAGAGACAUCAUGCUCCGCCAUUAAGGAUGACUCUUUGCCUAAAGGAUCCCUACUGGAGUUCUCGCAGCAUGAACAAGUUGAUAUUGGAAAAAACAGCCUGGUUAAGGGCCUGGAUAAUAACAACAGUAAAGGUGCCAAUAUCAGAUCUCUCUCUUUGGACCAAUACUCAUCAGGAGUUGGAGUUUUUUCCUUUCAAGGAACUGAUAGUUCUAUAAAAGGAAUAUUAAAGAGAAAUCCAAGAGGAUGCAGAGGGCUGUGCAAUUGUCUGAACUGUGCUGCCUUUCGCCUGCAUGCCAAAAGAGCUUUUGAAUUCUCAAGAAAUCAAAUGCUUGAUGCUGAAGAAGUAGCUCUGGGUUUGAUUGACGAAUUAGCUGAGCUUCGAAAUUUGUUGGAAACAUCUGCAGUUGAUGGCAGCAAACUUGGUGCCUUCCCCUUCAAUAAGGUAUAACCGCACAUAUUAAUAAUAUACCUCUCAUGCAAGUUUUGCCCUUCUUGUUUAGUCUUUGUGCUAGUCAGAGUCGAUCUCCUAACUGUUUGCAUCAUCUUUGGUGCAUUCUUUUGGAUCUCUGGCUUUCUGUACUGAAAGAGUUGCCCGACUCAAUCUUGUUCUCUUUCGCAUUCUCAUUCGAGUGAAAUGCAUAACACUGUGUCCAGCUGAAAUCCAAUGCUCUUUCAUUUCAAAGUCCUUUGUCUUAUCUUUCAUGACGGGUGAGGAACAUGCAGAUUGCUCAGAACCUUGUCUAUAUGCUGUCUUGGUGUUUAGAUUGAAAGCAAUUCUGUACUCAUAGCUUUAACUUAAUCUGAGAAAAUUUGGGGCUGAAGUGUAGUGAUUCUUUUCAUAAUUUCUCAACACACUAGUUUUUAAAUAAUCUGCAAGUCUGCAGCUAGAUUUCUCACUAGAUUAUUUUAACUUUUUAUCUUUGCCAGUUUGAUGCCCUACUAGUUGAAUUUGCCCAAGGAACUCACUUUGAAUUACUGAUACACAAACCUAGUAGACCUGACAAGGUUGUCAUCAGGACCAUUUUGCAUAAAGGAGCAUAUUGAUGCAUCUUCUACUGCAUCGUCCUGCUUUUUUAGUUAUUAGGGUGCAUGGUUGCUGAACUCUAUCCAACAAGGGCAUCUUUUCCCAUCUUCUAAAAUUAAACCUAGUUCUAUGCUCAGAUGCUUGUCUUUUGCUCGUAACUCUUUUUCAUCUUCAUGUAAAAUUCAGUGAUUGUCCCAUGCAGUAAGCACCCUUAGAAGACAAUGUUUGCUCAGGUGGAUCCGUGAAUAUUUAUUUCAGAUGCUCCUCAAUCUAACAGUGGGGAGUCCUGUGUUAAAAUAUGCUCUAAAAAAUAUGUCCUGAUCAUACUUAAUCAUAUGAGAUCCAUAAAGAAAGUUGAGACUUCAUGCUAUACGGAUCAUGUAAACUUACCUGGUAUUCACUGUUGGAACAUACAUCUAAUAUUUCCUGACAUAGGGUUUAUAUAGCUAAAAACAUGAAUUCUUGUACUUCUCAAGUUACAAUCUGGUGGAUUUACUUGACUUCCAGUGAAGAUGUUUAACACUGGAUCUGUACUUUAAACAUGCAUUCAGUAUGAUCUUCUCUUUGUUGGGUUCACCACCAGUGUGACUACUUACCAGCCAUCUGACACUAAAUCUGAAACAUAAAUCAUGCAUGUUGCUUUUAUGCUUUAAAUUAGUAUCAAUACUUGAGCUACUUUGACUUUUCAAGAAAAUCGGGAAAAGAGUUUCAAUCAGUAUCAGUCUAUGUUUUAUGCAUUGAUGAGCUCCAAUGCUGAUAUGGUUGUGUAAGCCUAACUAUUAUGUUAUGCACUGUCUUGACUCUUUUCUCUCUAAUAUGACAAAAUGAACUUGUCCCCAUUUUAUAUUGGGAAAAGCUGUAGAUGUCCAAGCAUCUGAUCGUUUUUAUAAUUCAUGGUUUCAGCUUCUGGUGAGAGAAGCGUGUCAAAAAGCAUUGAAAACAGAGCAACAGGCCAAACAACGCCUUGGCCAAAUGAUUGAUGAUCUGAAUGUGCAUUGCAGAAUCACAGUAAGUGGCAAUUACUGUUUGCUAAUGCUUCUUUAUUUACUCAACUUGUAUAAUCAUUUAUUACUGAAUACUUUCUUACGUGCUGUGAUGUCCCAGCCCCUGCAGCCCCCGGGGGUGACAUUUUCCAGAUGUAUUGAAGAAAAGUCUAUUCCAAGCAGGGACCUUUCAGCAAGACCCUAAUCACCCAAAUGGAGAGCAAAAAGAGAGUGAUUUUAGAAGCUCAAAAGUUCAUAUACAUGCUAGCUGCCUGCAGAAUGCUGAAGCAAGAUAGAGUGGUGCAUCUUCUGGCAGACUGUUAGUAUCUUAGCACUCAGUGGCAGCUUUGGCUGCAGAGACAGGUCUUAUUGUAGUUACACACCUUAACUUGUUUCAGUAAUUAUGCGUUGGACACAGGAUUUUUAGUGUUAAAUGAUGGUAAGGCGAAGUGCAGCAUACUUUUUAUACAUUUGUAUGUACAGGGUAAAUUUUUUUUUUUUUUUUGCCUAUCUAUUUAGGAAAGAUUACACCUGGCUUUCAUUUAAGAAUUUUGACAUUCUUAAGGACAAAAAACUUCAUAAACAUGUCAAGAUUUCUUUCGGCUUCUUUCUGUUAAUUAACAUCUAUGCUUCAGUUCGUGUAAACAUGCAAUUUCUACGGAGAUGCGUUGUAGAUUUGUCUUCUAGUUUCAUUUCUGUGAUUAACAAAUCGCACUUGCCCUGCCUGGCUAACUCUCCCCUGCUUCCUUCCUCAUUUUACUGAUCAGUUAAAUUGAUCAAACAAGCAAAGAAUUGGUCUUUUAGUAAAAUUUGUCAUCAAUGAUUGAACUAAAACCAACCUAACCUGUCCCACUUUUAGUUGCAAAUUAAAUUUAUGCAACUGUUCAUGCAUAGUUCAAUUAAACGAUAUUAAGAAGUUUAAGAGAAAGUGAAUCACAAAGGCCAAAACACAUGGAAGAAAGUUGUCACUUGUUAAAGGAAAUGAAGAGAGAACUCACGAGGGGGUUAGUAGAGAAAUUUCGAAUUUUGUAGAAAAUGAAUAAUCUUUGAAAGGGCAAACACUCAAAAGCUUUUGUUGGAAACAAGAACCAUAUGUGAGACUCAAUAUAAGCGAACUGCGAAAUAAUUAUUUAGUGGAAUACAUAGUUCAUACUGAGGGAGCGAGGCUUCUUUGGCUUUUCGCUACUUGAACAAAAGCGAAAAGAAAAAGCUUCUUUCACUUUUUCCUUCUUGAACCCUUUCCGUUGACUUAGAAUUUCAGAGGAAAACAGUGUGUGAAAGCUAAAGGUUCAUAGUUUAAGCUGUGAAGCAAAGCAUUUUAGGCUGUUUUCCUACUCAAAAGAGGGAUAGAAACUUAUGGAGAUUGCUAUAGAUCCUUGUAGCUUUGACAACACCUUAAGGUUUCUGGAGUCCGUUGAGAUUAACUGGGAUUUGGAAGCUCCAGUCAAGGUUCAAGUCCAUACCCUCAAAUUGAAAGCAAGAUUUCUCAAAGCUUUUUUCACCUGCACAGGAAAGUGGUACAUCAACAACAAUGGCUUGAAAGCCAUCCUAAGGCAAGUUGAAGAUGUGGUCCUCAGUGCAGAUCAAGAACUUCAACCUCUCUCGUUGAAUUUGAUACCAGAUAACUUGGUUUGUUCAAUCUCAAGUGCACUAGAAAAGCUUGAUCCAAUAAAGCCACUCAUUCAAGAAGUUUAUGCUUUGGUUGCGCAGUCAACAAGAUCCAUUAGCUCAACAACUGAUGCUGUUGUGGGACUUAUUGACACUACUUUAGGCUAUCUGAAGGAUCUGCUGAAAUAUAAAGCUCAAUCAAUUGCCAAUCUGAAGAAGGAAACUGAAGCCCUUGAAGAGAAUCUGAGGUAUCUGGGAUAUUUACUAAGAGUAACUAAAAAAUACUUGCCAAGGGAGCAUGAUGACAGGUUAAGGGAUGUUCUGAUUCAUUCUGAAGCUGCAGCUGAUAGCACGGCAUGUCUUAUGUACCUGUGCUUGGACAACAAUAAGAUGGAUGAACGCAUGCUGAAUGAGGUGAAGCUUCAACUUUCUUAUCUACAGCAUAGGAUUGAAGUUAUUCUGCCAGAUGUUAGAAAGGUGUAUCUCAGAGCCUGGAAAGCUUCGAGUUCUCUACAAAAGAGUGAUUUUUCAUUGAAUGAAAUUCUUUAUCUUGAAUCUCUAGGCAAAAUUAAGGAGAUAUUGCAGGUUAGUGUCAGUGUAGAAACUUGUGUGAUGCAGCGGAUCAAUGCUCUCGAGGAUGAGUUUAAAAUUCUAAGGGAUUAUCUUAUGGAUACUUCAGCUCAAGAGUACACUGAUACUCAUCCAAAAUUGAAGCAUCUAUUUCUGCAAAUCAAACAUGUUAUGGGCAGGGCAGCAUGUGUUAUUCCCUCGUUCAUUGACAAUGAUGUUACUGAGGACACUGUUAGACAACUGGACCUUGAUGCUCGUGUUUUGCUUGAAGAGUUCAAGGUUAUCAAGCAAGAAGCUAGAGAUAUCUAUGACAGCAUAUUGCCAAAAUCCCAGAGGACCAAGUUCCCCACAACAAACGAAUUAGGCUUUGUGGAUUUUGUGAUUCAGAAUGCGAAGCAGCUGCUACACUCUAAAGAUGACUUCAUUGCUCUAUUGUGGCAUCAAAUUGAGAUGGUUCAUGAUCACAUAUUGUCUAUGAGGGGAGAUUUUAUUGAAAUUGCUAAGCAUCCAAGAGAACAUCAAGAUCUGAAAGAUCCCUGGACACGUUUCAAAGAUGUUGUGUACCAUAUAGAUUAUGUUGUCGAUUCGUUCCUCAUCAAAGAUCAACCUCUUUGGUAUCAUAAGUUGGGGCUAUUUUAUGCCAUUGAAGAUAUUAAGAUUAUAAGCAGAGAGGUCAGUGAUAUCAAAGACAGAACAAUGAAUCACGUUGCAGCCCUGAAAUUUUCCUCCAAUGUUGCCGGUAUUUCUUCACAAGCUAAUUCAGGAGAGUUUCAAGUAUUGUCACGUUCCAUUUAUGGGGCCGGAAAUGAAGCAAACAAGCCUGGUGAUUUCGUGGAACUUUUUGAGGAUGAAGCAAAAAAGAUAAUGGAGCAACUCACCAAUGGUAUAAUGCCAUUGCAGAUUCUCUCAGUUAUGGGGAUGCCUGGAAUAGGUAAGACAACACUAGUUCAUUCAAUAUUUGAAAAUCCUUCCGUUCUUCUGCACUUUCAUGUCCGUGCAAGGUGUUGUGUAACUCAGGUCUAUCAGAAGAGAAGAUUGUUGCUUGAAGUUCUGCAGCAAGUUAGUAAAGUAAGUUACAAGGUACUUGGAAUGACUGACGACAGGCUGGCUCUGAAAUUAUAUCAAAGUCUAAAAGGCAAACGUUAUCUUAUAUUUGUUGAUGAUUUGUGGGAUAUUUGGCCGUGGAAUGAUAUGAAGGCUUCUUUCCCAGAUGAUAACAAUGGGAGUAGAAUUGUAUUCACAAGUCGAUUUCAUAACAUUACUUCACAAAUCACAACCAAUAGUAUCACCAUUUUUCUGAAUCCAAUAUCAGAUCUUAGUAGUUGGGAGCUCUUGCAAGUCAAGCUAUUUAAACAAGAAAGUUGCCCCCAAGAACUUUUUGGAAUUGGACAGCAAAUUGCAGCAAAUUGCAAAGGCCUACCAAUUGCUGUGGAUUUGAUAGCUGGACUACUUGGGACAAAGGACAGAAAGAAGGAAUCCUGGAAACAAAUUGCAAAUGGUUUGAAUGCUCACCUUCUAGAAGACCAAAAUGGUCAGUGCAUGGGCAUGCUAGAACUCAGUUAUGACAACUUACCAAAUCAUUUGAAGCCAUGCUUUCUUUAUUUUGGAACAUUUUGUGAGGAUAUAGAAGUCCCGACAAGUAAGUUGAUACGGUUAUGGAUUGCAGAAGGAUUUGUUGAACUGCAAAAGGAUGAUAAAGGAAGCUUAGAGGGUGCAGCUCAGAAGUAUUUGAAUGAUCUAAUUGCUAGGAGCUUAGUAAUAAUCUCCAAAAAAGGAUCUCGAGGUGGAGUUAAAGCAAGCCGUGUUCAUGAUCUCUUGCGUGAUUUUGCCUUGGCAAAAGCUAAAGAAGAGUCCUUUUUGCUAACAACCAACGGAUUUGAACAAUUAUCUUCGGUUGGUGAUUCAUUUUAUGAGCCAUAUCGUCUGUCCAUCAAUUCUGGAUCGGACUAUUUUCCCAGAAGUUCUUUGAAUCCAGCACAUUUGGCAGGAAUAACUCAAAUCCAGUUAUAUUUUGGACUCCCUCUCCCUGCCUGUCAUGUGUACCAAAAGCAUGUGGCCAUGGGAGUAAAUCCUUGUCCACGUACCCGCUCUAUGGUAUAUCGUGGGAGUAUAUUACGCAAGGUUUCAUUCAGCUUUGACAAUUUCAAGCUCCUUAGAGUGUUAGAUAUUUGGGCCAUCGAUAUCGACUAUUGUCCUAACAUAUUUGAGUUGGUUAAUCUAAGGUUCUUGUCACUCAACCACUACAGAAGAAAGAGCAUCCCACCAGAAAUUGGCAACCUCCGGAACCUGGAAACUCUUAUGUUGGGGAAAAAUCACAAUAUCGAUGUACCAACGACUGUUUGGAACCUGGUGAAACUGAAGCAUUUGCUGAUAAGGGGCUCUUAUACCUUGCCUCCUUGCAGUCAAGAAUUUCUGGAGAAGCCCUUCAAGUUGCAUAGCUUACAAAGCCUUUCCACGCCGGAUUUAGCAUUUGGAGAAGAUACUGAACAGAUCCUGAGAGGCCUGUGCAAUCUUCGAAAGCUAAGUUGCAGGUUUUUGUAUUCUUGGGAUUACACUUCCAACUGCAUCCAGUUCCCAAAUUUGGACUUCCUCACCCAACUUGAAUCAUUGAAGGUGGCCUACAGGGGAAAGGCACUUCAUAAGGUUCAAUCUUGUAAGUUCAGCUUUCCUGCGAAUGUUAAAAAAUUGACAUUGUCAGGUUUUUGCUUGCCCUGGACUGAAAUUUCAAGCAUUGGGAACCUACCCAAUCUUCAAGUACUCAAAUUGUUGGAUGAUGCAUUCGAGGGGACAACAUGGGACAUGAAUGAAGGAGAAUUUCGUAAUCUCAGUUUCUUGAAAUUAGAGCGGUUGCAAUUAUUACAUUGGAAUGCUUUUGAAGAUCAUCUUCCCAGCCUCAAGACAGUAGUGCUGGUAAAUUGCAAAAAACUUGUGGAGAUUCCCCCUUGUUUAGGAGAUAUACCAACAUUGCAGAGCGUUGAAUUGCGAGGUUGCAGUCACUCUUGUAGGUGCUCACUAGGAGUAAUUAAGGAAAGGCAGAUAGAAAUGGGAAACGAGGAGCUAGCUGUCACCCUUGGGUAGCCAUCAGAAGAUUUUUUUACUAGCUAGAAGUGGUUAAAAAGUUGUAUGUUUUCCUAGUUCCUUGUGUAUUUAUUUCAGCAAAUUUAUUGCUUUUCCAUUAGGAGAAUGUACAUGUUGAUUAGAAAAAAGCUCUGAAAAACAGAACAACAGGAGAAAUAUAAAUGUUUCAAAAUGCUUCUCUAAUCUUUUUUUUUUUUUGGUUAUAUAUCUUGUUUGCAACUGACUUAUUUACAUGUUACAAUCUACCAGCAUUUGCGUGCAGCCAGCCAAGAGCAUUGACCUUCUUCACAGAAAAUGGAAGAAAAAUCUGUUGCUCCAUGCUAGGAGCUUCCAAUAAUACCCUAAGCACUAGAGGGAGAACAAAGUACAAAGUGCUUCCAAAAGCUUAGUUCUGUAAACUUGUAUCUUGUAAGCUGCCUUGUGGUUGCAAAAGCAUCAUAGUUUGAUGCAUCUUGUGGCAAUAUAUGACUUUUAGUCGCAACUUUGGUUUCAGGCAGAGCACCUGUGACCUGUUGAGAAAUGUUGCUGGAAAUUUGACAAAACUCUCAUUUGUGACUAUAAUGGUCAGAUUCUAUUUAUGCCUGCCUGUCUUAAUAAACUAUGCCACUUAUGUCUUGGAGACUAUGAUAGUUGAAAUACAAAACUUUUCUGAGAUUGAAUUCAGUUCUAAUUUUCCAGCUGAUUAACAUUCUGCUUCAGUCAGUAUAAACAUGCAUUUAAUUCAGGAUAGUGGCUGUGAUGCCCCUGUAGUAUUUUGCUUUUCUUUCUAGUUUCAUGUUUCUUUUAUGAACAAGUUUGAGUUGCUAGCAUUUGUGAACACUUCCUUUGAUUCCUUCCUUGAUGAAUGGUGAAAAAAAAAAUUUCACAGUAGGAUUUACACACACACACACACAUAAGCCUAUAAAUUCUCAAUCCUAACAUACCUUAUAAACACUGAUUACUUGUCACUAGAGCUACUCUUUCCUUUUACAGGUUUUUACUGAAUGACUGCGUACAAGAAAGUCAAUAUGAAUUAGCUGUUCAGGAUUAGAAGUUAGGCAAGUAAGGAAACAGAACUAGGAUGGUUGCAAGUGAGAAUUUUCUCUUCUGCUUCAGAAAUAAAAUGGGAUAAUUGCAGAAACCUCUCCUGAGGUUUCUAAUAAUUUCACUUGGCUCCCCUAAGGUUUUAAAAAUUACACCUACCUCCCUCGCCCAUUUAAAAUGACAAUACUAACCUUAGCAUUUUUAAUAAAACUCUCUUGUUACUAUGUCUAUGCAAAGGAUGGAUUUUAUAAUUUUUUUACAUUUUUCAUUCUUAUUCAUUUCUCUUAUAUUUCAUUAGAAGUAUAGAAGAGCUAUCAAUGCUGCUCCGAAUAUCUAUCCAAAUUAAAAAUUAAACUAGUAAUAUAUUUUGAUAACUUUUAAUAUCAUCCAAUUUUUUUGUAACUCUUUUUUUUGGUAUCAAAAUCAAGGAUAAGUCAACAAUGAUUAAAAACAAAUAGCCCAAAAUCACUAUUAAAUUAUGAUAGUUCCAUCAACAAGCUAGUCCAUAAACUUUUAUUAAAAAGAAGUCCAUAAACUUUAAAAGAAACAAAUUAGCACUUUUUUCUCUAUUUUAAAAUAAAUUUAUAUUUCCAAUAAAGCACUAUGAAAAAUACCCUAUUAUAUAAAAAGAUUUAUUGUUAUAAUUGAUUAUCAAAUAACAAAUAUUGGCAUGAAAAAAUUGACACUCUUCUUGUUUAGAAGAACAAAUUGAACUUUGUAAGAUAAGAGCAUUUUAGAGUAUUCAUUAAAUUUUUUACUCUAUUUUAAAGUUUGGUUACCAAAGUAUCAAAUCAAGGGAGGUAAAUGUAAUUUUUAAAACGUUAGUAAGAAACCUCAAGGGAGGUUUCUGAAAUUGUCCCAAAUAAAAUUAGCAGAAGUCCCUUAAUAUAGUGUAUUUGUUUUACACACAUGCCCUGUAUCUGUUAUUGAUCAUAUUUAUUCUUCAGAAGACACCAAUAAAUUGUACUUUUGGAUGGCAUGUUAUUGAGAUUCAGUCAGGAUCACUGAGGGGUUCAAGUCACUGUCAGAUGAUCUAGGAUACAGCAGGCAAUGCAUGUAACUGAAAUUGACCACAAUGAAGCAUAAUUGAAGACGCAUCACUGUUGCCAAAUGGACAAACUACUACUACUAAGACAGAUCCUCCUCUACAAAUGCACACGCCCAAGUGUGUGUGAGCGUCUAUAUAUAUAUAUAUAUAUAUAUAUUUUGGGUGUAAGGCGGCAUGAAUUGAUUGGGUACUAUAUAUCCAGGAGCACAACACCCUGCAAACCAGUGCUGCUGGCUAAUCCAGCUCACAAUAUUCAGUGGGGACUGGACGAUUUGAAUUGCUAGAGCAAUUGCACCAUACAAUUAGUGAUCCAGAUGGGGUUGAUUUGGAAAUUAAUGGAUGAGGUUCACUGUAAUGCACGAGUUUCAGUGAAUGGAAAAAGUUGCUUUUUGUACAUUUUGUUACUUUAGUGUCUAUAUUUGUUGUCUUCGUGUGUACAUCUUUUGUUUUCAUGCAUACAUCUCAAUUGAGACAGACAAUUGUACAGACCACAAACAUUUCUGUAUAAACGAGGUAAAGGACAAGGUUUUCUAGCGAUGGUACUUUCUAUCCAUCAAAAUGGUCCAAGCAUGCAAGAAAUUGUCUAUGGGCUGUCGGUGCAAGGAAAAAUCUCGGAUAUCAAACGUCAUGAGAUUGUGUUUGGAUCUACAGCAAAACUCGAAUUCGAAUUUUAUCCUAUUCAAAUUAACUCAGAAUUCCAAUUCCACCCCAAUUCAAGUCCGAUAGAUAGUUGAGCACGGUCUGGAAUUUUCUCAAUGCAGUGCUGAGUCAUGCAUGGCCCAGUUCUGCAGAACUGAUACAUGUCAUGUUCUGGAUUGUAGUGAUUUGGAGUUCAAAGUAUGAAUGACUAGUUGGAUAAACAAUACCAACAAAGUGGGCUUCAAAUUUCAUUGUAUUUGUAUGGUGAAAGAAGCUAUAAAUUUUCAAAGAAGCAUAGAAAAUUUUAUUUAUUCAACAUGGUACAGCAAAAUGAAGGAAAACAGGAAUAAACAAAUGAAAUUCAUAUCAGGAACAAUUGUUCAAAACCAUCUCCAAAGUUUCUGUUUCAAGACAUGAUCAACUAGUGAAAUCUUCAUAGUCUGCAUUCAGGAGGAAAUCCUUGAGGGAACCGCUUAUAAUCAGUGCAAUAAUUGUAUAUCAUAAAAUUCUUCUGAACCCAUCUCAAUCUUCUUCUGCUAUUGGCAUCAAGUUCCUGGUUCUGCCAUGCCCCAUUGGAGAGCUUACCAACAGUAGCGGUCUGAGCAUUGAAAUUCCUGUAGUACGCAGUAAAGGGUGCCUGUGUCCAGUCAGUUUUCACUAGUCCACCUCUUGUAGCCCAAUCAUCAGCAUUCCAGAGGCUAGAGUAAAUCCUCAUCGGUUGGUUUUUUGGGUAUGGAACGCCAAGAGACUCAGCAUUCUUGAACUGUCUGAUAGGAGUGUUAUCUACCAAGAAUCUGCAGGAGAAAGUUUAGAAUAUUAUUAACUAAAAUUUUGCUUAUCGAAUCAUGGGUUGGGAAACAUAAAUUGAGCCUUUUGCUUACAUAAUGUGGUCACGAGUCCAGGCCAUUGAGUAAGUGUGGAAGUUCUUUGUCGGAUCAAACCAGAGAUAAAAUUGUUGUUCCCUGCCUCCCUUUCCUUGAGCGUAGACGUUAGUAUGGAGGAUGUAAGGCUGACCAGUGACAUUCCCCAGGAAUUCAAAGUCAAUUUCGUCAUGUGUUGGUCCUUGAGAAGAUAACUGCACAAGAACCAAAUGAUUGUUGUGCAUAAGUGGAAAAGAAACAAGGAUUAAUCGCAUAUUAUUGCAUAAUGAACUUCAUGGAUAACUCUGAAGAAAUAUGAGCGUGGCUUCAGAGGCAACUUAAUGCCAAUUUGUUACUGACUUACUGAGAAAACAUGAUUUAUAGCAGAGUACUGUAUACUCUGUGUAACUAUCUAAUGGAACUAUGAUUAAAGAAAGAUGUUAGUUGAAAAUCCCAGUCUUUAAAUCUGUUACAUCAGUGAUGAAAUAAUAGCAAAGAACUGGAGAAGGAUUCAAAUUUUAACUAUCUUGGCCAUUCUGCUGAGGGACUGGCCUAGCAACCCUUAUUGGAGAAUGGAGAAUGAAAAAAGGGUGAUAGAAAAGGCUUUUUAGUAAUAUGUGGUAGCAUUUUUUUUUCCUUUUUUUUGAGUAAAAUUAGAAUAUCAUUUCAAGAAAAACACUGUUUAGCAGAGUGGUUGAAGAAAAUGAUGCAGUACUAACUUAAUAACAGUUAAGUUAAUACGUACGUAGUAUGCAGUAACAGUGCCAGCAGAGUUGCCAGCAACAAGUUUAAGCUGCAUAUCAAUUCUUCCAAACAGAUACUCUCUCUUGGAUCGGAAACCAGAGCCAGAUUCCCUGUCCAAAGACAAGGAAAGCAGCUGCCCUCUAUUGAAAAUCUUUGCUUUAUUACCACCCCAUGUAAGAUCAAAAUCUUGGUAGAAAUUGCCACCAUAUGCAACCAUACAUGAGCUUAACAACACUAGGACUCCAAUAUGUGAAAAAGCCAUUUUGCUAAUGGGAUUUUGUCACAAAUAUGACACUACUACUUUUUGUGACUAAAACCUUUGAACUUGGGAUGUAUAUAUAGGGGUUUAGGAGGGUUCUAUAUAGCUAUUAUUAAAUGGGGUAGCAAAAUGCUUGUGAUCAAUGAGGGAGCUAGAGUUGGGGGCCCUGAAGGAGGGGUGGCCUAGCUAAAGGCUGGUGCCAGCUGAGCAGCAUGAAAGCUGGAAGGUUUUGUUUUGUUUGGGGGAUUGGUGGUGGGUUUAGGAGUUUUGGUGUUUAGUUAAGAAGGCUUGAGAUGGAGCUUCCAAGAAUGAUUCUGUCCUAUGAGAGCUGCAUUGCAUGGGUAUGGCCCUCCUUUAGGUAUUGAUUAUUGGACCAUUCAGUGGAUGCCAACCAGAUUGUGUACUUGCUGACAAGUAUAAUGAGCCAAAAGAGAUUGGUGCAAUGAACAAAAUGUGUUCUUUAUCCACUUCAAUUUUUUCUUUUUUUCUAUUUGCCAAGAUUGAACCAUUUUCAACUGAGAAAUUUUGAAUAAAUGGAACGCUGGAGAUGUUUCACAGUAACUGUAAAUACCAUCAAGAAAAGUUUGGCGAAAAGUUGAAUUCAAUAGUACCAUCAAGAAAUGAAAGUGCUCAAAAUAGGAUGAAAUUGGUAUCCUCCACCAGUAAAUUACUUGCACGCUGAAAGUGGAUUAACACUUAGAUAAUGCCUAACUUGCAACUAUAGUAGGUUCAAUGUCAAUGAAAUCUGUCAAAAAGGACUAUUUGUGAACUGUGCAUGUCCAUGAAUGAAGUACCAAUCCCUCUCAAGUCUCAAACUUAUCCUUAGGAUGUGUUACAUUAUUGGUCUUCUGUCAUUGUUUAGUUCAAAAUUUUUACGUGAUGUACAAGCUUUUAUGGCCAAGGUCACUUCAACAAGGCCAGCCAGCUAAGAGCUAACACUCAAUUUGACUGUUUUCAAUAAAGUUCGCUUUCCCGAAAAGGAGGGUUGGGUAUGAGGCCAUGAUCCAUUCAAAUCUCAAAACCCUAAAACUAUGGGAUGGGAAGUCUUGUUGUUUUGUUUGUAACAGUUUGUACUAUUUCUAGCAAUUUCAUGCUUGCAAAAUUUGUUGCUCGACGAACAAUUAUAGAACGCAUCAUGCAAAAUAGGGAAAUGAAGCGUCCUUUUUUUUAUUGACAAGGGAACUGUAAUUAUUAUUCGAGAGCGUGCACGGGAUAAAUCACGUUCCAUAUAAUAAUCCACCGAUUACACGAAAGGGUAAGGCAUAUUAGGCAAGUCUUGUGCGACAAGCAGAAGAAAAAUAAGGCAUCCUUACCUAAACAGUUAAAUAUUCUAUCUAUCUAAUAGUAUUGUGUUUCUUCCUCCUUUUAGCUUGAUGGUCUUUCUACCUAAAACAGAGACGCUCUCACAAUGAAAUGAUUUUGCUCAUGGGGAUAUUUGAAUUAAGUACUAUAAAAGAUGCUUUCUUAGCGGUGCUAGAAUUUCAUGGUUCAAAAGUGGUAAAGCUGGGAAACCCAGGGCAUUUCCUCCCAAAGAAAGUGAAUAUCCAGCUGGUGAUAAGCCGCGGAACCACAUAAAUAAUUUCACAAGUUGAAUCUACAGGAAUAAAAUGCUCAAGAAAAGGAUGUUGUUUUGAAAUUUACAGCUGCCCGGCCGGUCAUCAUCACGGGUCACUCUCCAGUCAUGAGAAUUCUUGCAUCUUGAGCUCAUGGAUCCUGAUAUUCCCCACUUUGUAAUUUAUUCUCCCUGUGAUUGCAUUGGUUGCGUAGAGAUUACAUUUUUAAUCAAGUUGGCAAGUGGUUUAGAACAUUAGAUGUUUCAAAAGCAAAAUUGUGUGAAUUUUCAAUAGUUUUUAACGGAAUGAUGUUGAGUUCUUGGUGUACUUUUUAAAGCCUAUGAGUAUCACAUACGAUAAGGUCGUGUUUGAUAACGUAAUUCAACAUUUAAUGAAUUCAGAUUUUAAUAUUUUUAAACGCAUUUGAUAAUAAAAAUUUAAACAUAUCUAAAUUAAUUAUAUGACACUGAAUUUUUUGAAUAAAACUUGCUCCCAAAAAUAAGUGGUGGACUAUUCACUUGUCCCUUAAUUUGAUGUGCACUCAAAUAUAUCUGACUUAGUAAUUAACAAUUUAAUAAUUCAAUCGAUUUAGAUUUCAUAUUUCAAUUUUUUAAUUUCAGUUUUAUCAAAUGUUCAACUUAAAAGUGUGUAUCAUCAUCUAAACCUACUAGUAUACCCGAAAAAAAUCUUAUAAAGGAUUCAAUUAUGAUUUCCUUAAUUUCUUUUUGUAGAACACAUUAUAAUUUCAUUAAUGAAAUCUUCACUGAUGGCCAGAAUACCCCAGGCAUAUACAGGUUUUACAUAUUUGAAAAAAUAAUAAAAAUUUUCUUAGUUAGUAUACAAUCACGAUUCCUUAAUUAGUUAGUAAUCAAUUGUCGGUGAUAUCAUUAUUUUAGAAGAAGAAGAGUGAUCUAACUAACAAUUAGAGUGAAAGCAUAAUUUGCUAAUGGAUCUAUUGAAAGAAGACACUUUCACAAAAGUUUCAAUCAAGUUUAACUAAUUUUCACCCUCAAAGAAAAAAAAACGUAAUAAAUUCUGCAGAUUCUGCCUGUCAUUCAAUAUAGCAUACUUUACAGGCUGACAACUUUCAUGACAUUUUUGUUUUACAAACGAAAGUGUUCCAUCCACUAACACACACAAAAAAAAUGUGUAGUUAAAUGAUCCCAUAGUUGGAUACAGUAUCUAACUGAUAAUAAACUAUAGCUUAAUCAAGUACUUUUACUUUUCCAGACAUCAAAAAGCUUAUUAGUACAUUCACUUAUCAUCCACAAACAAUUAAAUGGAGUUUUCCAAAUAAAAAAGAUGUCAAAUUUGAUUAUAUGCAGAGGGAUUUGUGAUAAAAAUAUGGUGAAAGAAGCAUAUAACCAACUCAAGGCUUAUCUUAUGUGUAAAUGGUUCAUCUCAUGAUAUACUAGUUUGUAGGUUUAAUUUUUUUUAGUAGUUUUUUUUUUUUUUUUUGCAUGAAAUUAAAUAUGUUGAGAACAAAUUUUACCAUGUUCGAUAAUCUUUUCUCGAGUUCUUUUCCUUCUUCUUUUGAAACACCUUGUCCCAAGAAUAUAUACUUUUCAUUUGUACACCUCGUGACAAGAAGUUAUCCAAAUUAACAUAUGUACGCAAAUAAGCUAUACCAAGGCUAUUGUUUAGAAUCAUCUAACUCAAAAUUCAUGUGUAUUCAACUUCUUAUAGCUUUUGGAGCAUCACGUUAUUCACUUAUCACGAAAAAAAGAAAUACAGAAUUGUAGUUUAAUUUGACUAUAUAUAUACAAAAGCAAAUCAAAUAUGAGGUUAAUAUGUGAGUGUUAUGCUUUUGAGUUCUCAAUUUUUCAUUUUCUUUCUUUUGUACAAGAAGGGGAAUGUUUAAUCAUUUAUGUCAUCAUUUAUCAACUUAACCAACCAAUAUCUUUGUCGAUUAGUGGUUACAAAAGCUAAUCCCUCCAAUAAUUCAUCUCAUCUGCAUAGGUUUCUAGCUAUAUGGCUUCCUUUGUUUUCUUUCUUUAGUACAAGAAGGAGAAUGUUUUAUCAACUUUGGUAUCAAUUAUCAUCUUGACCAACCAAUUAUAUCUUUGUAUAUUAGUUGUUGCAAAAGCUAACCCCUCCAAUAAUUCAUCUCAUCUGCAUAGGUUUCUAGCUAUAUACGUUAGAAGUAAAAUCCAACAAACAAUUCAUUGACUUAAGGGCUCCCCAAUUGAAAUAAUUAAAAAUAUUUCAAUUUUCAAUUCGAGGCUAGGGGCAUCUGAAAUGAACCUAGAAACCACCCCCCCCCCCCCCCCCCCCAACAACCCAAAAAAAAAAAAAUAGACCAAUAGUAGGAAAGUGGACCAAGAUAGUAGAGUAUGUUCAUCACCGAAGACCUAACUAGUGUGAGGCUCAAAACCCACCGCCGUCAGGGUGAAAGGGUCCACUUUGAUUCAUUUGUUUGAAUUAUGAUCAUCUACAUAGUUAAUGCAUGAACAACCCGUGAUAGAAAUGAUAAAGAAGUGAGAGUUCUUGAAUUCUAACCUUACAAAUUUGAAUCUAUUUUAAUUUUAUGUUGAUAUUUAUUUAUCAUUUCUUGGUUGAUUGUAAUUAUGCCGAGUUGUAGUAUAUUGAUUGUUGAUUUUGAUGCACCAUCAAACGUAACUUGUUCUCUGAUUUUAAAUACAAAAAGAAAGAAUUACACGAUUGAUUGUAAUCUUGUUGAGCUAUAGUACACUGAUAUUGAUCCCACCAUUACAUGUUACUUGUUAUCUGAUCUUAACAACGGAAAAGAAAAAUAAGGGAGGAGGCGGGGGAGGGCAGGAGGUAUUCGCUAACUAUAAGAUGAGCAGAAAUAAUGAACUUUAAUUUUCAAGUUCUUUAUUUUCUUUUUGUGAACCUUCAAUUUUUGAAUUAUUUAUAACCUAUUCAGGGGGUCUACAUUCAAUCAUGAGAAUAGACCUACAAACUAACAAAGUUGAAGGUAGAUAUAAGACAUAAGUAGUAGUACUGCAUUAUUAGGGGCCUGUUUGGAACCUGAGUUUUUUGGGAGUUUGUCUAAAACUUUACUGUAGUGCACUGUAGAAGUUUUUGAAAAAAUUUUGUAGAAGUUUUUGUUAGGUGAAAAAUAUUGUAAAAGUUUUUGUAAGGUGAAAAACUUUUUUUUUCUUUUUUCUUUCUUUCCCUUUCUUUUUCUUUUUCUUUUUCUUUUUCUUUCUUUCCUUUUUCUUUUCUUUCCUCUCUUUUUCUUCUUCCUCUUCUUCUUCCCCGUUACCUCCAGCACCCCCAGCUGCAACUCUACCUCCCGCCGUCCCCCUCUGCCCCUUCCUUCCCCUCUCUCUCCCCCCCGCCCCUCCCCGCAGCCCCCCUCCCUCUCUCCCCGCCUUCUCUCCCCGCUCUCUCUCCCCUCCCCCCCCUCUGCCCCUUCCCUCCCCCCCCCCUCCCCUCUGCCCCUCCGCCCUUCCCCUCCCCUCUGCCUUGGCCGCGCCCUCUCUGUGCCACCCCCUCUACGCCAGACGUAAGAGAGAAAAAAAAAAAAGACAAGGGAGGAUGAUGGCAGGGGAGGAAGAGGGGGAGAGGGAAAAAAAUAGGGAAAAAAAAAAGACCGGCACCGGCAUCGGAAAUUGGUGACGGAUCCGGCAAUGGAGGUGGUAGUGAGGGAGGAAGAAGAAGAAAAGGGGAAGGGAAUUUUUUUUUUUGUUGUGUUUUGGAUAUUUUAAGUGUGUAGGUUAAAAACUUUGAUAAGUUUUUUGGGGUUCCUGUAGCAAAAGUUGUUAAAAAACUAGUUUUAUACAAACUUGGUAAAAAACCAAGCUUCCAAACAGGCCCUAGAUGUUGACCAGAAAAUUUCAGAGCAACUUAUCCGGAUGGUCACUGAACUUUUGACAUAGUCGAGUUUUGACUACUAAACUAUUAAAAGUUUGGUUUUGUCCACUGAACUAACUAAAGUUUAAAUUCUGGGCCAUUUCCUCAGAUUUAAUCGUUAAUUAUACUCAUUUUUCUUGUCUCGUGAAUGGUGCAAACAUUUAAAUCUAUCAUAUUUAACGAUUAAAUCUAACAGAAUGACCCAAAAUCUAAAUUUUAGAUAAUUCAGUAACCAAAACCAGACUUUUAAUAAUGUGAUGAUCAAAAUUCAAUGAUUCCAAAAGUUUGGUGGCCAUCCAAAUAAUUUGCUCAAAAUUUUAUUGUGAAACAAUUUGGUGCACAUCACAGGUAGAUAUACUUUGUGCAAGAAAUGGACACCGGACUUUUGUGCACUUUAGAACUUUUUUUUUUUCCGACAAUAAUAAUAUUUGUAUAAUCUAAUCUAUCUUAGGGGAAUCUAAAGAGUCUGUGAAAGAGGUUAGCAAAUAUAUAGAUCUGACUAGAUCAAAAGGGUGCUCCGACAUCUCUUUUGAAUUUUUUUUCAUUGUAGGUGAGAUUUGAACGGCGGAUCUAUAACUCAAAGAGAGACUUAAUCCCUUUUUGGAAUGCUGAUAUACAUCAAAAUUAGUUUCCUAACUUGGGAAGCGACAAGUCAUCUGGUCAUCAAUCCUACAAACAAGUAAUGAGGUAGGGCUAUUGUACAUAGGCUCCAACUAUCUGUUUUGCUUCUGAUGUUUGCAAGUAAUUGAGAACUUCAUUACAUAGACUACAUAGAAUGGAUAAACAUGUCGAAAAACAAGAUGGUAAUAAAACUAAAAAUUCAUUCAAAAUUAAAACUUAGUAAAUUGUUUCCUCUAGGAAAGAAAGACAAUGCCUGGAUGCCAUUUAUGUUCCAAGAAAUGCUAGACAAUUGUUAGACCCUUUGCCUAAUAUGAUUUCAUGGUUAUGGUUGAGAGUUCAGAAUUUAGAAGUUUUGGAUUUAAAUUCCUCUUAUCUUAUCUCCUCUGUACUUAUUAAAUUUCACCAUUUUUCUGCUAAAAAUAAAACAAGAAAUGAAAAAGACGGACAAAGUAUUCCAAGUUCAUCAUUACUACAUAUAUAAGAUAAUUCAUUAAUAUAGUGCAUGCAUUAUUACCUAAAAAGAUAAUGGUUGUAUGAGCAGAGCUGUGUGCCUAUGGCUAAAGAGAAUCUGUGUAGUACAUCAGCAUGGUCACAGCAGCAUUAAUUUACAUCUAAUUAGUAUGGCCAGAGUUUGGUGAAAAGAAUUUUUCCUCACGAGAGAUUAAUCAAAGUUGAUAGCAACGUUAGCUUGAAAAUUUUUAGAGGGUCUCAAUCAUAUUGAUGAGAGAAUGAAUAUCUUCAAGGAAAUAUUUGAUUCGACCUUAGACUAUAUUUUUGCCAAAACGGGCAAUUUACAACAGAAAAGACUAUAAAAAUGAAAAUGAUUUCAGUUGGCAAAAGUGCUCUUCACUUGAAUCCAAAAAUUCGUUGACAUCUGCAAUUUUCAAUAACUUAUUUUUGAAAGAUUUUACAACCGUAUUUACUAACAAUCUUUUAUCUCACAUUUAUGAUAUCUACUUUAAAAAGUGCUACAGAAAUAUCUUCUUAAAAUUUCUCCACGUUGAAAAUGAAAUUGAAACAAAUUUUGGGUCCUAAAUUAUUUUUAACCUGUCGAACUUGAGAUAAAAUAAUAGCCUUGGGAAUCAAAGGUCUUGGACGUCUUCCUCCCUGCUUCUUAAAUCACAUCCAUUCCCUACUAUGAAAAAAUUGAAAGAAGAAGAUAAAAUAAUACCUAUUUUCUUCAAAAUUUGUCACUGCACAAGAAAAGAAUAACUUUUGGGUUCUAUUUCCAUCUGAUUCGAGUUCUAAAUUAUGAGCCCUUUUGGUAGAUGAGUUUUUUUAAGUGAUUUUCUUAGCUAAAUAAUUUGGUGAUUAUAUAUGUUCACAAUCAUUGCUUAUUCCUAGAAUCUCAUAAUUGUAAAAUAUACUAACUAGAAUAAAAUUAGUGAAUCUCAAAACCAUACAAUUAGGUGUAGGUUACUGACAAACCGGCCUUCUCCCAAUGAGAAAAGCUUCAACCCAUUUUCUAGUAAAUAAAUUUUCUUGUGGGUACCUAAGGGAGCAAAUGAAAAUUGAAAAAAAAAAAAAAAAAAAAGGAUGUGGGUAGUUCUUCUUUUAGAAAGUUGAGUCAGGUUCAGUGUUUUUUUUUAACAAGAAUCUAGGAAAAAGUCAAAUCUUAAAACAUGUAAUAAGAAUAUUCCUGAAGAAUUUUAACAAAAGAACUUCGAAUCAUUUGUACUCACAUGUAUACUGACUAUUUUCUUUUUCUUUUUUUUUUUUGUGGGAGGGAGAAUAAAAAGCAAGAAGGCAAAAGAAUAAGGAUAUUUUUCUAGUCUUCAUUUUGUCGAUUUUCAUCUCUAAACGGGCGUGUUCUUGCUUGCUUUGAGGUUUAUAAAAUUUGACGAGAAAUUUUUUUUUUUUUUUUGUUUUCUUUAAGGGAUAAUUUCAGAAAUCUCUCUGAACGUUUUUCAUAAUAUCGCUUAGUACCUCUUAGGUUUCAUUGGUACUUUAUCUUUGUUGAUUGAGGGUUCGAUGACUUAGUAAACUUGCAAUCUUUGACCCUAUGAAGCACAAUUUAAUUGUCCCUCCUGAGAGUGAGAGGUUCCAAAUACAAGUUCUUUUGUCCAUUCUAAGUGUUCCAUAUACUGCCCAUGAUGUUAUGAAUUCUUCCAUUUCAUUUUCCAAAGAAAAAAUCUAUUGAGAUUCUGAUUGCUAUGUGUUUUAGUUUUAGUUUGUUUCACUCUGAUUUUGAUUCCUAAUGCUUUGAUUUUCUUGUAACUAAGGCUGCAAACGAAUCGAAUUCGAUUCGAACUCAGUCAACAUCGAAUUCGAAUCGAGCUCGAACUGAUCAAGUCGAACUCGAGUUCAAAAAUACUAAGUUCGUUAGCUCGCGAGUCAACUCGAACUCAAUUAUAUAUUUUUAUUUUUUAUUUUAAUAAUAAAAUUACAUAUAUAUAUAUAUAUAUCUCAAAUAUUUUAUUAUUUGUUAAAAAUUAUUAUUUUAUUCAUUUUUUAAAAUAAAAUAUUUAUUUUUUUAAUUUUUUAAGUUCGAGCUUGAGCUUGACAUUUUGAACUCGUUAAACUCGAACUCGAGUUCGAAUUUCGUAAAAUUAUGUUAAGACUCGGCUUAAUUAGGUCGAAUCUCGACUCGAUUCAACUCGUUUGCACCCCUACUUGUAACAAAAAAAAACGAGUUCGAGUUUCGUAAAAUUAUGUUAAGACUCGGCUUAAUUAGGUCGAAUCUCGACUCGAUUCAACUCGUUUGCAUCCCUACUUGUAACCAAAAAAAAAAACUGAGAACAAGGUAUCACCAUCAUCACAAGACACAACGGCCAUGCAUGUAGUUCAACUUUCCAAUUGGUCCUUUCGAUUAGGGUAUCUGUUAAGUGAUCCCUCUGGCCAUUAGUACAUUUUUCUUCUGCCCCUUCAUAUGUCACAGUGUUUUUUCUAUUGCAGUCUCACCUCCCAACCCUCUAAGAGGAAGCAAAUUUAUGUAUACCUCCAUGAGUUCAAAAUUAGUAACCAGGAAAGGGAAAAUCACUAUUAUUCCAUUAAACUUCAUAUGUGAUAUUAUACCAUGAGCUAAUUUACAUCUACCCACGUUGAACUGUUAACAGUGUCAAAUUACAACAUCAUCUUCUCUUCUGACAAUCACAUCUCUAAGAAUCAAAUUACCACCCAAAUACAGAUCAUCAAGGCCUCAAGGAUGUCAAAAGAGAUACCAAGGCAAGGACAAGGGAGUUGCACUGGAACAUAACUACGGGAACACCACAGAGGCUGAUAAAGCAUAACUAACUGAAACCAUGGCAUACCAACCCUGUUGCCACGUGGGUGAUCCAUUGAGAGUUGAAACAGGUACUGAUGACCUCCACAGGUACCAUUUGCAGCUUGCCUAUCGACGGGAUUGACCAGUAGCAACAUCAAAACCAGGAGGUAUGAAAACAACAUCAUCCCACUUCGAAGAUGAGUCAUCCUGCAUUAUUGAUUAUGUGUUAACUCAAAUUUCUGUUCAUGAAAUCCAAAGAAAAAAUGCUGAAAUACAGGUAACAAUAAGCAGAAGUCAGAAUAUAUUAGCAAACCCUUGAGGGUGAAACAUUCAAAUUCGGAGUAUACCGACAAGAUUUUCUUACCUUCAUCCCUCUUAUUAUAUCUUCAAAAACAGCAACCUACAAGAUCAAGUCAAAAGUUGGUAUCUUGAAGCUUGGACAUGUCUAAAGUUUUGACAUAGAAUGGACACUACUAUCUAAUGCAAAAUUGGUAAUAUUUUAGGUGAUUGUUUACAUAUACAGACACCAAACUUAGAGACGCUCAAGUACUCUUAUACUUGCUGAUAAUAGUUGAUGCAUCCAAAAACUUUACCUGAAUUUCUCCCUCUCUAAAAGCAGGAUUCAAUCUCUCAUAACGAGUUGCACGAUUCAGGGAUUUUAUCAAGUCCUCCUACACAAUAGCAAAGAAGGGGAAAAAGCCACAGUCAUACAGAAUGGAAGAAUGACACUGGGCAUCCAAAUGAUAAAUUUAACUAACAGCUAACCUUCCUAAAAAAGACAGGGCGAUAUCUCUUGUCUUGGGUCCUCAGAAUCAAGCUUUUUGACUGUAAACCACCACAUUUUAGAGAAGUUAAAAUCAUUCACACCACAUAUUGAUGAGCAGACCGAGAACUGCCUACAAUUAUAGACCAUAUUUUAACCAUUAGUAGUUUACGAGCAGCAUGGGAUCAGUAGAACAAGUCUUGUUAAUACCACCGGAGAAAAUCUUUCAAGCACACGUCUGUCAUCUAUAUUGCUGUCAUCAUACAUUAGUAAAGAACAUAUAUGCACGAGUUCAACAGAUCCUAACCAAAGCAAAGUGCUUAACGGUGAGUCCAGAAACAAUAUCUCAUCGUUCAUCCUUGUUUUCAAGGUUUGAGAAUUUCCUAAUUGGAGAGUUUAACCAAAAAAAAAAAAAAGACAAUGCCAACAGCAUUCCAGAAGAAAAAAACAUAUCAACCAAGAAAUAUGAACAAUCAUUAAACUUGACAAUACGCAAAACCAUCUUAAAUUGAAUUUCCAUCAUGAAUCAUCAUUACUGCCCAAUCCAGAACCCUUUGUUUUCAGGUUUCUUGCUAAAUGGACAAAUUCUUCUAAUUUAACAACUUAUCAACCAAUUAAUAUUUUCUCCUUGAAAACACAUCAAAAACUCCAAUUCACAUGCUAACACUAUGAUUGUAGCAAUAAGAAGGAAAAUCAGUUGAGACAAAAAUCAACUCGAACCAAUAGAUGCUGCCACCCAAACUUUCCGGCUUUUAAAAAAAUAAAAAUAAAUUAAUUAAGAGAGAGAGAGAGAGAGAGGUACUGCCAUUGUGGGGAGAAAAAGAAAAAAAGUGUCAGUGAGUUUGGGUGCAAGUAAGAGCCAGAAAAGUGGGAAAGAAAAUUAUCUAUUACUACAAAGGGUUAAACCUGGAAAACUGGAACCCCGAAAAAGCUCUCAUCAUAUGCACCAGACUUCUUCCUUUCCUACAGAUAAAGCAUAAAUGAAAUUAGAUUAAACAUUCCAUACCUCCAGUUAGCAACAGAAUUCAUACGUAAUUAAUUGAUGUGCUGGACGUAGCAUUUGCACUAAACUUAAUUUAGGCCAAAACUAAUGGCCAACAUCCAAGUGUGUGGUUCAAUUUUAUUUGGAGGUGCAUAAAAUUAGGGUGCACUUUUGUUCAAGGACUUUUUAAACUCUAGACAUAAGCCGUUCCUCAAUAUCUUAUACAGCAGCAAAGGAAGAAGGCCAACAAUUUACUGACAAUACUUCUUAUAUUCAGAGUUAAUAUUUAUAUAGCACUAAAGGAAGAAGGACAACAAUUUUCCAACUUGCUUUCUCAUAUUCAAAAUUAACAUAGAUAUCACUCAUGUUUCUCAAUUUUAUUUUCAGUUUAUUAGAUUUUUUCAAGUCUCCUGGAUGUAUUACGCAUAAACAAACUCGAAAUAUUUCACCAUUGCUACAGGACAACAACAUAAACUAGAAGAGAGACAAGAUCAGCAUAGAGCCACUCUUGGCAAACCACGCAUGCAUAGAAUUUUACUGUUGUCUCCCACAAAAUUCUAUUGCUGAUUGUUAAUUAACAUCAUAGAAGAUCAAAAAAGAUGCAAGGCACCAUUUAUUGUGAGAAAGCCAAAUUGACCAGAAGGGCUUAUCUCCAGAUAUGCCACCAUUGCUUGUAAAAAGAAAAAGAAAACCAUUUCAUUUUUUUUUUUAAUGGGAGGUCUUGAACCCAGGACCUCCUACUUACAAUUCCCCCCACCUUAUCACCCAACCCAACCCAACCUCCCCCUCCCCCCAACCAUUUCAUAUGUACAUUUAAUAAAAAAAAAUGCACGAUUUGGAGUUUCAGCUUUCAACCAAAAUGUGAUGUUUCUGGACCCUUCAUUUUCCAAUGAUAACAUACAACACAAACCACUUGGAAAUUAGACAACACUGCCAUUCUGAAAAAAAGAAACUCAGAAUACAAAUCAUAACUCAACAAUCAAGUUUGACUCAUAUAUACAGUGAAUUUACUGCAAAAUAAAAUAAAAAACAGAAGAAUAACUUUAUUUUUAUUAAAUUCGUUCAUACUGCAAAAUUCUUUACCUUUAUUGCAUUCUGCACUUGAGACGCCUCUGGUAUCAACCUAAAAGCUACCCCAUCAACUUUAAGCUGAAAUACCUGCAACGCAAUUCACUCCAUCAGGCUCCAAUCUCUAGCAUUUCACCACUUGGUUACGAAUAAAAGAAAUGCACUAUCGUGCUCCAAUAAAUAUCCAUCUAAAGAAAACAGCCUAGUCAUCUUUAAAUCAAACAUCCAUCAAACUUUCUCCAAGACCACAUAACAUACCAUUUCAACAGUGUCAAACACCAAGACUUUGAUCAUUGCAUAUUCUAUCAAGAAUCCUAUGAAGCAGAAAAGCUAGUUCGUAUGCUAUCGCCUUAAUUACAUGUAACCAAUUACACUUGUCCUCCAUUAUUCACUAAGUAGGCACAUGAUAAACAACAUCCAACACCAAAACGUUGAUGAUCACCCUGUUUGCCACAAACAUCAAACAUCAUGAAGCUAGUUCUUAUCCAGAUAUACAUGUAUCAUUAGCAAUUUCCUCAUAAUGACUAAAGCAGGCAUAUAAUACACACAACUGAGAAUAAGCAUUCAUCAAAUUAGCCAGGUAAGUAUCCAAAAAGACCUAUUUUUACUUAAUUUACGGAUUUUCUUCGGACCUUAUUGAGAGCUACAGCAACAACUUUGGAGCCAUCACGCAUAGAGGGAUCCAUGGACUGCAUCUGGUGAAGAAGGGCUUUAGCAUCAGCUUCAUUCAAGCAGAACAAGCCAAGAUUUCUCCCCGUAUUUUCACCAGAAACCAACACAAAUUCCUCAGAAGAAUUGCUGAGAGCAUAGACAGGGACCCCGGUUAAACGCUCCUCAAUAACCUCUGUAGUCAUAGCAAGAUUCCCACUUUUAGCAUCAGAAUUAGUAAUUCCAGUAUCAGAGGAAGAAGGAGGAGGAGAAGGAGAUGGGGUUGUACUAUCAGAAACUCUGGCCCAAGAGGGAUUCUUAGGAGAAGAGCCGGCGGUGGUGGGGAGGGGGAAAGGGAAGGGAGAGUGGUGCAGGAAGUUGGAGAAAUGGGAUUGGAAGGAAUUGAACACUUGGUUGAGGUGGUGAAGAGGCGCUGGUGGUGCUGGGGAAUUGGUGACGGUGGGGAGAGGGAAGGGGAGGGGAGAAUGGUGGACGAAGUUGGAGACAUGGGUUUGCAGAGAGGUGAAGGCUUGGUUGAGGAGGUGGAGAGAUGGUGGUGAUGGUGAUGGUGGCAGCGGCGGUGCUGGAGGUGGUGCUGGUGGUGGGGCUUUGGUUUUGAAGAAAUUCAUUGGUUUUUUCCUGGGUAUAUCGGAACUGGGGAUAUGGAAUUUUGAGGGGUUUGAUGCAUUUUGAGGGGUUUGGAAGGGUUUUGGUGCAGAGUGCUGAGGAGUGUGUUGGAAGAGAAGAAUUUUAAGCUUUUGCAAACUGAGAGAAGUUUAUUUUUUCCUUUUGUUUUUUUCCCCAAAAUUUACAUAUGGAUUGUUCAGAAAAUAUUGGAAGGAAAGUGUUAGCAUGUGUUUAUUAAUGAUAAGAAAUAUAUUUGGAUAGAAAUUGGAAGAUUCGUUAGAAUUUUUUUUUAAUAAUAAUGAAAAUAGCAUGUACGGCAAUGUGCAAUAUAUGUGAAAUAAAAAAAAUAAGUAGUAAAAAUUUAAAAUAAAAAAAGUAAUUCAAGAACACAUUUAUCAUGUAAUAAGACAAAAUUUUUCCAAAAAAUUGGCAAUCGAGACAAACCUACAUAUUUUAGGGAUAUUAUUUGAUCAAAUUUGUUUGUAUGAAAUUUAUGUUUUCAACUUUCUUUUUUCCUAAAAUCAAAUUCUACGACAAUGCUUCUAAAUAAUUCUGUCCAUAUCGAGCUCAUGUUCCUUUAGAAAAAAAAAAAUACUCGUAUCUGCAUCUUUUCCUUUGAAAAAAAUAUUGGUGUUUCUUUUUUUUCCUUUUUUUUUUUUAAGAAACUUGUGUUUCUUUGAAAAGUAUAUACUUUGGCUAAUGGGGCAACUUGUCAAGAAGGACCUUGUAGUUUAACUUUUUGCAAAAGUGAUGCUAAUUUUGAGAAAGUGCCUAGUUGUAAUGUGUGCAUUUACCUGAUAAGUGCUGUCAGCAUAAGAUUGGAAGUUAGGAUCCAAAUCUACAAUAAUAUAAUUGACAUGAAUUUUGAAAUUUUAGUAUUCAGUACCAAGGAUGUUGAAGAAUGCAUUAACGAUGGCUAACGAUAUUAUCAAAGUAAAAAGUUUCCCAUUGGAGCGAUUUUCACCUAAUACCUAGAUUAUCCUUGUUAAAGUUAGGACAAACCGGUUGAGGUUUUUAGAGAGUUUAUUUUAUUUAAAUUAAGAAUAACAGAAGGUUCUGCAGUUCAUUUUAAAUAUCAUACUCAUAAACGAAAUUCACCGUCGGAUGUUGAAUGAAACAUUAUUAUUAAUCCUUAGAUUAAACAUGGUUGAAUAUUUAAAAUUUAAAUUAUUAUCUUUAGUGAGAAAUACGAGUUGUGGGGAUGGUACCAAAAAAAACCAUAAAAUUUUCUAGGAAUAACUAGCAACUGUGAAGUCCAUCUGAAUUCUGUAUUUGACUUUGAGUAAUUGAGGUGAACUCUUGAAGGUAAUGCUGUCAGUUAAGCAAAUUUGCUCUAGCUCUAUACUAGCAAUUACAGUUUGCGGGCCUAUCAAGAAGUUGGACUGUUUUGCCCAUGUAAGAUGGACCACAAAAAGAUCUGUAAUCUUCCACUCGGUCUAUUUUUCUCAUUUGGGCUCAUUCGGAAUAUUAACAUACAGAUUUGGUCACGGUCAUAUUUGAUGUCAAUGGACCCAAACAUUCUUUUCUCCGGUAGGACUUUUCCAUUUCAUUCUUGAUCUUUUUAUUCUAGUUUCGUAAAUCAGUACUGACUACUGAGAGAAUGCAUGAUGGCAACAACCAAUGUUGAGCAUUGGUCUUAAAAUCCGAUUGUAAUUUGCAUUUUUCCCCAAAAUAUUUAUACGUUUUCUGUGAAUCUAUUUCCCAAUCAACUUUUCACCGUACAUACAUUAAAUUGCUACACUACAUUUUUCUACAAAAACUUCAGAAAAUAGUAAUCUAAACGGCUCUAUAUCUUUAGAAUAAAAUAGCAUUACUGGCCAAAUUUAAUCUUUUUUAUUUUGUACAAGCUUUGUGUUUAACAUAACAAUGUCGUCCAGAAUGCUCAGUGGAAAAACACAAACCUUCAAAUUGGAAAUCAAUAUCUUAGACAACCAAUGGUAAUAUUUAUUAUGUUUGCAAUAUGAUUUCUGAAAAACAUUCUAGUGAAUUUAUCCAAAAUAUAAUUGAGAGCACAAAAAUUUGGUAAGUUAUUGCUGUGAAGUACAUGAUAGAAUUAUAGAACAAAAUCAAAGAGCUUUUAGAAGAUAAUGAAAAAUGUUAAUAGAAUCUCUUAUUUGCUAAUGACACUUCUCUUAUACCUUUUUCCACUAUGUGUGGAAUAAAAGAAGGGAAAAUGAUCGGUUUCAUCCUUCACAUUUCACAAAAAUAUUCUUUUCGUCCCUCACUUUUAAAACGAAGCAAUUUCGUCCUUGACAUUUAAAAACUGAAGUUCUUACAUCCCUGAACCCAAGUUUCAAUCUGAAUCAAACCACCAAUCAACCUGAUUACAAAAUUUGGGGGUGUAAUUCGUAGAUCAUUUGGUUAACUCAACUUGAUAUUCAUGUGAAAUUUAAUGAACCCAAAAAUAAAAAAUUAUAACAUAAAAAAGAAAGGUUAAUCUUUUCUAUAUUAUCAUUGUAUACAUUGACGGUUUUAUGUACCGCCAUAUCAUUUUCAUUUAAAUUUAAACACCAAAAUUUAUAUUUAUGAUACACAUCUAGAUUUGCAAGCGGAUAUACUAACGAUGUAUGAAAAGAUUUACCCGAAAAAAAAACUCUACUAUUCCAAGACAAAGAAUGACCUUUUAUGUUAUAAUUUUUAUUUUUUUGGUUUAAAAAAUGUCAUGUGAAUAUGAUGAAAUUGAUCGAGUGAUCUAUCAAUCCUAUUUCCGAAAUUUAUUACUGAGUUAUUGAAUGUUUUGAUUCAGAUUAAAAAUUAGGUUCAGGAAUGUAAUAGUUUUAAUUUAUAAAUGUCAGGGAUGAAUUUGCUUCAUUAUAAAAGUGAGGGACGAAAAGAAUAUUUUUACGAAAUGUGAAAGAUGAAACAUGUCAUUUUCCCAUAAAAGAAAUAUCGACUUCUUUAAUGAGUUGCAAUAUUUUUAGCCAAUUUACACAAUCAGAAGGUCAAAAAGAGUACAAGUCAUAAGGGGAAUGCCUUUAACAUUUCCUAAGAUAAAUUUAUUACUUCUUCUUUUAUAACAAAUUUAUUACUCCUAUAUGUUCUUAUAGCGAAAACAAAAAUCCCACUACGUUGCAAGUAUGAAAUAAGUUAGUCUGCAAUACAUUUUGUCUAAGAGAAUGCUGCAAUAUUAACCUUUAGCAAUCAUGGCUGAAAAAAGUUUACUCUGAAAAGCUUAUGAACAUAUUUUAGAUCCCGUUUUGGGUUACGGUACUUUUACUAAAAAAACACUAUUAUGUACUAAAAGUACUUUUGAAACGUUUGAUAAAAAUCAUCCCAUGAAAUCAGGAGUAGAGUUUUUUGUGUUAAAAAUACUUAUAACAAAAACUCAAAUUUAAUGCUUUUAGAAUAGAUUUUGUGUUUUAGAAAAUAAAACAUUAAAUUUAAUCAUUUAAAUUUAAAAAUUUUAAAUUGCAGACUAUCCAAUAUAACAAGUACUUAUUAAACUAUAUAUCCAAAUAAUAUACAUAAAAGCACUUAAGUAGUUAAUAAAUAAAUUUAUUAAAAAUUUUAUUGGUGAAGUAUUUUCCAAUAAAUUAGGGCAACCCCAAAUAGGCCCUCAACAAGAUUUGCCAAACAUGAAACUAGAAUGCACAAGGGGCUUUGCAUUUGGUUUGUUGGUACAUUUUUGUUACCGCAUGUUAGUACCAUAAUACUUCAGGCAGUUGAAAACGACAAAUGGCUGACCAGAGAGCAACUUCUGGUUUGGAGAUUUCAAUAAUUAUUAGUACCAAUUAAAUUAUACAUACAUAAUAAUGUAAACAACAUUAAAAUGGUAGUCACAACUACUAAAAUUGGAAAUCCUAUAAUGGAUAUUGUUCACCCAACAAUCUUAUCAUAUCUUUAGAAUUUCUCCAAAUUUCAAUCUUCACCUUACCAAAUUUAGAUAGGGAGAUUUUAGCCUCGAAUUGUCUCCUACAAUUAUUCAUUACAAUUCUCGAGAACCUCGUUCUGUAUUUAUUUUUCUUGAGGUGACAAUCAUAUCAAAUCAUGUAGUCCUAUCAAUUUUUUUCAUAUAUAUAAAAAGCAAAUUUCAUUACGAGAUUGUUGAAAAUCGCCCAACGCAUCAUUAUUCUAAUAGCAGGUUAAACAUGUAGGAGAGAUAACACACUUGUAAUUCUUGUAGCACUAUUAAUUUGUCUGGUGCACAAUCAGACAUCCAAAUUCCAAAUUGUACAUUUGUUAGGGACUUAGCGGUUGGUGACACCAAAAGGAAGCAAUAAAAUGAAGCUUUUCAAACACGUGAUAGCUAUACACAAUCGGACAUAAGUCGUUGAGUGGGCCUGUAUAAAGUCAUUCCUUGGGCCAUCCUUAAGCUUUUAUUUCUUUCGAUUUUGGCCCUACGCUUUUUCAAUAACCAAAUGGUGAAAAAGGAAAAAGAAGUUCCCACUAAUUGUUUGUCCAUUCUUUGAGUUAAUCUUAUUAUGAUUGAAUGCAUGAUGUAUAUGAAAAUUUUAAAAUUUAAAUUUAAAUUAAGAUUAUGUAUCAAGUAUUUAAUGGAGAAAGUAUAUACCUUAUUAGUGUAUAGAAAAUUAAUCUUUUUUUUUAUAUUGGAAGUAAUGCCAUUAUUCUUUCAUAAGAUUUUGAAAAUACUUUAAAAAAAAAAAUUCACAUAAGAUUUUGAAAAUACUUUAAAAAAAAAAAUUCAGUAGAGGAAUGAUGAGAUUUAAGAAGCAGGGAGGAGCCAGGGGCUAUACCUUUGAAUAUUGAACUAUGAAAUUUUUUGUGAAAUUUUCAAGGUGAUGUAAAUGAUUACUUGCAUGUUGCUAAAAAUGGUUAGAUCAACUUAGAUUACCUUUUUUUUUAUAUCUUUUUCAUUAUGCUUGUAAAGUUUAAUUACUUUGCAUCUAGCCAUCAACUAGAUUUUAUUCAAGUAACUGCUUGAUCACCUUAUGUUCCCUCCAUAAUGUUGUACUUAGCAAAAGUUGAAGUGAUGUAGAAGAUAAAAAUUGUUGGGAAAAUGACAUGUUUUUUCCUUCACAUUUCGUAAAAAUAUUCUUUUCGUCCCUCACUUUUAAAAUGAAGCAAAUGCGUCCCUGACAUUUAAAAAUUAAAGCUAUUACAUCCCUGAACCUAAUUUUCAAUCUGAAUCAAAGCAUUCAAUAACCUAGUAAUAAAUUUCGGAAAUAGAAUUGAUAAAUCAUUCGGUCAAUUUUAUCAUAUUCACAUGACAUUUAUUAAACCAAAAAAAUAAAAAUUAUAACAUAAAAGGUCAUUCUUUGUCUUGGAAUAGUAGAGUUUUUUUUUGGAUAAAUCUUUUCAUACAUCGUUAGUAUAUCCGCUUGCGAAUCUAGAUGCGUAUCAUAAAUAUAAAAUUUGGUGUUUAAAUUUAAAUUGAAAUGAUAUGGCGAUACAUAAAACCGUCAGUGUAUACAAUGAUAAUGUAGGAAAGAUUAAUCUUUCUUUUUUAUUUUUUAUUUUUGGGUUCAUUAAAUUUUACAUGAAUAUCAAGUUGAGUUAACCAAGUGAUCUACCAAUUAUACCCUCAAAAUUUGUAAUCAGGUUGAUUGGUAGUUUGAUUCAGAUUGAAAUUUGGGUUCAGGGAUGUAAGAAUUUCAAUUUUUAAAUGUUAAGGAUGAAAUUGCUUCUUUUUUUAAGUGAGGGGACGAAAAGAAUAUUUUUAUAAAAUGUGAAGGAUGAAACCGAUCUUUUUCCCAAAAUUGUUUUAACAAUAGCAUUUAGAAUUUCCAUAUUAUAGCAGUAUAAAUGUAAAUCUUCAAUUAAUUUAAAAUUCACUAAUUAUAUUUUUUUAUAUUAUAGACAGUAUACAUUUAGUGCAGUAUAAAGAUUUAGUCUAUAUAUAGGUGUUUCCAUAUUAUAGCAGUAUAAAUGCAAAUCUUCAAUUAAUCUAAAUUCACUGAGUACAUAUAUUUUUCUAUUAAAGAUAGUCUAUAUUUAGUGCAAGUCCAUUUCUCUAUCAAGGAAGGGUUAGAUAGGAUGACAAGGUAGGAAAAAUUGUAAAUACGAAAGCUUGUGUUCAAAGCUCUCACUUAUAGAAAAUAGAAAUAAAAAGUGCAUUUCUCUACUCACACACUUAUAUUCCCAGAAUUAUUGGCAAUAUAUUUAAUGUACCUCUUAUGUUAAUUUUUCCUUAAAAAAAUGUCUGCUUACAUCAUUAAAAAAUGGUGUGGAAAAUACAAGGAUUAUCAGUUCAUAAUUAUCAUCACCAUAAAGAUUAUUCUUUACUAUUUCAUGCUAGCUGUUCUGAAAACAACAAGAAUGUCAUCAUCAGGAAGCUUGAAAAAAAUCAUAGCUUCACAUUUACCAACCCUUAAACAUUGUCUAGUACAACUAAUUUAUUGAUUUAAUGAUUCAUUAACUUUACACAUGUAAGCAUAAUGGUAUACAAGAAUUUUUCUUCUGUUCAUGAAUCUUUAUUUAAAUCAGCAUUUUAUUUUUGAUGGUAAAGUAUUGUCAUUAUCCAUAAACAUGCAAAAAAGUGCCACCAACAAGAAGUUAAAGCAAUUCCUAGUGUCACAUUCACUACAUGUCUUCUUGUGUUAAAGAAAUGGAUUAGCUUAUACCUACUUUUAUAUACAAUUCUUCAUAACUUUAUGUUAGUGUAAUGCAAGUACUUUUUGUCUUUUUUAUAAAAUGAGUAGUCUUUUUUAUUCUGCAUCGCAUCUCUGUCCCUUAGAUGCUAAGCCUGUGAUGGACCUGGUUGACCAGGACGUCAAAAUAUAGGGCAUUAAAGGGUUGCUAAACGGCUUCAGCAGUGACGUAAUUUUGUCACAGUGCACAAAAUUUGUGAAAGAGGACACCUCAAGAAACUUUUUUUUUGUACUCAGUGUGAAUUAGUUUAAUAUCUAUGUGUGUCUGUAUUGGAAUUGGCAGUCUGGCCGUAUUUGAAUUGCUAUUUUUGGAGUUUUUAUAGAAAAAUGUAUUAUAAUAAUUAUUUGAUUUAUAUCAGAGAUAAAAAGAUGAUUAAGAAAUAUAUUCAUGAAAAAUGUAUAAAUUUUUUUGGAGAAAAAUGACUCUCCAAACAAGGCCUAACGGUUGUCACGGUCAUGUAAGCCUAUCAUUCCCUGGAAUUUAAGAUUUAAUGCACCAGCAACAAAUGUGGUAAAUGCUAUUUGAUAAUUGACAGGUAUGUUAACGAUUUCUUGUAUUCUUUACCAAAAGAUCCAAAAAUAAAAUUCUCAAUAUCUUGUGGCCCUAUGGUAUUUAAAUUUUUUCUUUUAUUGAAGAAAAUAAAUAAGAAAAAGGGCCAGAGGAAAAAAGAAAAAGAUAACAAGGGAAUUGAUUUUGGUUAUACACUUUGUUAAGAGGAAAUAAGCAAAAUUAUAAGUUAAUUAAUCAUUUGUUAGUCCCAAAUUUUGUUAAGUAGCUGAUCUAAAUUCUUGAUUUUGUUUAAAUUAAAUUAUUAGAAUUAGUUAAGCAAAAAAUUAUUCCACAGGUUCGUAAAAAUAACCACAGGUUUUUUGGAUAGCAAAUUAUUUCAAAUAAUAUUUCAAUUGCAUCAUAAACACAUUUUUCAAUUCAUCUUUUUAUAUUUCCAGUCACUUUUUUAUCUCGCAUACACCACAUUACAAAAAGCGUUACAGUAAUUAUUUUAAAAAUAUUUCAAAUAAUACUCUGCCCAAACAAACCCACAAUUUCCAUAGAAAACAUCAAGACACAUUUGCUUCUCUUCAUUAUUAAAAUAAAAGAAUAACAACAAAUUAAUUGUUUGCGAGAAAAUCAAAAUACCAGAAGAUAAAAUAGAAUAAAUUCGCAUCGUUCUAUCCUAAAUCACAGCUAAAUCCACAUCUUUUCAUCUUAAAUCCGUUAAUUUCUAUGGUAUGAACAACUCAAGGCGCACGAUAGGGUCGAGAGUGUCUAGAGCAAUACAGCUGCCACGUGCAAAUUUCCUAUUGGCAUUUUAUCAUGGACUAUUCCGCAGUCCACCUUUGUUGAAUUUGUUUCUAUUUUAUUUUUUCCUUCUUCUUUUUAUCUUUUUUUUUUCCCACUAUUUUCCUUCUGGAUAUUUUCUCAAAAGAAUUUUAUUACCUAAUAUAAAACCAAAAAAAAAAGAUAAAUAAAGAAAUGGAAAUAGUGAGUAGUAACUGAUUGAUAAUACUCACAUGCUGUCCCUUCUUCCUUUCAUCGCCUGUCUUUCUUACACUCUCGCUCUCUCCCCUCUCUCUCUCUCUCAAAGUCCUGAUACAUUCCGCCAGUCUUCCACAGAACACACACACACACUCACACGCACACACACACAGUCUCUCUCUCUCUCUCUGUCUUAGUACAUUUCCCAUUCUUCAUUCCAUCAACUGCCUUUCACACAGGAUACAAAGUCUCAGUCUUUCUGUGUGUGUCUCUCUCUCCUCUGAAUUUUUCUACCAUUAUGGAUGUUCAAGAUCACAAAAAAACCCCUUCAUCAGGUUUGUUACUCUCUUUUCCGACAUGGUUUUUGUCAAAGUCCUUGCUUUUUUUGAUACAUCGGUUGCUCUGUUUCUUGCUAAAGUCUUGCCGUGUAUUUCAAGAAUUUCUUUCUUUCUUCUUUUUGGUUUUACUUUCUUCAGUUGGGUUUUCUUGAUCCUGCUCUUUGAGUUUACUUGGUGAAGUAUAAUAUAUUUAUUUACACGCAGAACACACACAAAUUUGUGAAAUUUUGCUGCCUUUACUUGUGUAUUUUACUUUUCUUGCUGUCUGAGUGAUGAUUUUGUUCUUUUCUUGAAAUGCUGAAACAUGUUUUUCCUUGCUUGUUUUUACUAAUAGUAGUUUUAUGUUCUGGUUAGUGUGAAAAAAGGGUUUUAUCAUAUGAUAAUAUUAAAGUUUUCUACAUUUCUUGAUGAUUAAUAUUGCAGCAGGAGGGCAUGAGGGGCAUGGGGUUCAUGUGUGCCACAAGUGUGGUUGGCCUUUCCCAAAUCCACAUCCCAGUGCCAAACAUAGGAGAGCCCACAAAAGGGUUUGUGGAAAAGUUGAAGGUUAUAAAUUAGUUGACUCAGAAACUGACCAUAUAUCUGAUGAUGACCAUCUUUCUGAUGACGAUAUUGUGAAAACCCCAAGUAAGAAAUAUUUUGAUAUUUUCUUUACACAGAAUUUAGUUUGAUAUUCUAGUAAAUGUAUUCUCUUUUUUUUUUUGGUAUUAUUGUUAUUUUUGGCUUAGUGCUAUUUUAGUGUUUUGAGAAUAAUACUUUUUAAGGUCCCAAGAUGGAGAAAGGAAGUGUGAAGGAGGUUGGGAGUGGUGCAGGUAUUGGUCUGAAGUCAAGUAAAUCAGAAGAUGAUGUGUUUUCAGAUGCAGUCACGGAAUUUUCGGAUAGUGGGAUUAGUCCAAGCAUAGAAGAGCGCCUGGAGAGUGUUAGAGAAGUUGAUAACACUGUGGGAGCAGAACUGGUGCAUGAGCUAAAUGAUAGCCAAAAAUCUGAGGAUUGUCGAGCUGAUGGUAAGCAGUUAAUUAGACUGGUACCUUGUUUUCUCUUUUUUUGUUUCUCUUGUUUGAACUGUAUCUGCUUUCUUGCAUGAGUACCUGAUGCAUUUAAUGACUGUUUCGAUAUAAACAGUUAGUAAUUAAACUUGUGCUUCAAAUCUACUAGAAAAUAGUUGGAUAGUCCAAGAUAAUUGAAGAUUAAUUUUCCCUAAAAAAUGUUCAUGAUAAAAACUCAACAAAGAGAUAAUACAACAGCUUACUUUUGGAGGUGAUCUUAUACGGUCUUUAUUAACAAACUAAUUAGCCACUUAAGCCUUUUUUUUCCUUUUGGGACUACACAUGACAAAAUGAGGAGUGAAUCAGUCGCUUAGUAUCUAAAAUUUUCCCUCCAUAUAAUUAGUUCACCUGAUUUAAGACUAAAUUUUUACUAUAGGAAUGUUCGUGAUUCAACAAUGAAACACCAUAGAAACUUAUUUUGGGAGAUUGUCCUAGAAGAUAAAAAAUGAGCAACCAAUCAGAAAGUCGUACUCACAUAUCAAAAUCCAUUCAGUCUAAUUAAUUCACCAGCUAUGUAUAUUUCAUCCAUUUUCACAUUAUAGAAAGAACAAUAAUGCAUGGCAUUAUCCAUCAUAAAUUGCUCAUAUAACAUCAAGAUAUUCAUGGUGUGGACCUCAAAUGACUCGUCAUGUCUACUGGCUACAUUUAAACAUAUCUUAUCAACUUGACGAGCUUAUUCAUGGUACCAUACCAUUAAAUAAAAAAUUUUCCACUUACCUUUCAUAGAUAUCAAGGAAUAUAGCUAAUAACGCACUUUUGGCAGCAAUCUUCCUUCAACCAAUUAAAGAUUUUCGGAGCUUAAAGUUCAGCUCCUAAAGCUCUUCUCCAAGUCUCACAAACCAACAGAGAAAUUACUUUUAGGAAAGUUGUUAAAUUUUGGCUUUGAUGGUAUCUUGGUAAGAUUGGAAGAUUAUAUUGCGCUUCUAAGAUAAUGUUUAAAAAAGCUAUUUUAGUGAGAGCAUUAUGGUCAAUUUGCCCCUGAUGAUAUUGACAUUAGGUCCCAUCAACAUCAGAAGGGAGCUCAUUGUAUUAUUGGAUAUAACAAGGGUGCUAGUGAAAUUAUGAAAACCCUCAAGGGAGGUUUUUGAAAUUAACCCUAAAAUACUCAUUCCACGCAAGGCGUGGCGUUCCCCUCCUAGUUCCUAUAAAUAGGGCACCAACACAAUGCACUUAUCACUCGACAUCAAUAAUUUAGCACAUUAUUUACAUUUUGAGUGAGAUUGUGAUAAAAUGGCAUCUUCAAAAAAUUUGCUCUUUCUUAUUGGUGUUCUCUUUGCACUUGUGCUCCUCAUUUCCUUGAUGCAACAGCUGCAGGUACCUAGUCCCUUUUUUUUUUUUUCCUUUCUUUUUUUUUUUGGCUGCACCUAAAUAUUUAAAUGAAUGGAGAUUUGGAGACUCAUUAUUGGGAUGUGAAUUUUUAUGGAAGGCUAUUUGUAUAUUAUCAAGCAAGUCAUAUUAAUGUGCUAAUAUCCUUUUCAUUGUUUAGCAAAAGUAAAAUUGGGUUGCUUCUAUCAAUGGUUAGUGGCACAUCUGAUUUUUCAUGCAUCCUUAUAGUAUUGCUGUAAGGAUACACGUUCCAUAGUGUCGCACCAAAGGUUAAACUAACGUCGAAACCAAAUUAAAUGCUUCUAAUUAUAAUUUAAAGCAAAAUUUCAUAUCCAAGUCGCACCAUCUUAUAUGCCUGGACUGUUUUGUUUAAUCCAUAGUAUUCUUUUCUUUGCAUAUAUCUUGCAAAUUUUCAGCCUAGCCGGUCACCUAACGUUCGCAGCUUAAGAUAAAGCUCCAAAUAUUUAUGUCUCCUUGUGUCUUGAAACAGAUCAGAAGAGCGUGAAAACCACUGGUGUCCACGAUGCCAGUUCAGGCAAAGAUCGUUGCAGACAUGGUUGCUGCCACUGGUACCAUGGACACUGCCAAAGAUGCUGUCGAACUGCCAAGGAGACCCCUGAAGCCACAUCUGGAGAUGAGGAUACCGUAACCGCAGAUCGUUGCAGACAUGGUUGCUGCUACUGGUACCAUGGACAUUGCCAAAGAUGCUGUUAACCUACUGAAGCUACAUCCGGAGAUGAGGUCAAAAAUUAAUGCUAAAUAAAUAAGGGCGUGACACAGGAUCCGUGACACCUAUAUUAUUACCUUAAUAUGUUAUGUUGUGUUUGCUUUUAAUGGUUGAUUUCCUAUGUGUGUAAAAGAUUUAUGCGGCUUCUCUUUGAAUUGGUGUAGAAUCAACAGGGGAAGCAUGUAAUGAGUACUCAGUUCGAGUGCUCUUCUUAUGUUGUUGUCAUGUUGAAUAAAUAAAUCUAUGAUCAUCUACUGCAAUUGAUGAUCUCUAUCUCAGUUACAUCAUAAACUUCUGUACCUUGGACCUGCUAGAAUUAGUGUGAUUGAUAUAAGACGUGCAGAAUGUUCAAUAUGUAUAUAUGUGCUUCUUCAUCGUGCCAUGCCAUUACAAUGUGAAAGAAUUCAGCAUCGACGGAGUGAAACGUACCCAAUCCUGCUCCUGAGAAAGGAAACAAAGUCCCUCAAAAAUGGAUAUUUUUGGAUGCCAUCAAGAUUUUGAAUUGAAUGCCAUUUGGAGAUCUGAAUGUUGUUUUUUCCCCUUUAUCUUCGUUCAAGAUUUUUUUUGGUGGAAAUGCUUCAUUUAUACGAAUUUUCCUAGUUAGUAAAGGCUUCUAUUACACUUGUACAAUACACAUUUAAAAGUAUAAAACACAAAAGCUUGUGUAGUUCAUAUAUUUCAAAAAUAUUCAUACUUUUCAACGAAACUAAAAAAAUACGUAAUAAUUCUUGAUACAUUAUACUUUACGAACUAUACUUUAAAUUUUAAAAAUAUUUAAUACUAUCACUUAUUAAUAACUCCACAUGUUAAUUUGUCUCCCAAUUCAAUAAAUUAUAGUAGCUAACUCAAAGCUAACCGACACCAAAAUUCCCUUACUUGUUCACCUCCUAGUGGAUUAUUUAAUUACAUUGCAUUUAUUUCGUAAGCAUGAGUUUGUAACCCCUCAUAUUAAAUCUCAAUGAUUGAUUUUAACGGUUACCAAGGCGUCUAGUAAUUGUUGCUAUUAAUUUGAACUAGACAUUUAUUAGUCUAGUAGAAUUUAUUCCUUCUUAUCACUUAGUUCAUAAACCUUACGAAUCGUUAAAACCAGCUCUAACAUUACCUAACAAGACUUCUACAAUUUCGUGGUUUUGCUUAGAAAUCAGUCUGAUAGUUUAACUUGCUUCGUCCAACUUUAUGAGUUGCUUUUUUUUUUUUUUUUUUCAUAUUUGACAUUUCAUCUGACUUUAAUAUGGGACCAAGUUAGUAUUGUUGACAUUUCAUAUCUAAGACUUCUUAAUUAAUUGAUUUGUUAUAAGAACUAUAACGUAUGCGUGUUUUGUAAGCUUUCAUGUUUUUUUUUUAAUUCUUGUGGACCAGCAACGGAUAGUUUCUUCUAGUACCAGGCUUCCUUUGAAGUUAUUAUUUUUUUUUUUUGCGUGUCCAAAUGUAAAUUAAAAGAAUUGAACAUCAACUUUGAACAAGUCUAUAUCUAGUAAAGAUAGAUAUAAGAGGGAUACUAUAUCACUGCAACGAAAAAGGGUUUUGGCGAGGAGCAAAAGUCCACGCCAAAAGUUUUGACUUCCUUGCUAAUUAAUUUCAGCGAGAAAAAUGCUUCCUCGCCAAAUUUCUUGCUAGAUGCUCGUCACUAAAAGUUAUUAGCGAGGAUGCUGCUGCUUUUCUCGCUAAUGAAACAGAUCAAUAGCAAGGGUUGACCUCCUCGCUAAUAGCUCAAAUACUAUGGCGCGAGAAAAGCUUUCCUCACCAACUAAAGUUAAAAACUCCCCACAAAAACCAGUAGUUUCUUGCAAAUAGUCAAGGUGUUUUGCUAGGAAAAAUAGCGCAUCCUCACCAAUAGUAUAGAAUUAGCAAGGACGCGUACCAGUAAAACAUUUUUGGCCAGAAAAGUAUCCUCUCUAAUAAGCGAUAAUUGAUUAUUGCCUAACUGUUUGGUGGGAAAAUGUUCCUCUCCAAUGCUGUUAUGAACAUUUCUUAAUCCCAUUUUAGCAUGCUAAUCUUAAUUCUCUGAGCAAAUUACUGGGUGGUUUUAUUAGAAAAUUUAGCUGCAAAUAGCUUCAAUUUGGCUUCUCAUGUGUCUGUUGUACAUUUUCCAGGUUCUUAUAAGUAUCAAAUUGUUUGGCAAAUUUUUUUUUUAAUGAAUCAUGACCAACGUAGCUGCUCAUUAAAUUUAAACUCAUAAGUCCUGGUAUUUGAUAGGUUUUUGGAAUAUCACUUGGUGCCAACAACCCCUUUUGCUACUUUGAUAAACAUUCAAUAGAAAACAUACAAAAGCUUUGGUUAGCUAAAAAUAAUUGCUAGCACAAUAAUACAUCAACAUCCAGCUCUUUCAACAUCUUGAGCCAUACAAUAGGAAGUGCUUGAACUCAAUUGGCAAUCCAAAUUUUUUUUAGCUCAUUAACCAUCUAGAAAUCGCAACUUCAAUAAGUCAUUACAGAAGAAGAUUUCAUUGAGAGAACACCACAAAAAGGAGAAGCAGAAAAAAAAAUAAAACAGAGAGAGAGAGAGAGAAGAGUUAAACUGUCAUAUGGACGCAUAUUUGUCACCUCAGUAUUUCCGAUUCCUUAAUUCAGUCCAGUUAUCUUGGAACUCUAUCGGCAAUCCAUGGAACAUUUUUUGAAUGACAAUAUGCUGUUUCAACCUUUUGAUGAAGACUUCAAAGGUUCUGUGAUAGGUUGCAUUUUUGUCAUUAAUUCUAUGAUUAUUUUCCUCGUUUAUAUAAUCAAAUAUUGUAUUAAUUGAUUGAUUCUACUUAUAUUUGGUACUUUGUGUCAAUUGUAGGAAGGUGAGCAAAAAGUAAUAAAAGAGAUGAUUUUUCAAGAGUUUUCCAAUUCAAGAUGGAGUUUAGGUGGAGUAUUGGAUGAAAAUUAGGAAACUACAACUUUUCAUUAGAUGUCUUAUUAGGGAACAAUUAGCAUUAGUUGGAGAAGUUUCCUUUUGCAAUUAGAAUUCUAUUUUUAGUUGGCCAAUGGACGGCCAAGUAGUAGACUUCAAUUAGGAAAUAAAGAGAGAAAAAAGGCCGGAAUCCCGGUGAUCACUACCUUGAGAGAACAAGAAAAAGGAGACGGCCACUGGUCUCUUCUUUAGCGAGUCUUUAGGGAAAAACGAAUGGUUAUCGAUGGAGUCCUGCGGAUCUCCCCUGAGAUGUGAAGCUAAAUUUCCGUUUUCUAAUCGAAUGUCAAUUUGAGGACUCGGUUCCAAACAUCUGUGAGAUCGAAUUAUUUUACUUAUUUCUUUUAUUCAUUGGUAUUUGUGUUUUCUGAUUUAACUUCUUAUGCUUGUUAUGUUAUUUGAAUGUCAAGGACCGAUAUUCGAAUUAACCCAAUAAUCUACAGCCAGAUUAAUUGAUUGAAUCCGUAAUUGUUCAAUUGGUUUCAUGUUAGGGAAAAGUAUGAUUUAACUUAAAUGAACCAUCGUAGCAUGUUUCUUAGUUAGGAUUGGCUUUCUAAUUCUUAUUGCAAUCGAGAAAUUAAAUCUAUAGUCGUACCUAGGGUUAUUUCUUGUUAGAAAAAUAGUUAAUGGUCGUACCUGACUAUCGAAAAAGUAAGGAAAGGUUUGGUUGUUUAUCGCAUGUAUGACAACUAUAACCAAUCUAUUAAUUAGUAAUUGAAUUAUCUUUGCAUCGAUGAUUAAUUGAAUGGACCGUGUUGAAAAGUUGCACUUUGGCUAGAGUUAUAUUAGUUAUUGAUUAAUUGCUGUUUAUUUCUAUUGUUGUUUCAUUCGUUGGUUAAUUAGUUAUUUUAUAUUUUCCAAAACCCCCCAUACUUCGGACUCUGGAAGAAAUGAAUUAUCCCCAAUUCCUAUGGAUGUGACCCUGCUCACCGCUAUAUACAAAUUUGUAUUUUUCUUGAGUAGGUAAUUAUUAUUAUAGGUUCGACACCUGUCAUUCUAUAACUGUAUACAGAGUCAUCUUUUUCAAAGAUUUCCCAUGCUGCAAAAUGUACUCUACGAGCUUUAUUUCAUCUUCGUCCCCUAUAAAUUUGCUGAUUCCAAUCUGCCUAAGAUGUUCAACAAAGCGUAUUGGGAAAACUGUUUGGAAAAGUAGAUUCCAAGUCCUUGUAUAUGCAAAGUCCUCCUUACACAACUUUACAUAUUGAGAAGAUCAAAAAUUGCAGAACAUAAUAAUACUUGAAAUUAGUGAGAAUAUAUCCAAAAGAAACAAAAUAUUAAUACCUGAAAUCAGGUUUUACAAUCAGUGCACAAAAAGCACCUAAACCCAAAUGGCCCAUGUUGGAAUAGACCAAGUUUAGUUCAACUGCAGAAAUUCCUAGUACAAUGGAACUGCAACUUCAACUUCAGUAAAUUGCAAGCUGGUAUUAUGAUUCUAUGAAUCCUGAAAUCUCCCCCAAGUCCUCUUGCCUCCAACACUAAGUAUGUACACAGACGCUGACCUGUUCUAUACACUUGUAGGAAAAUUCAGAUCAGACGGCAUUCAAUAGAACUGCCUUGAUUUGGCUCCAUAUCAGCACUACUGCUCUUUAAAUCUAACUUGAUUAAGCUGCACAAAAGGGAAGAUUACAUUAGAUGGAGAAAUUUUACUGAUUGCAUAUGAAAUAGGGGCUAAAACCAACUAGGAAAAGCAGAGAAGUUAACCUCAACCGACCAGGAAACAAGAUGCAAAAGUCAGAGGUGUUAGCUUAAACCUCACCAAACGAAAAAUAAAUCUUUGAUAUUAAACACAUAACCCACAUAAGUUAGCUUCACAGGGUCCAGAAGGAUGGUUGGAACUCAAUUUUCCUAAAAUUGUGAGGAAAAUAAUGCAAUCUUAGAAAUCUAACACAAUAAUGGUAAUAAAAACACACAAAAGGGUAUGAAGACUUACAAAAUGGCACCAAAAUAUAGAUCUAACAGUAUUUGAAGCAAAUGGAUGAAGCAUUGAAGUUGUUCUAAGAUUUUUUGACAGCAAUAAAACCUAAGCUCCUUCACGUUUAGCAAUUCAUAGGAGAUAGAUAGGAGGCGGGUCUUCUUUUUUAGCAAUUCCUCAGAGGUCUCCUUCCCGUUUAGCAAUUCCUGCAUCUGUUCUUUAUUUUUGGACUAAAAACACCAAUGUUGGCCUUUGAGAGAAGAACAGAUGCGUGCUUCUCAAUUGACAGAGACAAGAGAGGACCAGCCUUUCUAUGUAUAUAUCCCUCAGCCUCUAACAAGUUUGAAUUUUGACGGAAGGACGUUGUGGGAAAAAUAAAAUUCUUGGAGGGGAUAAAACACGCGUCCUAAAUUCUGAUUUAAGUGUUGUAGUUAAAAGUUUCUAAGAAUUGGAGUAUAUUAUAUAAUAUAUAGAAUGAAUAUUGAGUAUUAGAAGUAUAUAAUUCGAAAGAAAUCAUGUAUGAGAAAAUGAAACUAAUGAAAAUAUUCAUGUGCAAUCAAUAUAAUAAAUUGUCAUAUUUAUAAUUUUUAAGUUUGCAAUUCAUAAAUAUAGUAACAAAUAAUGUAAUUCAUGUGCAAUCAAUAUAAUUAUAUUGUUAAUUAAGGUUAUAAUUGUGCUAUAUAAAGUAUUUGGGACAAUUUGAAAAAUAUCUAGAAAUUUGGGACUACUUAUAAUAUAUUCAAAAUGUAUUUUGAUUAAACUAGACAACUUGUUCUUUCUUGUUGUAAAUCCAAAUUCAAUUAUGGAACAAUAUACAUGGAAAAGUUGACCUUAUAUGUGUAUAAAUCAUCUUAUUAAUAAAAUAGUUAAACACAAUACAUUUAGUUAACUAUGAUUUAGUGAUUGAUUAUUACAUCAUUUUUUAUAUAAUACGAUAAUUAAAUAUUACAUAUAUAAUAAAAUGUUUCAAAUAUAUUUUAAUUGAUAGAAAAAAUGGUAUACAUACAAUAAACAAAUAAUUAAAGAAAAUUUUGAGAGUAGAAUUUUGUGCUAAAAACAUGUAUUUUGGGUUCAAAUUUAUAACCCACCACUUAUCCACUUAGAAUUAGCAAAAGUAUUAAUUCAUUUCUAAAGACUCUAAACAUACUAAUUUAUUAUAAUAAAGACACAAACACUAGCUCCAUGUAAUAACCUAUAGCAAAGAUCAUCUAUUCACUUUAGUUAAAUAUAUGAGUCAAAUUUAAAGAUUAAUCAAAUUUUCUAGGUUUUAAAAUUGGGGUGAGUUAUUUACAUGGAUUAAAACUGUCUGAAUAUAGUUUACUAUGCAAUAAAAUGCACUCAAUUUCGAGUUUUUACACAAAGAUAUGGCCAAAAUACUAAAAUUGUUACUUAAUUUUUUGAAAAAUAGUAGGGUCGUAGAUCGUAUGAUCUGGAUCACGAUCCUAUUGAUCUUGUUAAUUUAAUGCUAAUUUUUUAUCCUACUUACAAUUUGGAUCGUUAGCCAUGAUCCGUAUCGUAGGAUUGUAGAUCGCGAUUCUAACAACUAUGGUUGUAGUUAAAAGUUUCUAAGAAUUGGAGUAUUUAUAUAAUAUAUAGAAUGAAUAUUGACUAUUAGAAAUAUAUAAUUUGAAAGAAAUCAUGUAUGUGAAAAAAUGCAACUAAUGAAAAUAUUCUCAAUAUACAGUUGAAAAAAUAACUAAGUUUUUGAAGCUCUAGUCUUUUGCUAAUUGUUUUCUCACCUAUAUCUUAUUUGAUUUGAUUAUUUAUUUAAUUUCUUAAUUAGUGAUUAAAAACCCUCUAAAUUUAAAUUUUAUUAUUUUUAUUAGAGUAAUUAAAGUAGGAAAAAUUAACUCAUUCCUAUAUGUUUGACCCUGGAGUACUCCAAGUGAAUUAUUAUUUCGAUCAACCCUAUACAGUUAUAGAAAUUCAUCGACCACACAGCAACUAAAAAAAAAUUAACGCACAAUAAUGUCAUCAUGAGCACAGUUCCCAUCUCAGUUGUUCAACAUUCACGGCGGAUUUCAAUUAGUGGUAAACAGAUAAAGGCAUCGAAAAAAGUAAUCUAAUUACUAGAUAAUUGAAUUUAUACUACAGCAUAUUUCUUUUUUCUACUGCAAAAAACUUAACUAAUUUAAGACAAUGUAGUCCAAGCUAAUUGAAGAUUAAUUUUCCCCAAAAAAUGUUCAUGAUAACAACUCGACAAAGAGAUAAUACAACAACUUACUUUUGGAGGUGAUCUUAUACGGUCUUUAUUAACAAACUAAUUAGCCACUUAAGCCUUUUUUCUUGGGACAGUACAUAACAAAAUGAGGAGUGAAUCAGUCACUUAGCAUCUAAAAUUUUCCCUCCAUAUAAUUAGUUCAACCUGAUUUAAGACUAAAAUUUUUACUAUAGGAAUGUUCGUGAUUCAACAAUGAAACACCAUAUAAACUUAUUUUGGGAGAUUUGUCCUAGAAGACAAAAAAUGAGCAACCAAUCAGAAAGUCGUACUUACAUAUCAAAAUCGAUACAGUCUACUUAAUUCACCUGUUAUGUAUAUUUCAUCCAUUUUCACAUGACAGAAAGAACAAUAAUGCAUGGCAUUAUCCAUCAUAAAUUGCUCAUAUAACAUGCGAUCUAUUAUGCAUCUAAGGCUUUGAAUGGAGCUUAACUCAAUUAUACGAUCACAGAAAAUGAACUUUUAGUAGUUAUUUUUGCCUUAGAAAAAUUUCAUUCUUACUUAUUAGAAGAUAAAGUGAUUGUAUAUUCUGACUAUGCAGCGCUACGGUACUUGAUGACCAAGAAGGAUGCAAAACCAAGGUUGAUAAGAUGGAUUUUGCUUUUAUAUGAGUUCAAUUUGAAAAUCCGUGAUAAUAAGAGGAGGAGAGAAUUUAGUUGCCGAUCAUUUGAGUCAAUUGCCAAUUGUCAAGGAUGAUUUUAUAUUGAGGAAAACUUUUCCUAAUGAGCAACUAUUUUCUGUUAAUCCCUCUCUUCCUUGGUAUGCGGAUAUUAUUCAUUUCUUGACCACUAAUCAAUUGCUUGCACAUUGGUCAAAAACAAAAUGAGAUAAGCUUAGAUGUGAUGCUAAGUAUUACUUAUGGGAUGACCCCUAUUUAUAGUGGCAAUGUGCAGAUCAAGUACUGCGCAGAUGUGUAAGUAAGAGUGAAUUUAAUUCUAUUUUAAUAUUUUAUCACUCUUAUGCAUGUGGACGCCAUUUUAGACCACAAAGAACAGUUCGUAAGUAUUGGAAAGCGAUUUUUAUUGGCCCACAAUUUUCAAAGAUACAUACUUGUUUUGUAAGUCAUGUGAUAGAUGUCAAAGGUAGGAAAUAUUUGUCAUAAAAAUUAGAUACUAAAACCCCUUAUGAUUUUUUGUGAAAUUUUUGAUGCAUGGGAUAUUGAUUUUAUGGGUUCAUUUCCUUCGUCUUUUGGUUUCCUUUACAUCUUGUUGGCCGUAGAUUAUGUGUCCAAGUAGAUAAAAACAAAAGCCACCUAAGCUAAUGAUUCUAAAGUGGUUGCAGAUUUCAUUCAAUCACAUAUUUUUGUUCAUUUUGGGUACCACGAAUUAUAGUAAGUGAUCGAGAAAAACACUUUUGCAAUAAAAUGAUGGCGGGCUGUAUUUCGCAAAUAUGGAGUGACUCAUAAGGUAUUUACGUCCUAUCACCCCCAAACGAAUGGUCAAGCAGAGAUUUCGAAUAGGGAAUUAAAUAUAUAUUGGAGAAGAUGGUUCGCUCCGAUAGGAAGGGUUGGAGUUCAUGAUUGAACGAUGUACUCUGGAUUUAUAGGACAGUCGAUAAGACUCCUAUAGGUAUAUCUCCCUAUAGGUUGGUAUUUGAGAAGCCGUGUCAUUUAUCGGUUGAGCUCGAGCACAAAGCAUAUUGGGGGAUCAAGAAAUGCAACUUGAUGAUGUUGAAAUACACAGAAAACUCCAAUUACAAGAAUUGAAAGAGUUGAGGAAUGAUACUUACGAGAAUGCAACACUAUAUAAAGAGAAGAUUAAGGUUUUUCAUGACUAAUAAGUUGCAAGGAAAUCAUUUAUAGUUGGGCAAAGAGUUCUUCUCUAUCAAUCUUGUCUAAAGCUCUUUCUAGGUAAGUUGCGCUCUCGUUGGGUUAGUCCAUUUGUUGUGAUUAAUAUUUUUCACUAUGGUGCUGUGGAAAUUCAGAGUAUGCAGACAGAUAAGAAAUUUGUGGUUAAUGGCCAUCAUUUUAAAUCCUAUUAUGAAAGUGUUUCAAUGGAGAAUGUGGAGAUAAUAAAUCUUGAAGAUCCCACUUAUGUUGCUUGAGCAAUAUUCGACCAUGUCUAACCAAAGAUGUUAAAAAGGACGCUUAUUGGGAGGCAAUCAAAUUUUUUUUUAUUGUUUGUUCACUAAUAUUAUGUGUUUCACUAUGUUUAUCUUAGGUUUUGGUAUUUUAAUUUUAAUUUUUAAUGUUUUAUUGGUUAGAAGACUUUCUCCCAACAAGACGUGCCUACGCCUUAAGGGUACGUGGUAAUGCACAAAUAUCCAAUUCCAUCAUCAGAAAACUAUGGACCAACAUGACGUGCCCACGUCUUGAGGGUAUGUUGUAACUCAUACUUAGCCAACUUUAUCAUCAAAAGAGUUUCAACCAAUAAGACAUGCCCAUGUCUUGUCCUAGCAAGGGAAAAAAAACAAAUUGAACCAAAAGAAUUUUUUUUCUUUCCUUUUUUUCUAUUCUUUCCUUUGCCUUUUCCCUUUUCUAUUUCUUUUCCUUUCUUUCUUGCUUCUUUCUUUUGUUCUUUCUUUAUUUCGCUCUUUCUUUUCCCCAGCCGCACGGCCAAAACUCUAUUUGCUGCUUGCCCACCGUUCAUCGCCCACCAUCCACUGUUGUUGUCGUUCGCUAGUUUGUCUCUGCUACCAUUGCUGUCGUCACCGUUCGUCGAAGCCUAUCGCUGGUUUCGCCGUCGCCCGUCUCUAGUUUUGCCGUCGCUUGCUACUGUGCCAUUCACCGUUGCUCGCGCUGCCAUGAACGUCCAUCCUCUGCCAACGACAGCCAUCGCUCCGCACUUUCUCUGUUGUCUUGUUUCUACUGACCCAAUUUUUGCAGGGUUGAUUUAAUUUGUGGGUAUUCCUCGAAUUGUUGGAUUGGCACUACCUGACAUCUGCUUGUUUUCUGAUGAUGCCACUAACUUGCACUACUAUUUUGCAUCCAUGGGGAUUCAAUGCUGAUUGGAGGUUAUAAACUGUGGUGAAAUUGCCGCUACUUACUUGCCAAUUGCAGAUUGUUGAUAUUGAUAGGGGUAUUGUUCUUACAUUUCUAGUUUUGUUAUUAAAUAGUGUCACAUCUCUGGGCUCUUUACUGUACACUUUGAUUUGAGAUUGCUUGGCUAUCUUUAGUCGUUUGGCAUACAUUAGAGGCUUGUAUUUCGCCAUUGUCUGACGUUGUUUACUGCUAUUUUGGAUUCAGUUAUCUAAAUGGCUAAGAAAAAAAGACCACUAAUGCCAAGACCCCUACGACUAAAACCACUCCCCCAUCCCAACCAACUAUACCCACGACUGACCCUUCUCCGUCCUUCUCUUUUCGAGUAAAUGGGCAUGCUUAGGUAGGGACAAGAGGUCCAUAUCUCCUCACUCUCCCACUUUGGGGUAAUUUGACUCUCACCAAAGCCGUCAAUAAGCAAAGAUACUCUAAUUUUUAUGAGUGCGAAUUAUUCCUUGUAAACAUCUUGACCCUCCCAUCAUGGUUUCUUUGAAUUUCUUUGAGAAUAUUGCACAGAUGUUUAUGCCGAAAUACGAUGUCCUGCUUUUGUUGAAUUGGUUAGGGAGUUUUACGCCACCUUUGAGUUUGAUCUAUCCAUGGGGUAUUCUGUCACAACCCCGAAUGUGAUUCGAUUUCGAUUGAUGGUUGGGAUUUAAGUUCUCCAUUACCUAGUUUAAUUUGGCUUGUGGGUUCAUCGAUAGUGAGUAUGCCAAUUUUAGGGAAUAUGCCGAGAGUGCUUGUGAUUAUAUCGACCCAUUUUUCUCUUUUCACACCGAGAUUUGAAAGGACGUUUCUAUUGAUGGUGAUUGUUAUAAUCCUAGCCGGUCCAAGAGCUGUUAUCUCAAGGACCUGAGUUCCUGUUAUAUUCAACACUUUUUAGCCUAUAAUUACUCAGGUAGGAAAGAUAGUUCCGAGACCUUUUCUAAGCCUAAAUUUUCUUUAUUUGGUGUAUGACUAAAAAUAUCAAAGUUAAUUUGGGCUAUUGGCUAGUUUCCCAAUUCAAGACGGUUAUGGUUAAGAAAAACAAACCUUUGAUUCUUGGUCUUACAUCACACAUUUAGCUAUUCAUUUAGACAUUCUUGAUCCCUAUGACCAUGAUUUACAUUUGGCUUGUAACAUGGACCCUUUAGAUAUGGUUUGUCUAGAGAAAAUGGGUGUAGUGGAACAGGUUUGAUGACGUGGCAGUUUACUCUUUCGGGGCCCACUUGUGUACUCGUUCGUCGUCCUUCCACGUGUGCUAGUACCUCUUCUACUUCCUGAGUAGCCGAUGGCAAGCCUGGACCAUCUACCUCCGCACCUUCUCCAUUGUCAUCUUGGGCACCUUUGUGCACAAGUUCACCAUAUGGAUGAACAGUUGACUAAUCUUGCACUUCACAUGUCCCAGAUGUCCUAGACUUUUGCGGCUUACUUCCACUAUGUGGGUUUUACGCGCCAUUCCCGCCUCAUCCAUAGCUGUCCGGAGUCCUUCUCCACUUUCUUCGGAAAGUUUCGUUGUCCCCUUCCUUUUCUUUUCUUUAUUUCUUCCAUUCGGACAAUAUCAGAUUUAGGUGUAGGGGGAGUUGUACAGUUGGUACUGUUCAUUUUAGGUGUUUUCAUUUUCUUUUUGUCAUUUGUGAGUAUUUUUAUGGAUAUUUGGGAUCGACAAUGGUUAGUUGAUUCAAUUUUUUCUAUUACCAAGUUUUAUUUAUAAGAAUGUAUCAAGUGCAAUAUGGGUAAGUCUAAGAAUGGCUCCUUGGUGAAUAUUUGAGAUUUUGUGACUUUUGCAAUUUUGUGUUAGCUUUUCUAGGCAUUGUGCAUAUUUUUCUAGUAUUUUUCAUGUAAAUUGGUUCGAUUAUUAAUCUUAGUUCUCCAUGUUUGAGGAAAUGAUGCAACCUUGUGUGAUUUUUAACGUUGUUUUGUUGCUAAUUUGUGAAUAGCGUUUGGCUAUAUUCCAGUGGUUAUCGCUACUAGUAACCGGGAGUCUUCACCUAAAGUAUCGACUUUCGUGUCAAACAGUAGCGGUAGCUAUGAGUAUGUGGCCCUUAAAUGAUGAAAAGUUGAGUAACCGGAUUCCUUCUUUUGGUAGAUGUCAGAAUUUACAUCAAAAGACUUGAAUGGCUAAGGACUAAAUCUUGUCCCUGAAAAAUGAACAAAAAAAAAAAAAAAAAAAGAGAAAAAAGAAAACAAAAAAAAGAAACUGUGCGAGUAUAGAGUUGAUUAUGUUAGCCUGUCGAUCCAUGGGUUUGAUGUUGAGAUUUUGAUUAAUAGUUGAGUCGUUUGCUGAUCAAUGCUAGUCAAAUGUUUAAUCUUCUUAGAUUAGUUAGUCAGGAAUUGGAGAAGUCCUUGGUUUUAAAAGCUAACCGAAGAGUUAUUUCUUGGAACUUGGCUAUCAAUGCUUGAUGUCUACUUUGAUGAUAUUUUGACAAUAGAUGAGUUGAGUGAUAACCAUUGUUGGGAUUCAGUUACUGAUUUGUUGUUUCUCAUACUUGAGAACAAGUAUGUUCUAGGUGUGGGGGGAAAUUGAUAGGGUGCAAAAUUGUUAUUCAAUUUAUGAUUAGUUUUCCCUUUUAUUUUAGCCAAAUAUUGUUUUAAUUGUCGGAUUCUAUUUAUAUUUGGUAUUUGAUGAUAUUAUAGGGCGGUGGAGCGAAAGUUGCUAAAAAGGGACGAUUUUCUUCAAAGUUGAUUGUCAAGUGCGGAGAUGCGGGAUUUGCACGUAAGAGUUUCCUAAUCCAAGAUGGAGUCUGAGCAGAGUAGCGACUUGAGAUUAAGAAAGUUUUUCUUCUAGAGAUUUGAUUUAAUUAGGAAACAAUUAGCCUUAUCUUUUUGGAGUGGUUCCUUUUUCAAUUAGAAGUAGUUUUAUUCUUGAAAGCAAGAAAAUAGGGGAAGGGCCGUUUGACUUUUAGUACUCGACAAAAAACAAGACUUGGGAGACGAGAAUUUUUUGGGAGCGCUGGUGACUAGUCUCGCGGGAGGAAAAGAACAAAGAUGCUGUCCUCUUUGUCAUUGCUUUUACUCUCAUUUUCUAUUUUAUUGGAUGCUUAUGCAAUUUACUUCAAUUAAAUUGUGUUGCUUGAUGCCGAUGAUGUGCAACUAAAUUUGCUUUUCUAGCCAAGAAAUAACGUGAAUUUGGGUCAUCAACAACUAUGAGAUCAAACUGUUUUUAUUAAUUUCUUUUAUUCAUUAGUAUUCGUAUGUUUUCGAGUUUAAUUGCUUAUAGGUGUUAGUUGUUUGAAUAUCAAAGGCGUUUGAUAUUUAAUUCAACCUAACAAACUAUUGCCAGUUAAAACAGUUAAAUUCGUAAUUGUUUAAUUAUUUUAAAUUAGUAGCGACUAGCGUGAUUGGCUUUACGUUAGGGAGACAUAUGAUUUAAUUUAAAUAAACCCUGAUAAUGUGUUUAUUGAUUAGAACAGGACUUUUCUAGUUUCUAAUGCAAUUAAAGAAUUAAAUUUUAUGGACGUACCUAGGGUUAUUUUUUGGUUAGAAAAGUAGUUAACGAGUGUACCUUAACUAUUGAGAUACUAAGGAAGAGCUGGUUGUGAUCACAUGUUUGGCAACUAUAACCUGUUUAUUAUUACCAUAAAUGAAAUAAUUCUGCAUCGAUGAGCAGUUGUUUGACCCGUUUCCGAGUUAUUUCCUUGGUUAGAGCUCGUUUAUCCUUGAUUUAAAUUUAAUCUGUUUUAGUUUAAUUAUUUUCAAUUUGCAUUGAUUAUUUAUUUUUAAUUGCAAUUUUCCAAACUCCCCCCAAUUAAUUGUCACUUGAAAGAAGCAAAUUUCACUCGAAACCUUGAGUUUAUAUCUUUUUGAGUAGGAAUUUAUUUUUACACAAGCCUGACACCUGUCAAUUAACACAAGGUUUCGAGCAAUGCACAGUUUCUUUUGUAUCUAGAAUGGCUAAUGUAGCAAGUCAUAUGCUAGCACAUUUUGCAACAUACCUAGUUUAUGAUAUAAAAUGGGUAAAUGAUUUCCCAAUUCGACUAAUAGAAGCAGCUAGGAAGGAUGAGUGGGUGAAUGUCCCCUUUUGUAAUUAACUCUUGUACUUCAAGUGUUAAUAUAUAUACUGAUAUUAUCAUUUGUUGAAAAAAAAGAAAGUGUUUAUUUGUUUAAUAAAAUGGUCACGGUAGUGUUUAUAUAAUUUUGUAAACUUCGGAAAGUAAAUUACCUCGUUGAAUUUGUAUAAUUUGAUUAUGUUGAAGAAACAUAAUCUUGAAAAAGCAGAGAAAUUUUCUAGUAAAUAUUUAUGUUAUUUGAUAGCUAAUCAUUGUUCAUAUCAAUAUACUAGCUAUAAAGUUAUACUCGCAAUACUACUGUUACGGUAUAAAAUUUCUUGUCAGAGCAAUUUAUAAUUUCAUCCCAUUUUUACCCUUGACUGUUAACCUCAAGUUCUUCAGAUAUCCAUGGGACAGUGUAACCCUUUGAAGGUCAAUUCUUACACCCUCAUCAAAGUUUCUGGAGUUGCGUAUUAUAGGGGUGCAAACACAAAAACGAGACAUCCUUAAUCAAAUGGAGUUCCUUCUUUUUGCGAUUCAUUCCUCUGCAAAGCUCCUCCUCCUCCGAUUUUAAUAUAUGCCGCUGUUAAAAUAGGAUACUAAUUAGGUGAAUACGAGGACUCUCGUUCGACUCUCGAUCUUUCCUCUCAAAUUACACUAAUAUUUUUAAUCAUACACUCAUCCCCUUACUAACUUCCUAUGGGCCCAAUAUGUUGAGUAGAAUUCGAUUGGAACAACCGAAAAGAAAAGAAAAGAAAACAAAUACAAAACAAUGAAAUGGACACUUAGUCAAGUUGGAACCUAGGAGGAAGUGAGGAGCACAAGUGCGAACAGAUCACCAAGGAAAAAGAAACAAAUUUUUCGAGAAUGCAAUUUGAUUUCAAGCUCAAUCAUAUUCUAAGAGUCAAUGAUAAGAUCGAAAAAUGUAGGUCCAUUGUUAAGAUAUAGACGGAGAUGGUUGCUUAUUGAGCGUUGGAAAUAUUUCAUAAGCAAGUUGUACUUAUAUCUCAACUUGUAUUAAUAAGAUUAAGUUAAUGACCAUGUCAAUGAUCUCUGCGUCGUGCAUGACAUUCUUUUUUCUUGUGCUCUCCCAAAAGCUGAAAAUGGCUGGUGAUAAGCAAGUUGUACUUAUAUCUCAACUUGUAUAAUUUUAAUUUAAUAAGAUUAAGUUAAUGACGUCAAUGAUCUCUGCUCGUGCAUCCUCUUUUUCUUGUACUCUCCCAAAAGCCUCUUCCAGCAGUGGCUGCAUGUCUGUACAUGUUCCCCCACAACAAGAAUAAUGUGAUAUACACUCAAAUAUAUCAGAUUUAAUACUUAUAAUAACUUAAUGAAUUCAGAAUUCAAAUUUCAGAUUUCAAUUUUAUCAAACGACCCUAUCUCAGCGCAAACUGAAUAUGAAAUCCAAAGUUGAAAAUCCAAGAUGUUAGAACUUUGAAACCAUAGAGCCUCUAGGCAAAUUCAGCAUUUUUACAUUCUAUUGAUUUAGGGCAUCUUCAAUUAUCAGUUUCAACUCCAUGGUAUAAUAUAGCUAUUACCUCUAAUAGUUGUACGCACUCACACAACAAAUACAGAUUGUGAAAUUAAUUGUAUAAGUUUGAUAUUUUGUAGGCUUUGGGAUAUAAUUUUCACGUUUAGGAAAAAGAAAAUAUGUUAGUAAGUAAUAAUGUGAUACCCCUUGUCCCACGUUGGAAGUGGGAGAGGAAAAGGAUUGAUAUAUAUGCAAGAUUUGGUCUCAUAAGUUACUAGUUACUUGGGCUAACCAUGUCGGGAAAGUGUUUUUCGAUACAAAAAUUACUUAGGCCAACCACGGGCUUGGAUGGUGAUAAAUAACUUACUAGAAGCCAGGCAUAUUUGUGUUUAGAUGUCCUGAAAACAGAGUAGUUCAGAAUCUAGAUAAUGGUAACGAUAUGAUGAGAAUGUGAAGUUAUUUGGUAAACUUUAUAGAUUAAUAAUUUCAUCAAGGCAUCGUAUAUAACCAUGAUGACACAAUCUCAACUUUCUUUCUUUUGUUAAAUCUUAGUUUUUUUCUCUUAAAUUUUUUCGAAUAAAGGAAGGAUGGAAUUUAAGCAGUAGAGGGGUGGAAGGGAAAUUUGAAUUCAAAACCUCUAAUUUCUAAGUUUUUCACUAAGCAAUCGUCAAAACCAAAAAAAAAAAAUUUAAAAGUAAAAAAAAUUAGCACCUUAUGGUCAAUGCUCCUGUUCGAAGAUUUAUUGCUUUGGUUUGUCAUCAUCUCCCUCUAUGAAAUCUAAGUACCCUUGGUUGACAAUUUGUUUCUCUGAGCAUCCAUCAACACUUUUAUAUAGUAUUUUUUUUAAUAUAGUAUUAGAUUAGAUUAGAUUAGAUUAUCAAUGCACCAUCAAUAUAGUAUUAGAUUAUCAAUGCACCAUCAAAACACUUUUAUAUAGUAUUAGAUUAGAUUAGAUUAUCAAUGCACCAUCAAUAUCCUUAAAUAUAAAAGCUUAAGUAUAGUAAUCAAAAUACUGUUAGUAUUCUGUAUGAUUAUUUUUUAUCCUUUAAUGUUUUAGUUUUAGGAAGAUCACAAAUGCUGCGUAUAAAGCAUGCCAUAGGCUAAAUUAAGCUAAAUUAAGUACAUUGCUAAAAUGGAGAGCAUUGCUAAAUUAAGUACUUUAAGAUAAAGACUUAAGCAGCCAGAUCCAUUUGAUGUCAGCUGAUUCAAUAUCCACCUCAAAAUAAAUUAGCCAUUGUUCUAGAUUAGCUUAAUGCUAAGUCCCUUCACCAUUCUUAGUAAUAAUUCAAUUCUGCCUCAAUUUUCUUCUGAUCUUCAAGGUAAAUGUACGAUAAAUUUCAAAAUAUAUCCCAAAUAUAUGAAUUUCUUGAAACCAUCCUUCAAUCUCAUUACCCUACUCAACAAAAUGUUCCAUAAACACAAAUAUAUUAAUGAACUUGGAGUUGAUUUGAAGAAUUGACGAGAACCGCAAGCUAGAAUUUUCAUAUAUUCAAACAAGAAAUUGGAAAAAUCUGACUAGCUUGCAACGAGUACUACAUCUCAAGACAAGGGAUCUUUUCAGUCACUCUUUAAUUGUAUCGAAGACCUACUUGCAUCUAUGAAUAAGCAAUACUGAGUGAUUUUAGAUGUGGAGUUGAUUCCAUGUGGUAGGACAACUUUGGUUUUCAAAAAUAAGGGCAGUCCAAUUCACUCAAUACAAAAAAAAAAUUUUAAAUGAUAAUAUUCAAAGGAACGUCUAUCUUACCUAAAAAAACAAACAAACAAAAAAAAAAACAAUAAAAAGGAGAUUGAUAUCCUAUCCAGUAUCCACAGAUUGAACAAUAGCCACAUUAUCUUAUAAUUCUUAAUGAUCAUUAGCUGAACUAUCAACUUUAGCAGUCAAGAAAGGCUGUAACUUGUAUAAGGACAAUAAAUUCUUUAUUCCGGCGUCCGGAGACUUGAGACGUGGACGCUUCAUUAGUCAAUAAUAAAGUGUGGAAUUCGACGAAUAUUCUUAGCUCGUUCAAGAUAACAGAGAAGAUUCACUCUUGUACAAGCAACAGGCACAGCUACUUAAACUAUUGGAUAAUUUCAUAAACCUUGGCUGAAGUUUUGGACAAUUUCAGUACCCCUCUUAUUUUCAAUAUUACGCUGACCAUUCUUACUUUAACUAAUGUAGUAACCAAUUCAGCCCAUAUCAGUAAAAGAAAUGGAAUAAAUUGACAAGAAAUGGUGUCAUCACAUUUUGUUCCACAUUUACCCUUAUAGACCCUAAAAGAAAUAUUGUAACAUAGGACAAAUUUUACUUCGUACCUUCGAACUUGAAUCACUUUUCUAUUUUCUUACUCUAAACUUUAAUUUUGGAUGCUUUCCAUGUGAUUGGAGGCAACAGCACAACAGAGCUCUUCUUAAGUCUCUGAUCGUUAGUGUCACAUGACCAUUGCUAAUUAUGCUAUUGCUUUUGAAUGGAAAUAGCAUAAAAGUUCUUGUGAAUGAACAAAUUGAAUAGACCAUUUUGCAGAGCAGUGAAAUAUUCCGAAGCCGUGAAGCACAGUGAUAAGCUACAAAUUAUAGUAAUUUAUAUUUAUUAAUUGUCAAUGAAUGGUUUUAUUUGAGCUAUAAUUAGAAUGGAAGUUGCCUAAUUUAAGUAUAUUUUGGUUUUUGCGGGAAAAGCACGCAAUUGAGGAGGAGAUGAAUCAAAAACGCAACAAAAGAAGAAGAAACGUUGGGCUGCCAGGACACAAGGAUCAUCGGGUGGAUCCUUUGUCCAACGCCAAACAGUGAAAGGGACUUUGUGAGGACUUCUUCCAGUUCCAAUGAUUUCUGGAGAAAUUUCUAAAAUUAUGAUGAAUUUUAAAAAAAUUCUACAAAGGGGGCAUUUUGAGUAUGGGAUUCCGUCCAAGGGUCUUCGCAUUCAGCAAAUUCAGCUCCCAAAUGCAAAGUCUCUUGAAUUUGCAACCAACGAAAUCCAAAAAAAAAAAAAAAAAAAAACAGACCUCAUUUGUUAACAGUACGUAGGCCUGACCUCUUAUGCUGUUUCUGAGCAACAGAGCAUAGCCACGAAUUUGAAAGCCAUUUGCCAAGUGAAAAGAAAAUGUGCAGUGCAAAUGAGACACAAAAUUGAUUGGGGAGUCCUGUUGAGGUAGUACAAGUGGCAAAUUGGGAGGGGGAGAGAGGCGCAGCUGGCUAGCUUUACAGAAAUGGGUUCCGAACAGGGGUCCAAGCUCUACAAUGGCGCAGAGCUUCCGACGAGAAAGAUGUGAGGGAUUUCGUUUGCCGAUCCUGGAAGCUUGGACUGGUGUCUAGCUCAGCAAAAGAGAAGAGAGGUGAGCUGGAUGGAGAGAGUGAGCUCCAAUUUCUGCAGGUUAGGAGACAGAUUAGAAUGCCGUAAUUAGGAGCUCUGAUUGAGUACCUUGCAUUCGAGAAAUGCGAGGUACCUCAGCUCGCAUUUGGCGCAUACGACCUUACUUCGUUGUUUUUUACUUUUUCUCAAAACCUUUCUCUUUUUUCCUGAAACACUGACCUCGCAUUUGUGAAAUGCGAAGUCUUUGAACUCGCGUUUCACAAAUGUGAAGACCAUAAUCCUAGAAUUAGCUUCAAAAAUUAUCCCCUUGUAAAACAACUUUUUUUUUUCCAUCACAAUUUAAGAAUUUACUCUGAUUUUUGAGCGUAACAAGUUUGCGGCCAGAGUUAGAGCCAGUCUUCGGGCCGAACUUUAUUGGAAAACCCAUUCAAACUCGAUUUUUGGUAAGUUUUCAAGACCUAUUCCUACCACAUUUCGGAUGCAACUUUGAGAGACUAUAAAUAGGACAUUCUAGGAUAUUUUUAGGUUAGAAAGCAUUUAGCUUACAUUAGUUCAUCCUUUUUAUAUCUUCUUUUCAUGAGAGAUCACAAAGGAAGUGUUGAAGAAUCAAAGAGAAAGUUCAAGAUGGAGAUUGGAGUAGGGAAAAAUUGAGAAGUUUUCUUUACUUUUAACUUCUUAUUUUGUCUUUCAUUUGAAUUCUUGGAUUUAUCUAUGAAUAUGUUGAACUAAUUUAUAUCUAGACUUAAGAUUUUGUGAAGGAGAUUUGAUUAUUUGUUCUAGAUAAAUUAUUCAAUUUUUCUUUGAUUUAUCUAUCUUGCCUUUAUUACAUAUUUAUGUUUGGCCACUAUAGAUAUGCUUUUAGGGUUUGUAUUGAAUUGAGAAGCGAUAUACAACCAUAUAUUAGAUAAAUAAACUUACUUAACCUAAUUAGGAAUGUGGGUUAGGAUUUGGAUGGCAUAAUCAUAUCACCUAAAAUCUUAAAGGGUUUAAUUAAAUACCUAUGAUCUCGAGAGCAAUGUGAGAUUUCAUUAGACACAAUUUAGAUGUAUCGAGAGAUAAUUAAAAUACCUUUACGUGAUACGUCUUUGACAUGUUAAGAAAAUAAUUGGAUAAUGAUUCCAAUUAUGAAUCAAAAUUUGAAACUCUAGUCUUUUGCUAAUUGUUUUCUCACCUAUAUCUUAUUUGAUUUGAUUACUUAUUUAAUUUCUUAAUUAGUGAUUAAAAACCCUCUAAAUUUAAAUUUUAUUAUUUUUAUUAGACUAAUUAAAGUAGAAAAAAUUAACUCAUUCCUAUAUGUUUGACCCUGGAGUACUCCAAGUGAAUUAUUAUUUCGAUCAACCCUAUACAGUUAUAGAAAUUCAUCGAUCACACAGCAACCAAAAAAAAAUUAACGCACAAUAAUGUCAUGAACACAGUUCCCAUCUUAGUUGUUCAACAUUCACGGUGGAUUUCAAUUAGUAAGUCUAUAUUAUUAUAAAUGUAUAAAUUACAAAUGAAUAUUAUAUAAAUGUAUAAAUUAUAAUUUUAUUAAUAGAUAUUAAUAUUAAGUAUAAAUGUAUUAAUAUAAUUAAAAUAAAUGUACAAAUGUAUUAAUAUUAUGUAUAAAUAUAAAAUUAAUAUUAUGUAUAUUAAUAUAAAGUUAUAAAUGUAUUAUAUUAUAUAUAAUACAUAAUAUAAAUGUAUAUUAUAAAUAUACAUUAAUAUAUAUUAUGUAUAAAUGCACAUUUAUAUAAAUGUAUAAUAUAUAUAAUAUACAAUAUUCAUAUAAAUAUAUAAAAAUAUUUAUAAUAUGUAUAAAUAAAUAUAUAAAUAUUUAAUAUAUAUAAUAUAUAUUAAUAUUAAUUAUAAAUAUUAUAAUAUUAUAAAUAUGGUGUUUAUAUAGUAUUUCAAUUUGUAAUAUUUAUUGUAUAUUUCAUUAUAUAAAUAUUUAUAUAAUAUAUAAUAUAUAAAUAUAUAAUAUAUAAUUUUUAAUUUGUAAAAUAUACAUAGUAUUGUAUAUAUAUAAUAUAAUAUACAUAAUAUAAUAUAUCAUACAUAAUAUACAUUAUUACAUUAUUACAUAUUAUGUAUAUUAUAUAUUAUACAUACCAUUAUUAUACACAAUAAUGUACAUAAUAAUAUUAUACAUUAAUAAUGUAUAUAUUAUAAUAUAAUGUACAUAAUAUAUUAUGUAUAAAUAUUUACACAUUUAUGUAUACAAUAUUACAUAUUAUAUAUAUUAUAUUAUAUUAUGUAUAAUAUACAAUAUUAUGUAUAAUAUUAAUUUAUAUAAAUAUUUAUAUAAUAUAUAAUAUAUAUAUAAUUUUCAAUCUGUAUAUUUCAAUUUAUAUUAAUAUAAUAUAAUAUAUAUAAUAUACAUAAUUGAAAUAUACAAAUUGAAAUAUACAUAUGUAGUUGUUUUUGAUAUAAUGUUUGGAUAUGGUGUUUUUGGAGUUGUUUUGGAAAUACACAUUUACUGUAGCAUUUGGAAUGUGAAAAACAGUUUUUCAAAAACAGCCCCAAAAACAAGGGAUCCAAACACACCCCAUAUUCAAAAUAGAAAUUCUGACCAGUGGAAGAAGCAAAGAACAAAACGCGCACAAACCUGGUGUUCUGGUUGAUUCUGGUAGCCCAUGUUUCUCCACUGAGCUAUCGUCAUCCCAUGGAAAAUUACAACACUGAAGUAUGUAUCUAACAACAGAAUACGAUCAGCUGCAAUUGAUGCCACAUCCAACAAAGCAGGUGUGGGCAAUGAAUGGAAAGAAUAUGCCAUCAGUGAUGGUUGAAUCAUAACAACGGAGUUGCUUAUGCUCUCCCGGUUGAGCAACAUGCGGAAGCAUGCUGUCUCAUCUGGACUGUUAUUAAAUACCUACAUAGAAAAGAGAGGGUUCAAGCCAAUAGGAUGAAAAUUGACAAGCUAUAAUUCUAAGCGACAUUCUAAAGCCCCUGCCUAUACCUGCACAAAUUGUGAACGCCGCAGAUUAAACAUGAAUUGAGGAAACAAUGAAAAAGAGGGAUUUAAUGUAAAUGAGGACGGGUCAUCCUUCCGGUAGUCACCGAAUUUGGCACAAAGACGAAUCAGAUUCCGAUCCAACCACCGUGUGGCAUCAAAACCAUCCUGAGAUUUAUGUCCAUCAACAACAAUAUAAAGUUACAGUCAGCAUGUAAGUACAAGAAUCAUUUACACAUUUACUUUUUAAUUAAAAUAUUUUAUUGCCCAAUAUGAAUCUGGUACGCAAUUUAAAAUUUCUUUGCAAAGUUUUAGUGUACCACUACACAAAAUUCUACACAAUCAAGCUUGUUAGCCUAAUUCACAUUCUAUUACAUAAAAUAGAACUUGCAUGAGAGAGUGAAAAGAAUAUUCUUGAAAACCAAUUACAUUAUACGAAGUUUCAAGUAAACCAAUUCCAGAAUCAUAAGUAAUUCACAGAUGUGAUAGCAGAAACCUUAAACAAAUUCUACAUAUACCAAAAAUUUUCAAAAUAAGGCCAAAAAAAAAGUAAAGCAACAGUGUCAGCAUCUGUUUCUCUCUCCUCUUUUUUUAUGUGUCUUUUAACAACCACCAUGGAUCAAAAAAUUAUAUUUAACGAAAUGAGCUUGUUGAAUAUGCACAUGAAGAUCAUUAACAGUUUUUAAGAAAGAAAGACUACCUCAUUCUCCAUUUUAUAAGAUGCAAAUCUGGCCACUAUGACAGCAGCAGUUUCUUGGUCAAACCCUUGGACCAACUCCUGCAUGUCAAAAAUGAUUAGAUUUAACAUUGAACUGACUGCAGAACUCAAAUUUGCCUGAUAGAACAACAAACCCCACUAGACCAAAGUUGUCCACCCAAAACAAGAAAAUGUUAUUUAAAAUAGAAAUUAGGGUUACAGAGACUGGAAAAAAAUGCACGUCAAAAAAGAGCAAGUGAAACAACCAGCAUUAUACACCACCAUGUCCUUACCUCUGUGCCAAGAGCACUAUCCGCCCAUCUUUUGGUAACAGUUGUAACUCUCAACAGCGAUUGGCCUUCAGGGCUCCGGUAGCUACAUGGACGUUUAUUAAUAGCAGAAUUUGCACCCAGACCAAAGUGACAUCACGGAUGUAAAAGUACAUGCACAAAAAAGAAGCUUAUUGUCAAGCAAACAAAAUGAGGGCCCACAAGAUAAACAAAAGGAGGCCAACUUCUAAGAAAAAAAUAACAUGCAUGAAAAGGACCCAAUACCUUGUAAGGAACUGUAGGAAUAAUUGAGGAUUUGAUCCUGAUGGAUCUGAUUUUUCACUUGACGAUAUAUCAAAGAAAACAGUCAAGCAAGUAUUCCUAUCAAGGCCACACAACUUCCAAGAUGUAGUGUUCCCUUCUCCAACAACCGUACUGGCAACAGAAGGCCCUUUCUGCAAGAUUUCCAUUCAUGGAAAAAAAAAAACUUUCAGAAUCAAAAUUACACAUAGUUACACUAUUCUUAAACAAAAUAGAGCACUCUAUUCAGUUAAAGGAAGUAGUGCUUCAAGAAUGAACAAACCUUCUCCAAAGAUGUGCAAGGUCCAAUGACACCUUGGAUUUUGAUGUCCUUUGAACAGUUUAUCUCGAGUGUGCCACUGAAAAGGAGUUGCAUGACUUAAAUUAUUCAGAGAAAUAACAUGUAAAGCAUAAAUGACAGAAUAUAGCACAAAGAAAAUAUUACAAAACAGUAUAGCCCUGACAACAAGCUAUAGAAUAAAAAGACGGACCAAAUAGGCAAAACUCUUAAGUUCAAAUUAAUAGCAUCUACAAGGUCAGCUGAAGUUCCAACACUUUUGGAAGACCAGCAUGUCAAAUUGGCAAAUACAAGCAUAUCUAUAAAGAUAUUGAGAGCAAAUUUCACAAACAAAAAGAUCAUCAACCUUUUGCGAUUAGUCAAUGUAAAUGUUAGGCAAUUCAUAGAGGGGCAAAAAUUCGGUCAUUUAAUUUGCUCCCUUUGACCAUAUUUUCCGGUUGCUUCCCACAAGCAAACUUCAAUUGCAAAAUUCUCUUCACUCCACAUAAUAAAACAGUAUCUUGCAUAAAUUCACUGAGGCAUGGAAUUUUUCAACCAAACAGCAUUUGGUCUAAAAUGUUAAUUUAUGUACUUAAAGAUGCUUAAACUACACAUGAACUCUCCUAAUUUGUAGCACGUCCAAAAAUAACAUGCCAAAGUCGUUAAUGCAAAAUUUAAUCGAGUUCUUAUACUUAACCUAAUUUGAUGUUUCCACAAUUAAAAUGCAUCUUUAAGUUCUCUCAUUUACACCAACACAAUCUAGCCUACAAUAUGAUAAUGAAACAUAAAAAAAUUUAAGGACCUCAAAAGUUACCAAAUGCAGCAGCAAUUUAGCAAAUGAAAGAGGUGCAGCUUGAAAUCGUAAAAUUAAGAAACUCACUUAUAGGAAAGACCAAGAGACUGUUCUCCACCUUCAAAAAGUCGUUUGAAAGAGUCUUUAAAUACUGAAUGACCAAAACUUUCAGCUAAAACAACAAGUCCACCAGUUUUUUCAAUGGCAACCUUCAUCUCAGCAACCCCAACCUAAAAACAUCCUUCUAUUAGCAAAAGCAAAUAAGGUAAAAAAAAUAGAGGAAAAAACUCCAUGGACAAAAUCAAUUAGAUUGAGCAUAUACACAAAAAAAAGAAAAGAAAUAGCUAAACCAAGCAGCAGAGAAUCAAUGGUGACCUAAUGGAAUCAAUGGUGACCUAAUGGAACAGAAUAUAAACACAUACUGAAAGUGUGGAUAUCCAACCAUAUAGGAAACACACCAGAUAAAUCAGCAGAAGUCAUUUAACUCCAAAUUGACAGUAGGGAAUCUUUGAAGUUGUAGAAUUUUAGAAAUUGAUUUUACAUAGUUUCUAUCUUCUUCCCUAAUGGACAAUCAAUUUAAGGAUUAACAUAUGUUUGGCUUUCUUCUUCCUCACUACUUAAAUUAUGCAUCCUAUGCUACAGGUGUCUGGAAAAUCCUCCCAUCCAGCUACUUAUACCUUUCUAGCUCCACCACCACACUUCAUUCAGUUAAAAAAAAAAGACUGACAUGUAAUCAGUGAAUAUUCUUUUGGUUCAAUGGCUUAGAGUGAGUGCACUAAGAUUACUGGUGUCCAACAAUCAUGACAGCCCACAUUCCUUUUGUAACCAAGUAUAACGUGGCAAAGUGUUGUAAAAGACAACAAUGAAAAUAAACACCACCUGCUUUGAUUAAGAGUUUCAUAUCUCUCAUGUAAGACUUAUUGAGAAAGCAGUAAAGACAAAAUGAAACAAAAAAAAUGGUAGAUGAGCAAAAGCAAUUUCCACUGAUGAGCUCCAGCAGUAUGCAUCUAUCGCAUGUGAAUCUAAGUAAAACCCAUCUUUUGAAAUACAGGCUAAAAGAAAUGGUGUUACAGCCUCACAGAAGUAUAAAGUUAAUUAUCUAAGAUGAAUAAUAAGUGCUGAGUCGCGACAUGCAAACCUGAUCAAGAGCAGAUGCAAAAACAUCCAAGACAUGACCCUCACUGACAAGCUGCUUAGCUAGCUCUUCAUAGAAAUGAACAGCUUUUUUGAAAAAUGGUGCAGCAUCCUUGUCUAAAUCCUUAUGUGAACGAACUGGAUCUGAUAGAUCCUUGGAAACAAUCUGAAAAAAGAGGCAUAUGUCAGCUAUUUAUAGUAAUCAACAGUCAAGACUCAAUUUAUUGAACCCAAACAAUUAGAACCGAUUUGUUCAGACAUUGAAUAGUUCAUACUUUCAGUCCUUACCCCUGGGACAUAAGUCUAAAAAAUGCUUUUCUGUACUGCUCUAGGACCACCAUACCAUGAACAACAUAAGAAAGAGAACCAAAGAAAAACAAGUAGUAUUACAAAUAAUCAAGCAGCUCAAUUUCAAAUAACAGCAGCUGUUGCUCAGACACCCCAAAGUUGUUAAACCAAUCAGAACCCCAAUACUUAAACAAAUUUGAUCUUUUCAUUCAUCUUGAAAAAAAAAAAAUUACAUUUUCCAUCAACGAAGCUACAGUUAAAACCAUUUACAAUGUAAAACACAGUUACAACAUUUGUGCACAGCAAUACCAGAGGGUUUUUCUUGCACAUGAUCUUAAUCAGCUUGUGUAGUAUUGCUAUCCAUGACCAGUAGAUAGGUGUGCAACUGCCAUUGAUUCCAAAUGGGAAGUGAGAUAAGCUUUUCUUUUUCUUUUCCCUUCCCCCAAAGUGAUUCAGGAAAUGCCAAUUACAUAACCAUGCAGACUCAAAAGACUCCCUAAAAUCCAACUUCAUGACGUCAUUACCAGAUAAUAAUGAAAAUAGAUACAAAUCUACACUUUCUACAUUGUCAUCACUAAAACUUCUUCCUUUUUAACCAUGACAGCAAGGAUGUUCAAAUGAAUUCCGAUUGAACUUGUCAAUCAACAGCACACCGUAUGCAUAAAUGAAAAAAAGAAAAUCAAAUUCCAACCAGUAAUAAUAGAAAUUAGAAAGACCAGAAGAAGCUUUACCACUCCUGGCCCUUCAGUACAUGGUCCACCAACUAAAGCAACAAUUCUUGCGCUUUGACCAGCUGCGCAAACUCCAAGCAAACCAGCUGCAACACUCAAUGCAACUCCUGUACACCGUAACGACCUGCUCCCAGGUGGCACCAGCCAUCGAUCCGUCCCCAACUCAUCCAAUAGCUACAAAAAAAAAGGCAGAAAUCAUGACGCAGAUUCAUCCCAAGUAAACUAAUUCCCUACAAUAACCAACAAAUUCCAUAAAAACACGCACCGAAUUGAGCGUAUAUUCGCACUCAGAAGCAGGCAACAGGAAUCUAGAAAAACCGGGAUUCGGCAUUCCUACAGGGCUACCUCCAACUCUCUGAAUUCCAGGCAUUGGGCGUCGUGCUGCCCCAAUAACACCAAGUCCCAACUGCUCCAAAACCUGAUCUUUCGUCAAAUCCUUAGACCCUCUAAAAACAUACACCUUUGACAAUUCCGAAAACCCCAGCUCGUGAACCUGCACCUGCGUCCCAAACGAUAUAAACCCAACCAAAGCAUUAUCAGGCAACAUCCCAAUAGCCCUUUUCAAUGCCGAUUUCGCAAACUCCAAUUCCUCCUCGAGGACACAAGUAUCCAAAACGAACAAAUAAACAGCCGAAUUCGGCUCGAAAAAGUUAGGGUUUUGAUUAGGGUUUUGAUGGUGAUGAAUCGGCUGCAGGGUGGGGAGGGUAUACUGAAUGGUGGUGAAUUGGGGGUAGAGCUCGGCGGGCAUAUUCGUCUCCGAAAUUGCGUUGUAAUGCUGGGGAAAAUGAUUCCGCGAGAAACAAAACGGGCAGAUCCAAACUAGACCUUGGAAAUCGACGCGGCAAAAUGGGUUGAGGACGGCGGUGCAGGUUUUACACUUGAGCGGCGGGUAUGGGAGGGUGAGGACGUCGGGAUGAGAUCGGAUCGGAGAGAUCGAGGCGGCGAGUGGGAUCACGCACUUGCUCAAUUCGACUUUGGUCCGUGGCCAGACGUUCCACGUCAUCCGAACUCCGUCGAUUCCUUCUGGAUCCAUCUGAGCCAUCUCCGUCGCCAUAAUUCAAUCGAAUUCUCGGUGAUCGGAGGAUUUUUGCUCUUUUUUUUCGUUCUUUUUGAAUUAAAGAAUUUAUUAGGGGAUUUAUUUAAGGGGGUAUUCAGGGGGCCCCGGGCUGCCGGGGAAGAAGAAGAAGAAGAAGAAGAAGAGAGUCAAAGGAAGGAUGAGAGGUAAGUUUAGUGUGUGUGUGUGUGUGUGUGUGUGUGUGUGUGAGACAGCGAGUGAGGUGGAUUUUUGGUUGUGAUGACGUUGGGGCUUUUGGUGUUGGAUCUGUUUUGCUAACGUUUAUUUUGUGCUUAUUUACAAUUUUUGUCAAGUCUAUUUUUCCCUUUUGUUUUGGGGUAAAAGUAAAAGUUUUUUAUUAGAUAGGCCAAGUAAAAAGGCAUUAAUACAUGCUUGAUAGAAUAGUGCUCACUACCUAUCGAGACACAUUUAAUGCGCACGCAAUUUAUUUUAAAAAAUAUUUUUAAUUGAAAGAAUCAAGUACAAGUGAAUAUAACUAUUUUAUGUAACAUGUAAUAAAAAGUGUAUUAUAUAUAAAUAUGUACAAUUGAAAAUAAAAAAAAACCGUUGAUAAGGAAAUGUGAGAAUUGGACGAAUGUACUUUUGGUUGAGUAGAAUUUGUACGUCAGCUGAUAAUAGAGGCAAGGGUUAAUGGAUAAUAGAGAUGAAUAAUAAAGAUAAUAGAGAUGGAUAAUAGAAAAAAGGAUAAAUUUAGAAACAAAUAAAGUUAACACCAAUUUAACCACCUACAUAGAUUUUAUUAUUGUAAAGAAAUGAUACUUUUAAGAAUGGGUAAUAGUUCAUAUUGUGUUAAUUCAACAGUCGAAAUUAUUUGAUUUUUAAGAAUGGUGGAUAAAAAAAUUUAAAUAAACCUUAAAACAUUUAGAUUUUUUUAAAUAUUUAUAUUGUAUACUGUUGACCAAUGAAUUAGUUUUAUUUUUGUACAUCUCAUUUAGUUUACGAAAAAUGUAACUACAACUCCGACUUCAUAGGUAUUUGGGGCAUAGCACGAAGUGCUUUCAUGUUCUGAAAUUGUAUAAUUGUAAUCACUUUGUCUCGUAAUGUUAAAUUUGUUAUUCUUUAUUUGAUUAAAGAUUACUCAUAUUAAUUCAUGAAGAGAUGCUUAUACAUAUAUAAAUAUGUAUGUAUGUAUAUAUGUGUACAUAUAUCCAUGAAAGAGGAAGGAGGAAAAAAUUCGAGAAGUAAUUACAGGAGAAAGAAGAAGACAAUAAAUAAGCGAGAAAGAUAAAACACAAAAAAAUUAUAUAUAAUAAAACAAUUUUGAAUUAACAUAAAUAAAUCUAAAAUUAAUGGAAUUGAAUAAAUAUAAUGGAAAAAGUAAACUAACUGACUAUUAGUAUAUCACUUUUGUGACUUGAGUGGACAAUUUGAAACAAAAAAUGAUUAAUUCGGAACGUGUAAUGUAAAUAGUUUGAUUACUCAUCUUUGUGUGAAAGUUUAUCUUUUAAGAUGCAUUUUGAAAAAUUUUUCUGAAUUUCUUUAACUAAAUCACACCCAACCUAUUAUAUAAGUACACACAUUAAUAAUUAUUACACCCCCUUGCAUUUAUACACAUUAGCUACAUAACUUUAUUUUUUUAAUUCAAUUGGCACUAACUUAUUUUUUCUGUAUCACCUUCAUUGGAAUAGACUUCGUGAGUUAAAGAAUUGUUUAGAGAACAUGUAAAGACAAAUUAAAACAACUCCUCGUCCAAACAAGGGUCCUCCUCUAUUUGGAUGGUCAAGUUUUAUGGAAAUUAGUGGGAAAAGAAUACAACUGGAAAUUUUUUUGUUGCAAACAAAAAAAUAUUAUGAACUUUUGUUUUGCAAACAAAAAAAGAAGUUAAAAUAGUGAAAAUUAUUGGAAGUUUGUGAAUUUUAGUGGUUAUCAUCUUUACUUUUGAAUGGUAAAUUUUUUUUUCAAAAAAAAAAGGUGAUAAAAAAUUUUAACACCUAACUCAUAUCUCAUGCUUUAUAUGUGUGUGUGUAUAAAGAUGCUUUGAAAUUCUUUAAAUACAUUUUUCAAUCAUUUUUUCCUCGCAUACACAUUUGCUGAUAAGGCACUACACAAAUUUUCCUAAAAACAUCGAACAUGUUUCAUGUUAUUAGUGGUGGGAACGGGUUGGAUACCUGUUUCGUGCACCAUUUGGCUGACGCGAUCCGCACUUGUUGGUUAGUCAUUUCCUAACUCUUACCUCAUAUGGGUACUCAGUCAUUGGAUAUCCAUUGAGAUAGGAUCGGACCAACAAGUACCCUCCAACCAUGCCCUGUUUAUUAUUUAAUUUUUUAAAAAAUAUUUUAUACUAAUUUAAUUUUGUAUCUUACAUAUUCAUUUAAGAUUUAACAAAGAUUUUUCCUCAAAAGAAGUCUCCUACCAAGAAACAAGCACGCAAAGAGAAUACAAAAAAAAGUUAAAAAAAAUUAAAAGAAUUUAAAAUCAAUAAAAAUUUGAAAUAAGUAGUACCAUUUUAAAAUAUAUAUUCCACAUCAAUUAAACUCUUUCCUAAAAAAUAUAUAAAAUUAGGUUCUCUACAAAUAAAUCUUGUAAAUAAAUUAUAGUAUUCCAUAUUUGUAGUGCAAUUCGCUCAAUAAAAUUAAUUAAUUGGUUCUAAAAAUAUUAUUUUAUAGUACGUGUAUAAAAUAAAAAAUAAAAAAUAAAAAAUAUAUAUACGUGGAGUGGGUCUAGUACCUACGGGUUUUUAAUCCUAUGAUCAUACCCCCGCCUUGUAUAUAAGCAAAUACCAGACCAUUUUUUGAUCCAAUCAAUUAAUGCAAAUUAGAUACCUUUUUUUUUGGAUCGAAUCAAAUAUAAUGGGUUUUCGAAUCAAUGGAUAUUUUUGUCCAUCCCUACAUGUUAUACAAAAAAAAAAAUGGCAAACCCCAUUCACGAGGUUGGGAUGCCAGCCCGAGUAUUAUUAAUGAACCAUACCCGUACAAGAAGGGGACAUAAGCCUUACCUCGAAAUUUAGCUAACUUUAAUCCUUCAAAAUGAAGGAUAAGCUAAUUUAUUUAACCGAUACACGACUCUAACUAACUUCGGAAGAUCUCUCACUCGCUCGUAAACACUCACUAAGGAUUCAUAAUUAACACAGCCUUCAUUAGCCAAAGAGUCGGCAACCUUAUUUGCUUCCCGGAAACAAUGCUGGACAACGAUAACGUCAUGAGAAAACUCAAGCAUUUGCUCCACCUCAAUACCUAUAGACCAUGAACAUGGACAGUCUCCUGCUAGAAUGCAUACCAACACCAUGGAAUUGGUUUCAACCAUAACCUGCCUAACACCUUUUUGCACACACAAUUGCAACCCAAGUAAUAAAGAUUUUGCUUCAGCUUGCACACUAUACAACAAAAAUUUAACCAAACCUUUCACGAGGUAAUUGUAAACUGCUUUCUUCAAAUUUCAAUGAUUAGAUUUGUCUCCCAGCGAGUAGUGUUUUAAAUUGAAUUUAAAAUUCAAACCACUAUGAUGAAAAAGUUAUGCUAAACUACCCUCCUUAUGUUCUCACUAGAAAGGUGAUUUGUCCUUUGAGCCUGAUUUCACCAUCACCUCCCCUUUGAAUCUCAUUUCACCAAUCAUCUCCUUAUAUUAUACAUUUAUUUGUCAUAAUUAGGGGUGUCAAUAAAUCAAAUCAAACUUGAAUACUUGUCGGAUUCAAGUUCAAGUUCAAUAAUUUUCUUGUAGCUUGAGAUUGAGUUCGAAACCAAUAAAUACCAAUUGGUAGUGUUUGAGAUCGAUUCAUAACAAAUAUUUUAGACUCGAGCUCAUGCUUGAAAUCGCUCGAGUACGUAGACAAGCUCAAUUUAAAGCUCGAACUUGAGCCAACUCUCAAUUUGAGCUUGAAUUAAAGCUCAUUUUAGAAUGGAGCCUGAGUUUUUUUUUUUUUUGAAACAAUAGGAAUAUAUUGAUCAAAACAUAACUAUACACUUGUAGAGCAACAGCUCCAAGAAACUUUACAAAGGUGUUAGACACCUUGAGGAUUGUUCCAUUCCUCAUCAACACAAAUGCCUACAGCAUAAGUACUCACAGAUUUACUUAUAUUGUCAUUUGCUAUAUCUAAACAAAAUGAGCAUUUUUGAAACAAAGAGCCUAAGUUGGCGAUGUCAUCAAUCAUAGUUGCCAGUCUAAUGUCUUUAGUUUUCCGUGACAUCAACAAUGACAGAAGCUGCUUGUGGGGGAUAUGAACCUUCAGUUUUGACCAAUUCUUUCCUCCAGCCUUAAUUAAAGCUAACCUUACUGUCUCAGCUAAGUCCAAUAUUGAAAUGUUUGUACCUUUGUCCCUCAUGGCCCAAGCUGUUUUCACUUGUCUCCUGUGAUUCUUUGCCACCACUCCCCUUCCCAGCCAUCUGGUGUCGAUAUCCUCAUAGACAGCUAUCUGCAGAUUGACUUCAUUUGCUUCAUCUCGUGCUUGAACAUCUUGCAUAGGUCCUCUGGAUGUUUCAAAAUUGCUCAUUGGUUCUUGUUUUUCCUUUGCUAACACCUGCUCCUGCCAAUCUUUUUGAGCUUUGUGAGCAAUCUUCUAAGGAUGUUUCUGCUUUGAGUUGUAUUGCCAUUCAUUCCUUGCCUUCCAAAUUUGCCAAAGUAUGUUGGUUGUUAGCUCAAUGUGGCUCUGACCUUGUUUCCUUUUUGUUGCUUCCAUUACUGCAUUCCACCAAUAGGAAAAGUUACCUGGCUGUGCCAAUAUCCCAUCCCACUGAAUUGGUGUCAUCUUCCACACCUCCCUAGCUCUCCUGCAGCUAAACAGCAUAUGCUCUAUGAUUUCCACUUGUUCGCCACAUCCUUUGCAGAUUGGAUCACCCUUCCCUGUCCUUUUGUAGACCUGGUUGUUCAUUGGUAGAAUUCCUUUAAUGCACUUCCACAAAAAAUGUUUCAAUUUUCCUUUUACGUUUAGCUUCCAUAACUUCUUCCAUAUGUUGCGGAAAUUGCUUGCCACACUUGUUUCCCCCAGAGCUUCUCCUUUGUUUUUCCUUUGUUCACUCCAGUCACACAAUAGUUUAUAACCAGACUUCACAGUGUAUUGACUAGUUUCACUGUGUAUCCAAGAGUUGCUAUCCUCUCUCCUUGACAAACUAACAGGUAUCUGCAGGAUCUUUUCAGCAUCUUUUUUGUUGAAAGUUGAAAAGAUUACGUGCCUGUUCCAUCAGAAGCCCCUAAUCAAAUCUUCAACCUUAGACACAUCACAGUUGGGAGGUUUGUCUGUUUGCACUCUACCAUCCUUAUUUCCUGGUAUCCACCUAUCGUUCCAGAUGUUUAUACUUCUGUCAUUUCCCACCUUUCUUCUUGUUCCCUCCUGCACCAGGUCUCUUGAAUCCAUUAGACUUUGCCACAUCCAAGAGGACUGUUUUGGUACUUUGCACUUAAGAAUGGAUACAUUGCUGAAAUAUUUCGCCUUCAACACUUUGCUCACCAGUAAGUUGGGGUUGGUCAGGAUUCGUCAUACUUGUUUCCCCAGAAGAGCUUUAUUAAAGCUCUGUAGUUCUUUAAAGCCUAGCCCUCCCCACUUUUUGUCUUGAGUAAUCUUCUCCCAAGAACACCAGUGAAUCUUGUUCCUUUCCUCAGAAUCUCCCCACCAGAAUUUUGCCAUUAUAGAGCUUAUCUCUCUACACAGUUUGUUAGAGAGUUUGAAGCAUGACAUUGUGUAGACUGGCAUGGCCAUUGAUAUAGCUUUAAUCAUGACUUCCUUCCCUGCUUGACUGAGCAUCUUACUUUUCCAGUUGCUUGCUCUAUUUCUGAUGUUGUCCUUGAUAAAACAAAAAACCUGUUCUUUUGACCUAGUGAUCACCAUCGGAAGUCCCAGAUACUUUCCUUGUGAAGCUGUCUGAAUGCUUUCCAGUUGUUGAGUCACCACUGCCUUCUCCUCAGAGUUCAUAUUUUUGCUAAAAAAGACUGAGGACUUUUCCAGAUUUAUGCUCUGGCCUGAUCCCUUCUCAUAUUGCUUUAAUAUGGUCAUUAGUUCCCUUGCUUGUCCACUGUUAGCUUUACAAAAAAUUAAUGAGUCAUUAGCAAAAAAUAGAUGGGUAAGACAUGGUCCACCUCUACUUAUUUUCAUGCCAAAAAAUUUUCUCCUUUCAACAGCCUAUCUUAGCAGAUUUGAAAAACCUUCAGAGCACAAAAGAAAUAAGUAUGGUGAAAGCGGAUCCCCCUGCCUAAUGCCCCUCAUAGGAGUUAUGUAUUCCUUAGGUUGUCCAUUGAUGUUGAAGGAGAAAGUUACAGUUUUCAAGCAGUUCAUGAUCCAUGUUCUCCACACACUACAAAAGCCCAUUUUACCCCAUCACAGCAUCCAAAAAGUUCCAUUCCACUCUGUCAUAGGCUUUAGACAUGUCUAAUUUGAUUGCCAUAUACCUAUCUUUCCCUUGUCUUUUAUUUUUCAUGAAAUGCAGAAGUUCAUGGGAAAGAAUGACACAUUAUUCAGAAUUUGUCUUCCAGGAAUAAAAGCAGCGUGAUUUUUACUAAUACAAAAAUUCAGCACAGUUUUAAGCCUAUUGGCCAGAAUUUUGGAUAUAAUUUUAUACACUACAUUACACAGACUAAUAGGCCUAUAGUGCUUCAUAUCAGUGGGGUUCAAAACUUUAGGAAUAAGGGAAAUUAGUGUAUGGUUCAUGGACUUAAGCAUGUGACCAGAAUAAAAGAAAGAAUCUAUGGCUUUAACCAGAUUAAUCUUUACUAUUUUCCAAAAUUUCUGGAAGAAAAUAGGAGUCAUCCCAUCUGGACCUGGAGAUUUAUUAGGAUUCAUAGCAAACAAAGUAGAUUUAAUCUUCUCUUCAUUAUCUGAUCUAGUCAAGUUUUCAUUCAUACUAGGAGUUAUUGAGUGUGGCAUUCCUUCUAGUAUGCUCUCUAUCUUUUCACCUCCUGAUCUUGAAAAAAGAUUGCUACAAUAUCCAGCCACUGUUUUUCCCAAAUCUUCUUCAUUCUCAGUCCAUAUCCCAUCACUGUUUGAAUGUUUAGCAUUCUGUUCUGCUUUCUUCUACCCCUCACGCAUGCAUGAAAAAAGCUAGUAUUCCUGUCUCCUUCUCUGAGCCAAUUUACUCUUGCCUUUUGGCUCCAGUAUAGCUCCUCUUCUGCAUAAGCCUCUUGUAACUGCUGUUUUAGAACUUUUUUCCUAGCCUUUUUGUUCUGACAGUCAACAUUAUCUAACUCACCUAAUUGCUGUUUAACAUGAUUAAUCUUCUACUUAGAGUUACUAGAGAAACUAUUUCUCCACUUGAGGAGAGCCACUCUAUAAUUUGCUAUCUUUUUUGUCAGCCUAAACAUGUUAGUGUCAACAGGUAUCUUUGGAGGAAAACAUCUAGUCACCGUAUUAUGAGUGACCAACUAAUAUUUAUAGGAGUACAAACCUAACCGACUAUUUACAAGAAUACCCUUCCUAAUAUAUUAUCUACAAGAAUACUAAUAUUCUCCUAACACUCCCCCUCAAGUUGGAGCAUAUAUAUCAUAAGCACCCAACUUGUUACAAAGGUAUUUCACCCUAGAGCCCCCUAAACUUUUGGUAAACAAAUCAGCCAAUUGAUCUGCAGACGGUACAUGAGAUGUCUUGAUGACUCCAUCAAGUAAUUUCUCUCGAAUGAAAUGACAAUCAACUUCAAUAUGUUUUGUCCUUUCAUGAAACACUGGAUUAGACGCAAUAUGGACAGCCGCCUAAUUAUCACACACUAAAUUCAUAGGCUGUUUAUACUCAAACCCAAUUUCAAGUAACAUGCUUUUCAACCAAACCAACUCAUACACAGUGUGAGCCAUAGCACGGUAUUCAGAUUCUGCACUUGAUCUGGAGACAACUGUUUGCUUCUUACUUUUCCACGACACUAAAUUACCACCAACAAACACACAAUAUCCUGUGGUCGAUCUUCGAUCUGAGGCAGAACCGGCCCAAUCUGCAUCACUAUAUCCUUCAAUAUCAGUGUGUCCAUGAUUUUGAUACAGCAACCCUUUUCCAGGAGCACCCUUAAGAUACCUGAGAAUCCGUAUAACAGCAUCCCAAUGACUAGUACGAGGGGUAUCAAGAAAUUGACUCACAACACUCACUGCAAACGAAAUGUCAGGUCUCGUUACAGUGAGAUAAUUUAACUUACCCACAAGUCUUCGAUAUUGUUUAGGAUCAUCAAGUAAUGCUCCUUGAUCUCUUGCUAAUUUCACAUUGGGAUCCAUAGGAGUAUCCACAGGUCGGCAACCUAACAUCCCAAUUUCACUCAACAUAUCGAGUACAUAUUUCCUUUGACAUAAAUAAAUCCCAUGUUUAGACCGAGCUACCUCAAUACCCAGAAAAUACUGUAAAUGACCUAAAUCCUUUGUCUGAAAGUUUGCCUGCAGAUUGUAUUUAAAUUUCUGGAUCCCCACAACAUCAUCACCUGUAAUCACAAUAUCAUCCACAUAAACAACUAAUAAAAUUUUACCAGCAUUAGAAUGCCCAUAAAAUACAGAGUGAUCUACUUCACAUCUCGUCAGACCGAACUCCAUGACCACACUACUAAACCGGCCAAACCAAGCCCUUGGAGACUGUUUCAAUCCAUAUAAGGAUUUUUUCAAACGACAAACCAACUGCGAAUUCUCCCCCUGAACAACAAAUCCAGGAGGUUGUUCCAUAUAUACCUCUUCUUCCAAAUCUCCAUGCAGAAAUGCAUUUUUCACAUCUAACUGAUGCAAUGGCCAAUUGUAAGUUGCUGCCAAAGAGAUAAGAAGGCGAACCGAGGUAAUCUUUGCAACAGGAGAAAAUAUUUCUAAGUAGUCUACUCCAUACACCUGAGUAAAUCCUCGAGCUACCAGACGAGCCUUCAAUCUAUCAAUAGAACCAUUAGGCUGCACCUUUAUAGUGUACACCCAUUUACAACCAACAACAGGCUUACCUGAAGGACGAGGGACAAGAUCCCAAGUACUAUUUUGUUCCAAAGCAGACAUCUCUUCUUGCAUAGCUAAUCUCCAACCAGGAUGAUUAAGAGCAUAGGUAAUAGACUUAGGAAUGGAGAUAGAAUCAAGGGAAGCAACAAAAGAAGAAUAUGACAUAGAGAGACGAGAAUAAGACACAAAAUUAGAAAUAGGAUGGGAAGUACAAUGUCUCUUACCUUUGCGAAAAGCAAUAGGAAGAUCUAACUCAGAGGAGGGCGUCAUACCUGAAUUUGAAAAUUGAGAGUUAAUUGGUGAAGUGCGUGGCAUAUCAGAAACUUUCUCAACCAUGGAACGACGAGAGUAAACUUGAAGAUGAGGACGAGAUAAUCGAGCUAUGGAAUCUGGUGGACUAGAUAACUCAGGUAAUAAAGGGGAAGGGACUGGUAAAACAGGAGAAGAAAAAGAGGGACACUGGUCUAACUCACAAGGCAUACUGUGUUUGAUAAAAUAUGGAGUAGAUUCAAAGAAAGUAACAUCAGCACAAGUAAAAAAUCGAUUUAAAACUGGACUGUAACAUCUAUACCCUUUUUGCGCUCGUGCGUAUCCUAAGAAAAUACAUUUAAUAGCACGAGAAUCUAAUUUAUCCACCCCGGGAGUAAGCUGAUGAACAAAGCACACACAUCCAAAAAUACGAGGAGGUAAUUUAAACACAGGUUCAUGAGGAAAAAGAAUGGAGUGAGGUAAUUGACCUCCAAGAAUAUUAGAUGGCAUGCGAUUAAUUAAAUAACAUGCAGUUAGAACUGCAUCACUCCAAAAUUGUUUGGGCACAUUCAUGUGCAACAACAGUGUUCUAGCAAUUUCGAUUAAAUGUCCAAUUUUUCUUUCAGCAACUCCAUUCUGUUGUGGAGUGUGAGGACAAGAGGACUGAUGAAUAAUACCAGACUUACUCAUAAAGGUAUUAAAAGGAGUGGAAAAAUAUUCUUUCGCAUUAUCACUGCGAAGUAUACGUACCGGCACACCAAAUUGAUUCUUUAUUUAUGCAACAAAUGCACAAAAAAUUGAAUAUAGUUCUGAACGAUCUUUCAUUAAAUAAAGUCAGGUAACUCUUGAAAAAUCAUCAACAAAGAUUACAAAAUAUUUAAAACCUAACUUUGAAGUGACUCGACUAGGACCCCAAACAUCAGAAUGAACUAACAAAAACGGUUCAGAAAUCCGUUUAUUGACUCUAGGAGCAAAAGAAACACGAUGAUGCUUUCCUAACUGACAAGACUCACAUUCUAACGAAGAUAAUUGACUCAAAGUAGGAACCAACUUUUUCAAAUUGUGUAAAGAUGGAUGACCUAAACGACAGUGAAUUUCAAGAGGAGAAACAGUAGCAGGACAUGCUAUCGGACCAUUGAAGUUGAGAAAGUAAAGACCAUUAUGCUCAUGCCCUCCACCAAUCGUCCUCUUUGUCUUUAAAUCCUGAAUGACAACAGAAUCAGGAGAGAAAGUAACUGUACACUGUAGAAAUUUAGUGAGCUUACUAACAGACAUUAGAUUAAAGGGCAAAUUGGGUACGUAAAGAACAGAAGAUAGCGGAAGUGAUUGAUUAAUUUCUACAGUGCCUAGUCAUUUAACUUUAGUGGUAGAUCUAUCAGCUAAAGUAACAUGAGGAAAGGGAGUAGACUCUUGAAAAUUAGAAAAAAUUUUAGAGGUACCUGACAUAUGAUCAGUAGCCCCGGAGUCAAUAAUCCAUGAGUCAUUACCUUUUUAUGCUAAAGAAGCAGAGGGAAGAGAUGCGUGAUUUGUAGCUUGGUACUGUAGGAAUUUAACAUAAUCUUCCUCAGAUAUAGUAACAGUCUUCUGGGACCCAUGUGCUAAAAAACUCGAUUCAAUGUGGUCAUUGGUAACCGCAUUAACAAACCUUUCAACCAUGGCGAAUGGCACGUCAAACCAAAGAAAAGGUCAAAACUCGAGGUGAACAGCGCGUGAACAGUGCCGUGAACAGUGAACAGCGCCGCGUGAACAGUGCCGCAUGAACAGUAUGUGAUGAACAGUGAAUAGUCGCGAUGACCAAAACUUUUGCUAGAUGUUUAACUCUAACCCUAGGACUUUUGCUCUGAUACCAUGUCAACAGGUAUCUUUGGAGGAAAACAUCUAGUCACCGUAUUAUGAGUGACCAACUAGUAUUUAUAGGAGUACAAACCUAACCGACUAUUUACAAGAAUACCCUUACUAAUAUAUUAUCUACAAGAAUACUAAUAUUCUCCUAACAGUUAGAACCUUUAAACCUUUGAUUCCAAGCUCUUUCCACCACUUGACCUACUCUUUCUUUAUUUAAUCACCUUUUAUCAAAAAAGAAUCUUUUCUUUCUUCUAUCUGCCAGUGGAUUAGUGUUAAACAAUAACAUGCUAGGAUCUGAUGCAUAUGUUUCCAAAUGGUCAUAAGUAGCUCCUUCAAAAGUUUGAUACCAAGCUGGACUGCAUAAACCUCUAUCCAACCUCUGUCUAACCUCCACUUCUUCUUCCCAGUUGUUACUCCAUGUCCAGGGGUUACCUUUAAAACCUAUAUCUACCAGUUCAUUAGUUCCUAUGAAUUCCUUAAAGUCCAUGAAUCUCCAUUCAUCUCUUAGCUUACCAUCCCAUUUCUCUUCGUUUGAGACAAUAUCAUUAAAGUCCCCAGCCAGGAGCCAUCUGUUCCCCCAUAGUCUCUUUCUUUCCCUAAUGACUUGCCACUGGUUCUUUCUGAAUCUGCUCUCACAACUAGCAUAAAUUCCAAUUAACCACCAGUCCUCCUUGCUGUUUGAAUCCUUAACAUGAGCUUCUAUUGUGAAGGUAGUAGUAACUACUCUUAUGACAUCUAUAUUUCUGUUCCACAUUAGGGUCAUACCACCAGCUCUAUUCAAAGCUUCCACCACUGUCAUCUCAUCAAAUCUGAGGAUUGAUUUGACUUUUUCCAUGUAUUUAAUCCUAUUUUUGGUCUCACUUAAGAAACUAUAUUUGGAGAGAAGAGGUUGUUAGCCUUCCUCAGUUGGGGAACUGUCAAGAGACUCCCCACUCCUUGACAAUUCCACACCAGGACCUUUAUUUAUCAUUGAGGGGACAUGUGUGGCUGGCCCCUAACCCUUCUGUUCCUUCCAUCCUUACUUCAACUGUUAGUAAAUCCACCUUGUUUCUUUUUGUUUCUUAUUCCUCCACUACAACAUCUUCCAUCUCUUCAUCAACCAAACUUAUCUUUCUUUUACCUUGACGUCCCCCACGGUUGCAGUUUUCAUCUGGUGCUGGCAAAGCUUUGCUCCCCACACCAGGGGAUCUCAAUUGUCUUUUCCCUCUGCUGUACUGCCUUCUUCCUUCUCUUUGCUAUUUCGCUGCAAUUUCUGAAUCUAUUUGCAUGGGAUUCUGGUCACCCCCUUGUGUCACAUCUUUCACUGUUAGAGCCUCCUUCAGCUCCAAUGCCACCUCAACUAGGCUCAUCUCUGAUGACUCAGCCUCUCUCUCAACCUGCUAUUUUUGGUUCUCAUUCUGACAUCUAUCUUCUCUCCUCGCAGCAUUUGUACCACUACCUCCUUCUGCAAUAAGAGUAGAAUUCAGAAUACUCACAUUAGUCUUGUUUUCGCCAUUUACUGGAUCACUUUGGUCUUGUUUCCUUUCUCCAGUUAUGUCCUGAUGGGGUCCUCCCACUGCAGUGCUUUUUUCCUUGUCAUUCAUUCGUGUGUUCCUUUCUUCCUGUAGGAGGUGCCCCUCUGUCCUCUCCUGCCUGUCAACUCCUGAACCUUGCGCUUGUGGUUCUUUGUGGUUAACAUGUUUAGGAACCAGUUCCCCAUUUCUAAAGCCCCAGUAACUUCUCUCAGGAUUAUAUCUACUCUGUUGUUCCUUCUGUGGGGAUGCCUUUCCAUCAUUUGCUCUUAACCAUGGCCCAAAUUGGUUUUCAGACUUCCCUUUGGUUAUAGAGAUGAAACACUUACAGUUCCUUUCACUGUGACCAAUUAAGCCAUAUUUAUAGCAAAAGUCCGGGCAUCUUUCAUAUUUAAAGCCCAACCAUUUGGUGGUUCCAUUCAUUUUGACAGUUGUUCCCCUCAGCAAUGGUUGAGAUAUGUUAGCUGUCACUAAGAUUUUCAGGUGCCUUCCUUCUUUCCCUCCUACUUGGGGAACUAUUGCAUCUCUGACUUCAUAGAAUACCUUACCGAUUUUUCUGUUUAUCUCCUUUGAUAUCCAGUGCACUGGUAAAUUUCAUAUCUGCACCCAUAGUGGUGCAAGGUUGAAGGCUUCUUCAUCCUCUUCAACCCCCCCAUACCAGUUCCUGAGCACCAGUAUCUGGUUAUCCAAAACCCAAGGUCCUCCAUUUAAAAUUCUGUCUCUGUCCUCCUCACAAGGAAUGUGGAACUGAAAAAGAUUUGGACCUAAUUCCAUUAUCCUGAUAUCUCUAGGAAAUCCCCAAGCGGAGUUCACAAAAUUUUUCACCCCAAAAAAAUUCACUAUUUUUUCACCUUUCACUUUCCCUACAAGACUAACUUGACAUUCUUUAAUACCCAGGUGCAUAUCUCCCAAGUCCAAAUCAGCUCCUCCCAGCUCUUUCUCCGAAAGAUCAAAAUUUUCCAUUAUAUCCAGUAGUUCUUCUACCAUUGAGAUACUAGAGAAUACUACGAGGGAAUACCCCACUCAACAGACCUUUAAUAUGAGAUAAAACUAAGAACAGAAAACACACAAGCUAGCCGGCUACACCACAAAACUAAGAACAGAAAAACACACAAGCUAGCCAGCUACACCAAAGCAGAAAAAACAAAGAAAAGACACGAAAAGAGAACCCUAAAACUAAGAAUCAAGAACCAGAAAAAAACAGCUUAGGCAGUCAAGUAACAUGUCAAAACUCUUACUGAGUAGAAAUGGCACUUUUCAACUUGUUCAAUUGCUACAAACUUUGCUGUGAUAGUUCCUUGUAUUUCCACAUACCCUAUUCUUGUCUCAGCUGGGUUUGUACAGAAGAGGACUCCAACCCAGAUAGACUUGCUUACUUGGAAUUGAACCUUGUUUGGCAGAAAAACACUCUACAUACUAGCAUCUUUAGUGUGCAUAUCGGCAUUAAAGACGAUCUGGUCCUGUUUGAGGUUUGGAUUUCAGUUACAAUGUUGAAAAGUGAGGGAUUUUGAAAGUUUCAAAGUUUCAAGGAUUUUCAACGGUGAGGAACUCUCAGAAGAGAGAGGGCACUCUUACCAAGAGAGAAAGAAACUCUCACAAAGGAGGAUGAUAGAAUGGAGCAUGAGUGGUGAUUCAAUAUUUCAAUACAUCUACAGUACUCGUUAACCUGCUAUUGCCAAGCAAAAAUUCUAGAAUUUCACAAAACUUCACAAAGUCAAAAAUUCCACAAAACUAACAAUUUUGAAUUACAAAGUCACAGUCCAAACUCCAAACUAACACAAGCUGUCUUUGGUUUAGAAUUUGAUUAACUCAACCACUGAACUAGUUUAAAGUUUAAGCAAUAAAAAAUUCUGGUUGUAGAUGCUUUACCAUGAUUAGUGGGGAUAGGAUUUGUAUGAGAACGUGAGAACUAAGAGUGCCAAAUUUUCUGAAACUAAUAGCAAUGAGGGUGAUUGAUUCCAGUGAUGAAGAUUGAUUCCAAUGAGCUAUCCCCGCUUUUGCUAGCCACAAGAGUUCCAGACUUCUAGUUGCCAAAUGAUAAGAACAAUAGAAGUAAGAGCCUCUACGAAAGCUAAAGCUAGCGCCUGAAAUCGAUUAGGGUUUAAGAGUAGAUUUGAUUGCUGGUCGGUGAGAAUUGGGAUUAGGGUUUGAGUUCGGUGGCUUUGGUCGGCCAUGAGUGAAAAGAGAAGUGAGAAGAGUAACAAUGAAAAAUUUUGACCCAAUACAAAUAUCCAAUAUGUGAAUAUAUUUUUUUAUUUUUAAAUUAAUAGAAAGAAAAGAGUACUCAUAAGGCAUUUUGAACAUUAGAGGGUACAACAUGUAAUUAAUCUUAGGGUUAUAGAUAUUUAAGUAAUUUUAUAAAUAUAAAUAAUAUGGAUUAAUCUUUCCUACCACAUUGUCAGCAUUGAAAUUAACUAUGCAACCUAAAACUCGAAAAGCUUGCUAGCCUAUCAAGCACAACAUUUUGGAGGUUCAAAUUUGACUCGUUUUCAUUUUUGUACAAAUCAAGAUUGACUCAAGCUCGAUUUGAUCGAAAUCGAGCCGAUCGUCUGACCGAACUACUCUCGAGCAGCUCAAUUGAUUAACAUUCCUAGUCAUAAUAUAACUUUCAAUAUGUUUAUUUCCUUUUGUCUUUAAAGGACUUGCAUGAUUUUUAAGUUUAAUUUAGGGGCUAUAUGUGUAAUUUGAUCUUUAUUUGUCAUCAAGCAAGCCCUUGAAGAACUAUUAGGUGACUCCCUCACCCUCACCCCCACGUCUCCAAGCCCGUCGGUUAUUAUUUUUUAUUUUGAGAAAAAAAAUAUUUAUGUGUUAAGUGUAUAGUAAUACCUCUAUAAAUUAAUACUCGAUAAAUCAAUAAUAUUUAUUAAAUAAUAAUUUUUUUGGGUUCCAACUUGGGUUAAUGAGUCAAAUUAAUAAUUUUGGUAAACUAAUAAGAUAAUAAUUUUUUAAAAACCAUAAUCCUUUAAUCUCAUUCAUAUCAUAAAUUAAUAAAUUACUAAAAUUUGGUAUCAUAUUUUCUUAAAGUAUGAGUCUAUUGUUAUUUGCUUUUUAAGAAAUUUAUUUUUGCAAUUAUUUUUGAGUACAUGUGAGAUGCUCUUUACUGUGCUCACAUAAUGAUUUAUAAUUUGAUCAAUCAUGGUUGAUUUAUGUAUAAUUUUUAGACGGCAAUUCAUAGUUUAACAAUAAGACAUGUAAGAAGACUUUGUGUUUGUUUAUCAUAAGAAAACUUUCUUAUCAUUUAUAUAAAUAAUAUUGUUAAUUUGAUUUAUUGUAUGCAUUUAAUAAAAUAGAGAUAGACAUCUAUCAUUUAGUAUAUCUAAAUCUUUUUUAUCUAAAAAAAAUGACAUCAGUUGCAUAUAUAUAUGAAAAAUAUUAAUAGACUUAAAUUUUAUUUGCAAAUCAAAUAGAUAUAGAUUGCUUUAUAUUCUCUAAACUUUUAGCCUCCUUUUAUUGAUAGAACUAGGAGGAUAUCACCGCACUGUGCGCGGUGUGAUCAUAUAAUGUAUACACGCCCAACUAAUAGUCAUGGUCCAAGUUAAAAGCAUCGAUAUACUAAAUUAAGGAUAGUGAAUAAAGUUGAACAUUUUGGUCACACAUAUUUAACGGUCAUUUGGACCAAGUUCAAGUUUAACAGGCAUUCUAAAUAUGAAAACCAAACGAGUUCAUUUUUAAUCAUGAAUGUUUAGGUUGGCAAAGUAGAUGCCAUUGAUGCCAACAAGAUCAUCUAGAAAGUAAGAAAUUAUAAUGUUGAAUGUGGUAGUUUCAGACAACACCCAGUCACGUCACUCAUGAUUUAGCCACCAACUAGUGUAGCCUAAGUUCCAAACAAACAAAAAUGCCUUUGUGUUGUGAACUACAAAGAGUGUUCUCUACAUUAAUGUCCAUCAAAAGCAUAUCCAACUGUGUCAUGGAGUAAUGCUUUAAGAAUGCUGAAGAAAUUCCCUUCAUGAUGGAGCCAGCGCUUAAUCCUAGUGUUUUCAAACUGAUCCCUAAAGCCCUCACCUGGCCACAUAAACACCAUGGCCUUCUUCGAGAAGAAAUCCAAGAGCACGCACAGCAGGGUGAGGAUCUUGGACUAUACAUCCACACCAGAUUAUCACACGAGUGGUUCCAUUCCCAUCUCUCAUGUCUAUUCCCACAAGUAGUUCAAGCUCAUGCCCCAGCAAGACAUUACAACACUUUCUCAGUUAAUUUAUACAACAUUCUGUAAUAAUCAAUAACUAAGAGUGCAUUGUAAAAGGUCAUCUAGGAAACCUAUUGAUAAGAUAGAGGGUGUAUCAUUGCACCACUGACUUCCAAGAAGUAAUCUGGGCUUAUGGAGCGAAGAUCUUGAACCUAAGCUAUUAAUAUAACAAAUGAGAUAUACAAGAUAGAGGAUCAAGCAAGCCACAUUAGACGUGCCUAGAAGAGCUAGUAUAGAAUCAUAUUAACUGUAAUAAUCAGUAACUUAAUCCUAUUAUUAUUCUGCAUGCAUGAAACAUAAAACCCAAGAACCCAAAAAAAAAAUGGAAUCCAUCACAUUGAGGAAUUUAACUAGAUCUGUUUGAACUAAAUACUUCCAACCAUUCAAGGUGAAAUAUUUUCACUGCCAUGCUCAUUGUAGAUGCACAAAAGCAAAGGCAACAGAGAAACUUCAUCUCAAAGGUUAAAUUUCUUAGGAUCAGUGAAAUGUAAAGCCAAGAACGAAUUUAUGUACUUAGCACUAACUGAAGACUUGUUUCUGUGACAAUCCAAAAAAAAAAUAGAGAUCAUGACAAGAAAAUCUAAACCAUGAAAUUAGACAACACUAUAAAACUGACCACCAAGUUCAUGACGACUGAUUUGCCACCCCUUUCAAUAUGCAGUUCAACUUUCUCGUUGACACUGUCAUCAAAUAAAGUCUCCAUCUUCAGGAACUGGGAAAUUACCUACAACGUGUCUCCAAUGUCAACAAAUAAUUCAAUAGAUUAUCAUGCAUGAGUUCAAGAGGUUAUCAUGAUUACCAUGAAAAAAACAUUUCCAGUAACCAAACGGAGUCCUAGAAAAGUAAUCUCGACUAUUUUGUCUAGGCCUUUGAAACUGAAUUGUUUCAUCAGAAGAAGACCCAAUAGCAUUUCUCCUCUUUGCAGUGUUACACUCUCGACGACGACGAAGGAGAUCGGCCUUCUCAUUAUUCAGCAUUUCUGCAUACCUUUUACGUCUUCUGGCAUUUUUAUCUAUCUUUGGAUAAUAUAGAUUGAAAAGAUAACAAAAGAAGAGGCAAGAACACAAGAGCCUUUAAAAACAGAUUUAAAAGAAAACAAAAGGUUUUACAACAGACACAAAAGAAAGAAUGGUUUAAAAAAUUCUAAAAAAGGGGACAAAGAUAGCACAGACCAUUUAACGACAGCAUAAAAUGAUCAAGAAGAAAAAGCUCUACAACCCUGUCGUAACAAACACAAUAGGAGAAUACACAGUAUUUCUUUAAAAGGAAUGCACUAGAGUAAAUACAUGAAGCAAGAGUUGCAACAAAGGAAAACCAGAAACGAGGUGAAGUAGCUAAAACCAAGCUGCAUAAUAAAAAUGAAGCUAAAGUCACUAAUGAUAAAGCAGAAAAUUUUAUCAGACCAAGGCUAAAACAAGCACCAAUGCACUAACCAGUAAGGAAAACAAAAGUUAGAGACAACAAUAAAGAGUAAGGAACAGUACAACAAAAAAAUUAUAAUACAGCAGAGAGGAGAACCUAAUAGCAACACAUAAAAGGUGCUAAAAACACACAAAUAGAGCUGAAACACUAACUAAUUCAGCAACAACUACAGCCAUUCAGCAAGCAGCAGAUCGGGUAAUUCUAAAGUGUAAACCACAACCAAAAUCUAAAUAAACAUAAACCUAGCAAAAAAAAAAAAAAACCGAACAAGGCAAUUUGAUGAGUAGACCGUCUAUUGUUAUGGUACAAAUAAUAAAGUUGAAGCCACGAUAUCAAAGAAGAAAACCAAGGACGACAAUAAAAGCAUAGUAAAUACACAAAAAAAGCUAGCCAAGAACAACAAUUCAACUACAAUAAUGCACAUUUUGCAAACAUCCCAUGAACAGAUUUGAAAGGAAAGACACUAAGAUAAGCAGAAGAAAACUAAUGGAGAAAACAAAUCACACAGGGUAGACAUAAAUAGUAGCAUACAUCUAGCAAAACAUGCAUAAGUUCAUUUAAGAGAUAAAAAUGCAAUCGAAACAAAGAUAAAAGUAGAAAAGGAAAAACAUACAGGACACAGUAAAAUAGCUUCAUAAAACUAUAGAAGAGCUCACCCAACAUUGUCAAAUGGCGAACAAGAAGAAGAAGCAACAACAAAAUAGCAACUGCCAUAUCAAUUAAUAACAAAGAAACUUGGAAAAGCAACCGAUUUCAUCAUUACAAUCACUUAAGCCUGGGAAAGAAUGACAAAAUGCUGGAAAAAAUGUACGACACCUCAUCCACAGAGGUCUCUUGCCGACCUGCCCCAAGAAGGAGCUGAAUUUCUGGUUAACCCAAUCAGAUAUGACAAAUCCCACAUUACCAAUACACCCCUCAAAAAAAAGCAAAAACUCUAAAAUACUUAAAGGCUCCAGAUGUAAACAGGGACAAACCAGAGUGCUAAAACUGUAACUUCACCGGAUUUCUGAGCCCAACCACCACAAUAGCAAGCCAACUAUUUCAUUGUUUCGCAAGUAGGCCACGUCCAGCACAUGAAGUUGCGUCCAAUGGAUUUCGUGCCCAGCACAUGAAGCCCAGGAAACCACCAAGGCCAAUUCACCAACCAUGUCAUGACAAGCCAAUCACCUACCGCCACAUGGGCGAACUAUGAUUCCUACGAAGCAAGGGGGCUUCCACACACCAAUCACAUCAUGCCACAUCACUAGGAAGCCAAUCCCCUCUCGCCAUGUGACGAAUGACCAAAUCGACGUGGCAAGGGGGCUUUCACCCUUAGUCUAUAUGGUUAAUAAUUCAUAUUUUAUAAAAUAAAAUAGAACUUUAAUUGAUUAAAUGAGUGUUUCCUUGAAUUGUAAGCACCUUUGAUUAAUUCAAAUCUCUUUAAAUUAAUAAAAUUUGUAUGGUCACAAUGUUAUUAGUUUAUAAAUGUUUACUGUAAUUAGAAAUUUAGUAUAGAUGUAUUAAUAAAUUUAGCAUAACUAAUUAAUAAUUUCUAUUAAUAUACAUGCAUAAUUAUUAGUAUAAUUGAUAAUAUUAAUUAUAUUACAUAUAAACUAAUUUACAUUAAAUAAUAUUUAUAAUAUUAUUAUUAUAAAUUUAUGAUUAAUUAAAUUAAAUAUAUAUAUAAUUAUACAUUUAAUUUUUUUUUAACGAAUGGCGGAGCGAGGAAGGGUGAGGCAUACUUAGAGCUGUUAAACGGACCGAGCUGUUCAGUAGCUCGGCUCGUUUCGACUCGUUCGUGUUCGUGAAAGUCUCGUUUGAAACCUUAAACGAAUCAAGUUCGAACGCAUUUUUUUGUUCGAUUAAUAAUCGAGCGAACAUGAGCAUGUUCACGAGUUUUAAUAUACGUUCGCAAACACGAGCAUUUUCGCGAAUUUUAACGAACGUUCACGAAAAUGGACAUAAUUAUCAUUUGACAAAUUUUAGGGUUAAUUUUAUGGCUGGACUUUUAUAUUUGGAGGGCAAAUUGCUUUGUUUUAUUUGUUGUUUUUAUGUUAAUGUUAGUUAUAUAGUUAAUGAAUAAUAGAAUUUAGUCAUUUAGUGCUUUAAUUAUUUUUGAGAAUGAUUAAUGAUUUGCAUGGCAUAUUUAAGGUUUAAAAUAAUUUGAAUUCGAGCAUGUUCGCGAACGGUUCGUUUAUGUUAAACGAGUCGAACACAAACUCGAAUUCGAACACGAAUUUUGCUUAACGAACCGAACACGAACACAGGUUUGGAGUUUGAAAAUUAACGAACGAACACGAAUGUUGUUCGAAUCGCUUAACGAAUAGAGUUCAAACAUGAGAUACUCGGUUCGAUUCGGCUCGUUGACAGCUCUAGGCAUACUUCCCUGUCCCUGGCCCUGUUUUCUAGUCGGGGAGGCCCACGCCCCGCCCCAUGAGCCCCGGCAGGCAGGCAUUCGUCCAAUUGUCAUACCCAACCUGACUGAACCCGGGUUAAACCCGAAUAAUUCCCCCGUUUCCGCCGAAGCUGCCCAUUGAUUUUCAUUUUUCACCAAAUACAAAAUUUUCACCACACACUGGGUUUAGGGUUUUAGCUUGCUCAUCCCCCGAGGUUUUCUGGACGUCAGAAUAUGAUUAUUCGCAGUCUUCUGCUCUCCAAGAAUCUGAAUCCCACAAGGUAUUUACUCAAAGGUUCUCAUUCCUUGACCAGAAUUUCUAGUGUUGGUUCAGAAUUUGUUCCAUUAGUUAAUUGCAAUAGCAUAGUAAAGUUCAGAUUUUUAUCCUACUUGUGUUCUUUAAAUUCAGUUCCCUCUGAAAAAUGUGGGUUCUCCAUUUCCAAGAACCCAAAUUUUAUAAGAAAUUAUUGCUCAGGAGGGGAUAAGAGUGGUGAGGAGUCAAAUGAGUGGACUGGAGAAAUAGAUUAUUUGGAUGAAUCAGGUGGUGUCAUUUACUCUGGAAAGGGUGUAAGAUCUGUUGAGCCGGGUAUAGAUGAUCAUGUGAUGGUGGGAGGGUUAAAGAAGCCUAUUUUGAAUGCUUCAGCUGUGGCUAAGAUUGUUGAGAUAGUGAAAAGAUGGAAAUGGGGUCCUGAUAUGGAGACCCAAUUGGAUAGGCUUCAGUUUUUGCCUAACAUGACUCACAUUAUUCAGUCAAUGAAGAUUAUUAGCGAUGGUGAGGCUUCGUUGAGCUUGUUUCGGUGGGCCAAGAGGCAAUCUUGGUAUUCUCCGACUGACGAGUGUUAUGCUGUGUUGUUUGAUAUGUUGAAUGAGAGUAGGGAUUAUGAUGGGAUUCAAUCAGUGUUUGAUGAUAUGGUUCGUGAUUCAGGUGAAAGUGGUAUGUCUUCAUUUAGUGCGUAUAAUCGGGUUAUUCAGUCAUUAGCAAAGGCUGAGAAAUUGGAGGUGACUUUCUGUUGUUUUAAGAAGAUGAAAGAAGUUGGUUGUAAAGUUGAUACGCAGACGUAUAAUUCAUUGAUAACAUUGUUUUUGGAUAAGGGUUUGCCGUUUAAAGCUUUUGAGAUAUAUGAGAAUAUGGAAGAAGUUGGGUGUUCCUUGGAUGCAUCAACUUACGAGUUGAUGAUUCCAAGUUUGGCAAAAUCAGGCCGUCUUGAUGCUGCUUUGAAGCUCUUCCAAGAGAUGAAAGAAAAGAACUUCCGACCAGGUUUUGGGGUUUUUGCUGCACUUGUUGAUUCAAUGGGUAAAGCUGGUAGGUUGGACACGUCCAUGAAAGUGUAUAUGGAAAUGCAAGGUUUUGGACUCAGGCCGUCUGCCACUACAUUUGUUUCUAUGAUUGAGUCAUUUGUUAAAGCUGGGAAGCUGGAGACUGCUCUCAAGCUAUGGGAUGAGAUGAAGAAAGCCAGAUUUAGACCUAAUUAUGGGCUCUAUACUAUGAUGGUUGAGUCCCAUGCAAAAUCUGGAAAGCUUGAGACUGCUAUGUCUCUCUUUUCAGAUAUGGAAAGGGCUGGAUUUUUUCCCACACCCUCUACCUAUUCUUCUCUUUUGGAGAUGCAUGCUGCUUCUGGUCAAGUUGAUGCUGCCAUGAAGCUCUAUAACUCUAUGACAAAUGCAGGUCUUAGACCAGGGCUCAGUACCUACACAGCCUUGCUGACUCUCCUGGCAAAAAAGAAGCUUGUUGAUGUAGCUGCAAAGGUUUUACUUGAAAUGAAGGCCAUGGGGUAUUCUGUUGAUGUGAAUGCUAGUGAUGUUCUUAUGGUGUAUAUCAAGGAUGGUUCUGUUGAUCUAGCUUUGAGGUGGCUACGGUUUAUGGGCUCAUCUGGGAUUCGCACAAACAAUUUCAUUAUUAGGCAGCUCUUUGAGUCGUGUAUGAAGAGUGGAUUAUAUGAGUCGGCCAAGCCCCUUCUUGAAACAUAUGUGAAUGCUGCUGCUAAGGUUGAUCUUGUACUUUACACAUCAAUUCUUGCCUAUCUUGUAAGAUGCCAGGAAGAGCAUAAUGAGAGGCAUUUGAUGGCCAUCUUGAGUGCUACGAAACAUAAAGCUCAUGCUUUCAUGUGCGGUCUCUUCACAGGGCCAGAGCAGAGGAAGCAACCAGUUUUAUCUUUUGUGAGGGAAUUCUUUCAGGGAAUCGAUUAUGAGUUAGAAGAAGGAGCUGCCAGGUACUUUGUCAAUGUUCUUCUUAACUACCUUGUUCUGAUGGGACAGAUAAAUCGUGCUCGUUGUGUAUGGAAAGUUGCAUAUGAAAACAAGCUUUUUCCCAAGGCAAUAGUGUUUGAUCAACACAUUGCCUGGUCCCUUGAUGUUAGAAACUUGUCAGUUGGGGCUGCUCUUAUAGCAGUGGUACACACCCUUCACAGGUUCAGGAAGAGGAUGUUAUACUAUGGGGUCGUCCCAAGGCGGAUCAAAUUAGUAACUGGGCCAACUUUGAAGAUUGUUAUAGCUCAAAUGUUAAGUUCUGUCGAGUCACCCUUUGAAGUUAGUAAAGUUGUUCUGAGAGCCCCAGGGGAUUCCGUCCUGGAGUGGUUCAAGAAACCGAUAGUUCAGCAAUUCCUUCUGAAUGAGAUUCCUUCAAGGGCUGAUAUUUUGAUGCAUAAACUGAACACACUUUUUCCUAGUUCUGCACCCGAAAUUAGAUCCCUAUCCCCUCCAAAGCCUCUUCUUGCAGGGAAGGCUCUAUAGUCAUGGAUAAGUUGUUAGCUUGGUCAGGCAUCAUUUGUUUGUAAUAUAGAAUUAUAAGUUACAUUUUUGUUUGUUUAAAAAAGCACUUGACAUCUACAUAGAAAAUCGCAUGUUAGUGUACAUGAGAAAAUACCUUUAGAAUUUCAACUUCAGCUUUUCAAAAAUAUCUUUGCAAUAGAGGCUUCCUGGUUUCAGAUUGGUGGCAGCUAGUUCAUAUACAUAAUAAUUAACUGAGUAACAUUUAAUAGUUUAAUCUGCGGACAGCAAUUUUAUUUUGCUUCACUUAGAUGCUAAAUUGUGUUCAGGGUUGAUAUUUGCAUUAAUACUGGUCAUGCCUUAUCACUCAUUUACUUUGUUAAUAAGACCAGCUCUUAUCACUCAUUUACUCCCGCCCUUACCUUUUUUCUCCUUAUCUAAAGGCAUAUUUACCAUGUUAUGCUCUAGUUCUUAGUAAUGCCCUCUAAUCCCUAGUGAAACUACAAAGCACGUCUUUAAGUUCAGCAUACUUGAUAUGCACAGCUGAUUAUCAAUGUAUUUCCAGUGAGAGGCUUCUCUGAAAAAAAUGUCUGCUGCUGACCAUCCCUAUGUUUUCCAUCAAGGCUUCUUGGGAAAAAUGUCUUUAAGCUCAACAUACUUGAUAUGCAUAACAGAUUAUCCACGUUUUUCCACUAAGAGGUUUCUCUGGAAAAAAUGUCUGCUGCUGACCAUCCAUAUGAUUUCCAUUGAGGCUUCUUGGGAAAAAUGUCCGGUCAGGAGGAAGUAAAUCAGGUUAAGUAAUUUUAAACUGCUGCUAGGAAUCAGCAACAACUGCAAUGCGAAGUAUUUGGCAGUGGCAGGGCUGCCGAUAUGAGCCAGAUUCCUCUUUUCUGCUGCCAUCCGGUAAGAUUUAUCCCAGAUUUUAGUUUUUCAUGGACGCUAUUCUAUCUGGAAAGCCUCAUUUACGCCUAGACUAUUGAAACUGUAACUUUUUUCCUUGUGAUUUACCAGACCAUGAUAUGUAUCAGGCUGCUAAAAUUGGAAGUGUCGAGGAUCACUUCCAAGUGACAAACAGGCACGAGUUGCAGUAGCGCAGACUAUAGAAGAUAAUCAAAAUUAAGAGUAGACAAAAUUUGUGCUCCCUCUGUAAGUUGCAUGCUCCUUCUGUUAUCCACUGGUUUUACUUUACUGGUCUUCAUCGACCAAGAUAGGGUCUUGUACACAUACCUAGAUGAUCACAGCAUAUACAGAUACAAUAUAUACAGUACACAUAAAAUUUUGUCUACUCUUAAUUAAGUGUGUACAAUAUAUCACUCAUUAAGUGUGUACAAUAUAUCACUCAUUGACACAGCCCGGCACCCAUGUGUCUUUUAUAAAAAAAAAAAAAUUUUUUUGUGUCAGGUGCCGGGCACCCAUAGAUAUAUACAGAACCCCUGUCAGACCCGUAAGUGUCUGAAUAUUUUUUUUCCACCUAUAUUCUAAUCAAUUAGCCUCAGUUGCCUGUGUUCUCAGGUACCAUUUGAUCCACUGAUGAUCAAACACAUUUUCAGGACAUGGUCAAUUCUGCUGAAAAGGAUAGGUUGGCUGGAAAUUCAGAUUUUACUCUUUGAGAGGAGGAGGACGUUUGGCUAUAGGAUUUCUUGACGAAUGGUCCGUUUAACCUGGGUUGUUCAAACUGGUUUAUGUAACUUAGAUAUAUACAUUCCAAGAAUAGGGGUGAAUUAUGUGAUAUUGGAAAAGUGAAUUGCUAUGAUUUUCGUCAUUUAAUCCCAUGUCAUAUUGUUGCUGAAAGGCAAGAUUUUUGUACAACUUUACAGAUGCAGGGCUAAGACUCUGAUUUACCUCCUUGUCUUGGCCUUCCACAGAUAAUAAACUCUGGCAGAAAGAGCAAGACUUCUGUUGUCCCACAAAAUUCUGCUGCAAAGCUUCCUGGGAUAGCCAAGGCCCAAGGCAACUAUGGAUUCCAAAGAUAUGACUUCAUUUUUGGAACCUUUCCUCAAUCAGAAUAAAGUUGAAUUCUUUUCAAGAAGCAAUGCAAUCUAUUCUUUCCCAUCCAACAUGAUUUUAAACUUCAAUAUGAAAAACUAGUAUUGCAUUACAUUCUUUAACCACUCCUGCCCAUCAAAAACAAAGGAAGGUCAGGUAAAGAAUGAAGUAUCUAUUAGAAAAAGAGGCUUAAAACUAAAAUAAAGAAAAAAAAGGAAUGAAGAAUCAACCUCAUUUGAGCCAAUGCAGUUUUGAUUUAUCUCACUUCCCUCCCUCAAAAAAUGUUGUGGCAUGUAACUAUCCCUUCAUUGCUCAGUGGCCACCAAAAAGGGACUAAAGUCCCUCUUUAGAUUGUAGGUAUGAGGUUAGAACUCUAUUUGCAGUAAAAAAAAAAUUCAAAGGAAGUGUCAGAACACCCUUUUGGUGUAGUAGGUUCUUAUUUCUAUUAGCCCCUUAUACAUAACCUCUUUAGGCUCUCCUCCCCCAAGAUUAGGAUAGAUUAAGUUAUAGAAAUGUUAUCAAAAAGGGACUUCUUUGGACUGUAGGUCACGGUUUGAACCUUACAUGCUUUGAAAAAAAUUCAAAGGAGGUGUCAGAACAUCCCUUUGAUCUAGUAGAUUCUUAUACCUAUUAGCCCUUAUACAUAAUCUCUUCAGGCUCCACUCCUAGAUUAGGAUAGAUUAGAUUAUAGAAAUGUUAUCGUUGCCAUAAAAAAAAAAUGUAACUACCCUUUCAUUUUCUCCAACAAUUCACAUAAACUUCCCUUUCAUAUAUUCUGUCCACAAUUGCUUAAAAACAAUUAAUGUACUUUAGUGCUAUAUUUUAGUAUUCGAUUUGCUAGGAGACAGAUUGGUCAAGUAAUCAUGCUAGUUAAUUUUAUAAUUCACGUGAUUGUCUUUUGUCAUAGGGACUAAUCACAAUAGGUAGAAAUUCAAAGUCUAAUUGCCAUAUUCUUGAGCAUAACACAAUAGAUAGAAUUUUGCAAAUUUGUUAUUUUUAGUACACAUUUAUCGUGCCAAUCAUGCGGAUUUCUGUCGUGCUGGUCCAUUUUUAAUAAUUUCGUUAAUGAAAUUCACUUUUUAUAUAAAAAAAUAUUGGAUUUAUCUUAUGGAAAGCCAGGCUUCCUCCUCUUAAAAAAAAAAAGAAAGUCUUUUGCAAGAAGAGGGGAAUAUAUGCCAUUUCAUAGAACCAAAAGAACUAAAAAAAAUAGUAAUUGAAAAUUACUAUCUUUGAAAAAUACAUACUCUCUUUAUUACUAUAAUUAUGCAAAGAGACAUCGGGAAAUAACAAUUCCCAUACCAACAAUAUUGUUUGAAAACAAGGCAGUAUUUGAUAUUGGCAUUUUCUUUGAUUUUUUUUUAAUUACGCGAACGACAAAUAUAAGGCUGUAUCUCACGUCUAUUACAAUGACCUAAAUUUCUAUCAAGUUCUAAUUUGAAUGAUAUUCCAUAGUAUUUAUGUCUUUUUACAUGAUGAAGAAAAUCCAAAGUGCCAAUAUCAAUCCCCUUAUGUAAAAAUACACUGUAGUCUUGCCAAAAAGAGAAAAAGAAAACCUGGCCAUUAAAUUCACAAAGAACAAGGAAAAAAAAAAAGAGAAUGCUCUUUUAGUUAGUACAAAAGAACAGGCAAAAAAAAAGAGGAAAGAAUAACAAGAACUUAUAACAAAUCGCUCAAAAACGAAAAAAAGAACUUACAGCGAAUCAGAUUAAGGGUCUGUUUGUUUGGAUGGAAAAGGUUUUCCGAGAAACAUUUUUCAUAUUUUCCGUUGUUUGGUUGUCAAUUAAUUUAGGAAAAUAAUUUCUGACAGAAAAUAAGUUACAGCCACGGAAGGAAAAUAACUUCCUUAUCUAUCAUUGUGAAGUUAUUUUCCGCUGUGUGCUUUAUGAUGCUUUUAGCUCCAUGAUGGCCAGACCGCCGCUACAUUUUUCAAAAUACUUCAGGUCCAGGCUACUAAACACACAACUGUUUCCACAGAUCCCCCAUUUAUACUUCCCAUCCAAUUAAAUCAACCUCAGCUACUAGAAAUGGGAAGCAAGAAAUACAUUAUCAGGACUCCACCCAAAAGUUCCUAAAAACCCAUCAAAACUGGGAACAUCAAACUAAAAUAAACGCCUCAAGUACCAAGGUCUGUACAAAUUCUCUCAAUUGCAUCAUUUAUACACCAUAAAAUACAGACUUUCUGCAUUUACAGGGUUCAAGUCAUCCAUUAUCC
rnacentral:lncRNA from 1 species